CAGGGGUAAGGACACUGAGUGCUAUUGCUAUCCUGGUUUCACAUUUAUCGACGAGAAUACCAAAUCCCUGGGCUGCUCUCAGAAUUUCACUAUAGAUGGGUGCGUGGCAAGGAAAGAUCUAGUGAUACACUACAACAUCACUACCUUAGACAAUAUGUAUUGGGCUGGUGAUCCUUAUUCUGUGAAGCCUAACUUGGAGAAGGAAGACUGUAAGAAAGCUUGCCAGGAGGAUUGCUCCUGCGGCGGAGUUCUCUAUUCUGACCGAAAAAGCUGCAGGAUGUAUAGGCUACCGCUCAAAUAUGGUAAAAGACAUGGAAAUAUAACAACCACAGCCUUCAUCAAGUUUAUCCUGGGUAGCACCAUUAGCCCCCCACCUGAAACAAGUCAAAUAUUGAUAAGCGAAGGAAACCAAAGCCUCAUUUUAACUAUGGGCUUAAGUUUGGGUUCCGUUACAAGCUUGUGUUUUGUGAUUGCAAUAUGUAGCUUCUUAUUAUACAGGCACCGAGUCCAAAAUUAUAAGAAGCUUUUAGAAAAUAAAAGUUCAGUAUUAACCGAGCAGUUUACGCUACGAUCAUUCACUUUCGAUGAGCUAGAUGAAGCAACACAUGGUUUUCAAGAUGAGUUAGGUAAAGGUUCAUUUGGGACAGUUUAUAAAGGAAUUUUGCCAGGGGAUGGUAAAAGUAAAACUAUUGCCGUUAAAAGACUGGAGAAAGUUAACGAAGGAGAAACAGAUCAGAUUCGAACCGAGAUGACAGUCAUUGGAAGAACUAAUCACAGGAACUUGGUCCGAUUGCUUGGUUUUUGUGUGGAAGGUUCAAGGAAGCUCUUCGUUUAUGAAUACUUGGGCAAUGGCUCACUGGCAAACUUUCUGUUCAACAUGAAUAAACGCCCAGUGUGGAAAGAGAGAGCCCGAAUUGCAUUGGACGUAGCUAAAGGUAUCCUUUAUUUACAUGAAGAGUGUGAGGGGUGUAUCAUCCAUUGCAACCUCAAGCCCCAUAACAUACUCUUGGAUGAUUCAUUGACUGCAAAGAUUUCAGAUUUUGGAUUGGCAAAGCUAUUGAGGCCUAAUCAAACAUGCAGUACCCCUAGGACCAAAGGAACAGCAUGGUACUCGGCACCUGAAUGGCAAAGCAGUGGAUUGGUGUCAGUAAAAGUCGAUGUAUACAGUUUCGGAGUGAUACUAUUGGAGAUCAUAUGUUGCAGAAGCAACAUAGAAGUACAAGUUUCUAGUGCAGAUGAGAUACUACUUUCUACAUGGGUAUACAGUUGCUUUAUUGGGGGAGAAUUGAAUAAGCUUGUGGAAGGUGAAGAAGAAGUGGACAUGUUAAUGGUGGAAAGAUUUGUGAAGGUGGGGCUUUGGUGCAUUCAAGAUGAUCCCAAUUUGCGUCCACCGAUGAAAAAUGUGAUCUUGAUGUUGGAAGGAACAAUGACUAUACCGGUCCCUCCAUCUCCAUCACUUCUGUUAUACCUUUGAUUUAGUAUUUACUUCAGUUAUGCUUUUCAUGUAAUGCAUGAUGAUGUGCUUAUUUUUCUUUUCUUUAAUGUAAUGUAAUUAUGUAAGAUAAAAGAGUUUAAUUCUAAAAAAAUAAAAUUUCAGUGGUUAAAAAAAUAGUGUUAAUUAGGGCAGUAAUUCACCAAAAAACAAAAAAAAACCUUUUGUUGAUUUAGUAUUUAUUUAAGUGUAUUGGUAUCUAAUAAACUUUUAAUAAAUAAUUAAAAUAUUAUUUUUAUUAAAAAAUCUGAUAAAUAUUAUUAGCAAGCGAUUGAAUCAAAUUAUCAAUUUCUAAUAAUAUAAAUGUAAAUAUAAUUAAUAAAUAGUGAACUUGGUGAUCAUCCAAGGCACAUUAGCAUGCUCAUGUUCGAACCGGGAUUUCAAACCAAAUACUUCCUCAGUAGGAUAGAUGGGGCGAUUCAAAUGAAAUCCAAUAUAGAUUCAACUUUCUAUUCACUCGUGAGAUCUGGGCGGUCUAGGGAAUCACCACAGCUCAUCUCUUCUCGAUAAUUUAUACAUCCCUUAUUACUAUAUGGUAUAAUUGUGUAUGGUAAAACUUAAACAUAAAUACUUAAAAGAAUUUAAGCCUUUGCCUUAACCAACAAACCAAAAUCGGUUUCCACCAAAAGUCAUGGUAUUCUUUUAAGAGUGAGUUUGGAUGAGCGGUGCGUUUAUCUACGGUUAGUGUAAAAACAGCGGUGGCGAUGAGAUUAGAUACUGUAGUGAUACUGUAGCGUGAGAUAAAAAGUAAGCUAAACGCACCGCACCUCACUCAAUCGUCCAUCCAAACCCACCUAAGUCUUCUUAAAAUUAUUGAUUUAGCCUGUCUGGUUUCAAUUUUUCAUUUGCAUUUACUUUUUGUUAUUUUCUAAAAAUUCACUUUCAAAUACCAAUUAAAUAAUUUAUUGAUAUUUUUUUAACUUUUAUUAUCUUUUAGACUUCAGCUAUUUAUUAUUUCGUCGUCACUUAAAAAAUAGAAGAGAGAAACACCAUAUUUCCCAUGGCUUGGGUGUGGGCUCUUCUCUUGCUCCUUUCUUCUCUCUGCGUGAAGCAGUCAAGCAGCAUCAUUUCGCUGGGAUCUUCGCUUUCCUCGGCCACUCAAUCCAUCCCAUGGCGUUCCCCUUCUGGUCGCUUUGCAUUUGGCUUUUACAGUCAAGGCGGUGGCCUUUCUGUUGGAGUUUGGUUAGACGGUAGAGGAAAGAACGAUAACAAAGUUGUAUGGACAGCGAAUCGUGAUGAUCCGCUGCUCACUUCGAAUGUUACUCUGACAUUAAAUGACAAAGGUGUGCUUCUUUCGAUCGCUGUGAGCGGAGAAAAGAAAUUUAUUGCUAAUCCAAACAAUUCGGCUGUCAGUGUCUUCUCUGCCUCCAUGCUAGAUUCAGGCAAUUUUGUGCUCUACAACAAAGACAAUCAUACCAUUUGGGAGAGUUUCGAGCAUCCUACAGAUACCCUUUUAGGUGGUCAGACUCUAUUAACUAAUCACGAGUUGAUCUCCAGUUCAUCAGAGAAUGAUCACUCAGGUGGAAGGUUUCAUCUAAGUAUGCAAGGAGAUGGGAAUCUCGUUCUAUACCCUCGACAGUCCGAAGAUUCUGCUAUAAAUGCCUAUUGGAGCACAAAUACUUUUUGGAUGGGCUUGUCGCUCCGCCUUUUUCUUAACGCUACCGGCCUCCUCCAACUCAUCAACAACGAUGAUUCGUCCAUCUACGAGACAAUUAAUCUUUCCUUUUUUCCAGAGCCGACCUACAAUGACUACAACGAAAGCAGCAGCAGCAACAACAACAACAACAGUACUGUUUUCAGUGCAAGCCUUGAUGUUGAUGGGAAUUUCCGGUUAUAUGCUCAUCUGUUUGAGCGAAAUGGUGGGUUUCAGACUUAUCCACUGUUGAGGGCGUUGUUAAAUUCCUGUAAAGUUAGAGGCUUUUGUGGUCUCAACAGCUAUUGCACAUUUAAUGAUAACCGACCUUACUGUGCAUGCCUUCCCGGGACUGAUUUUAUUGAUCCUCUUCAGAACAACCUCGGCUGCAAGAGAAAUUAUUCUGAAGCACACUGUAAAGGAGGGAAGGCCAAUAUACCCUUUUAUAAAAUGACUUCAAUGCCAGGUAUUGAAUGGACUACGGGCAGUUUUUACGGUAAAGAGCGAUUGUCCAAGGAUGCGUGCAGCCGAACAUGUUUGGAAGACUGCAAUUGUGAGGCAGCACAGUUCGACAAUGGGAUUUGCAGGAAACAAAAGCUUCCACUCAGGUAUUUGCUACGAGAUCCUGAUGCCCAAGUGAAUUCUACAGUUUUAUUGAAGGUGGGAAUCAUAAGCCUUGAAGCAGACAACGACACUGUUCCCUCUGAAUUAAAGUCACCGAAAGUCCUAAUCAAACGGAAAAAUACGACGGUGCUAAUUCUUCUAACUUUCAGUUUUGUUGCAUGUUCAUGUGCUAUGCUUACAAUCUCUGGUGUAUACAUUUAUAAAUUUCGAGUUCUAAGAUACAAAAGGGUGUUGGAACUUGGAAAUUUGGGCCUAACGGAAGAGCUUACGUUGACAUUGUUUUCAUACAAAGAACUAAAGAGAGCAACAAAUGGGUUUAAAGAAGAGUUGGGUAAAGGAUCCUUUGGAGCAGUCUACAAUGGGUCUUUAAACAGGGGAAGACAGUUGAUUGCAGUGAAGCGACUGGAGAAGUUAGUGGAAGAAGGUGAAAAAGAGUUCCAAGCAGAAAUGCGUGCAAUUGGUAGAGCUCACCACAAGAAUUUAGUUCGACUUUUGGGAUACUGUGUUGAGGAUUCCAAGAGACUAUUGGUGUAUGAGUACAUGGGCAAUGGCUCCCUUGCAGAUCUACUUUUCAAGUCAACAAAGCCCCUAGAUUGGGAUGAAAGAACAAGAAUAGCCCUGGAUGUUGCAAGAGGAAUCCUCUAUUUGCAUGAUGAGUGUGAGACUCCUAUCAUUCACUGUGAUAUAAAGCCGCAAAACAUAUUGAUGGAUGAUUUAUGGAGAGCUAAAAUUUCAGACUUUGGGCUGGCAAAACUGUUGAUGGGAGAUCAAACAAGGACCUUCACAGUCGUAAGGGGAACUAGAGGAUACAUGGCACCAGAGUGGCAGAAAAACACUCCAAUAUCAGUGAAGGCUGACAUUUACAGUUACGGAAUUGUGCUGUUGGAGACUGUGUUUUGCCGACGGAACUUGGACAUCAAUGCAUCAAAACCAGAGGAGGUCAUUCUAUCAAGUAUGGUGUAUAGAUGUUUGGUUGAAAAGGAGUUGGAUAAGCUAAUGCUUGGUGAAGAAGUGGAUAAAAGAAGCUUGGAAAGAAUGGUGAUGGUGGCACUUUGGUGUAUUCAAGACGAACCAGCUCUUCGUCCUUCCAUCAAGACUGUAGUGAUGAUGCUGGAAGGGAUCACUGAUAUAUGUAUUCCUCCAUGUCCAACUGCUUCCUUCAUCUAGUUCAAGUGAUGAUCCAACAAUCAAUCAUUUCACUCAAAAGUAUAUGUGUAUAUUGUCAAUAAAUAUGUAAAAUGCUUCCUGUAGUGUCCUCUUAUGAUAGGCUUAGUAUGAAUAUUCAGUUGCGUUAUUAUUACUCAAUCAUAUAUUAAUGAAAUGAUUAAUUUUGAAUGUAAUUUAAGUAUAUCAUUAAACACAAAGUAUGAAGAAUUUACUUACAGGAACUGAUUAUCCAAUCGUAAGAAGCAGUAUUGCAGUAGCCAGUUGAUGAGUUUAUGUAAUAUGUGUAAAACUAUUACUUAUAUAAUGGCCACAUAUAAGGGCGGGUUUACGACCCUAACCCGGCCUAAUGGACUACCAUAAGAUAAUUGGAUAGUGACCUAUUGGACUAAUGGGUCAUUUUGUCACAUAAAAAACUUUUGAGUUGGUAGUCUCUAGUUUGGGCCUUUAUACAUAAAACAACAAUUUUCAGGCCUAAAUGAGUUUCAUUUAGGCUAGAAAAUAAUUUUACUCAAAGCUUGGCCUUAUAAAAUGGAAUAAAUUAUAAAUACAAUAUAUUAAUACUCAAUAGAAAAUUUUAAAUUAUUAUAUACUUUUAUAUUUAAUUAAAUAUAUGUUAAUUGUUAAUUGUUAAAUUUUAAAAUUUAUUUUUUACUAUUUUAAAAUAGAAUUAAUCGUUAUAAUUAAAAUAAAAUAAACAGGGAUAAAUUAGUAAUAUAAUAAGCUAAUACUCAAUAGAAACAUUAAACUAUUAUACCCUUUUGGGUAUGGAGUAGACCUGUCCAUGGGCCGGGAGGCCCGGCCUGCUCAAAAUAUGAGAGGGUUCGGGUAAAAAUAUAGGCCCGAAAUAUGGGCUUAGACAAAAAACGAGGCCCGUUUAAAAAACGGGUUGGGCCUCGAGCACCACUUUUUUGGCCCGGGCCCGAAUAUAAUAAAUAUAUAUUUUUUUAUUUUUAUUUUUAAAUUUUUAAUUUUAAAAUACUUUUAAAAUAAAUUUUUUUAUUUUUUUAAAUAAUUUUUUAAUGUUUAUUUUAAAAAUGGGCCGGGCCGGCUCGGGCUCGGGCUUAUGAUAUUUUUCUCGGGCCGGGCCUGGGCAAAAUUUCAGGCCCAUAUUUUGUGCCGGUCCUGGCCCGUUCCAAGGAGGCGGGCCAAAAAUUUUUCCAGGCCCGGCCAAAACUCGGCCCGGCCCAUGGACAGGUCUAGUAUGGAGUGAGUUCAAAACUCAUGACCAACAUUUAUCUUCUUAAUGAGCCUAUAAAAUACGACAAAUUAAUUACUAAACUCGAUCUGAUAGAUAUAUUGAGAAAUCAAAAAAAAUAAUUAUUACAAAAUUUCAAAAUUAUUUAACUAUUUGACCCAAAUCAAUUAAUAUCCAAAAUAAUUCAUACAAAAAAACUCAGCCCAUCAACAGGUGUGCUCCCAACCCAGAACAAUAUAAAUCCAAAGAUAAUUCGAUCCGAAUCCGCCAAACCCACCCGUUUGGUUGAAGGAGACCCAUUCUUCUGCAUUGCUUGCUUUGGUGCUUCUGAUCUAUGGCUUUAUUCUCGAGUUGAAGGAAAAGUUAAAUGGCUCCAGCAAAGAAGGGAAAAGUCAAAACCCAGAAAGCUGAAUCAUCGUAGCCCUCUGAAAAUGACUUCAAGUUCCCAUCUUCAAUCCGCUCGGUUCCUCCUUCGUCUGUUGCCUCCUUCGUCUGUUAUUCAAUUUUUGCAUGGGAAAAAGUAAGAUAGAUGAAGAGAAGAAAAACCCAAAAGCAAAAAAUAAGAAAAAGAAAUGAAAAAGACCUAUGCGUAUGCGCCCAAACGUGUUUCUUACACAACCGGGCCUAGGUAGUUACGAAGAAGCAAGAGUCUGAACUGUUCUAUUUAAUGGGUUUCCCCUGUAAUUUAUAUAGUUUAUAUUUAAUAUAAUAUUUGUAUAGUUGCUUCUUUUAGAUACUGUUUUUCGCUACUUGAAUUGCUAUUCGUUGGUUAAUUUAGUUCUUUUUGAGUUAUUUCUUACUGGGUUUUUUCUUCCCCUUAUGAAUGAGCUUCUGAUUGUUAUUUAUGGCUUUUCUACUUGCAGUGAAACUAUCUGCACAGGUGUUUCAAGUUCGAAUUUUCAGUUUCCCUUAAAAGGGUUUGAUUGUUCCACUUUUAGCUUCUUCUUCUUCUUUUUUUUUUUUUGUAAAUUUUAUAAUAUGGCAUCAUCUCAUAGCAAUACUCACACUGAAGCCGCAAAAUUGGAACAAAUCAUCACUGAAUUCUUCUAUAAGAGUCUUCUAAUUAUACUUGAAUCGAGGUCUCCUUAUGUGUCAUCGCGAAAUUGUAGUGGUGAACAAAUUAUGUCAUCUCCAUCUUCGUCCUCAUCAUCUUCCUCAGGUGUGAGACCAAGAGAUAAAUGGUUCAAUUUAGCUCUUAGGGAGUGCCCUUCAGAACUAGAAAAUUUUGAUCUUUGUCGCCAGAGUAAUUUUGAGCCGGUAGUGAGUGAUGUUAUCUUGGAGCAGAAGCCACUUGAUUGGGAUCCUGUGACCUUUUCCCCCAAACGUGAUCUUGUUAAGCAUUCUUCAUCAAAAGAUAAGAAUUCAUUUUUCUGGAAUUCUGAUCAAGAAGAAUCAGGCUGUGAGGCAAAAGGUGAGAAGGUUAUAGAAAGGUGGUUCGUGCAGCAUGAAAGUAGAAAGGGUAGUGAUUGCAGUUCAGGGAGUAGAAGGUCAAGUAGUAAUAAUUUGAGUGCAUUAUAUAAGAAAUUGGUAUUGCUGUUGAGGUCCUUAUAUGUGACCUUUAGGCUUUUACCUGCGUACAAGAUUUUUCGUGAUCUCAAUUCAUCUGGUCAAAUCCGUGCUUUUAAGCUUGUUCCUAGGGUAUCCUCUUCUGAUGAAUAUUUCACUCAGAAAGACGAGGCUGAAAUGCAGCGAAUUUGGAUCACCCCUGUGGAUACUUCUUGUGGAAGGCUUUGCCUUUCAGUUUUGUACCGUUCAUCAAUCUCAGAUAAAAGCUCCGUGUCAUCAACCCCUAUGUCCCCUCAAUUUAUACCAGAUUAUGUUGGAAGCCCAUUGACAGACCCACUGAGAAGAUUUCCUUCUCUUCCUGUGUCACAGGGCUCUCCAUCAUCUUUGCCAUUCUCAAGAAGACAGUUGGAGUUUUGAUCGUUACAAGGCUUCACAGCCUUCAGUUUCUCUCUCACCAUCCCCAACACAUUCAGAAUCACAUGCUUUGGUUUCUAACCCAAGCUCUCGCCGUGCGUGCCGCCACCUAUGAGCUUACCUCCUCAUCCUCCUGGGGCAUCUCUACCUCAUAAGAAGAAUACAAACUUUGAUGAGUAUUGGCCUUCCCCAAAAUUUUCUGCUUCCCCUUCCCCAUCCCCGCCCAUCCACAUUCCUGGGGGUCAUCUGUCAAAAGCUCUUUUACGUUCCGAAAGUGCUCCUGUUAACAUAUCUGUCCGUAAGCUUGCUGGUUCCCCUGCAUUGUCCUGCAAGCAAAAUUUGCCAUCUCCUCCCCUUAAAAUUUCAAGAGCUGAUAUUUCUUGGACUGAUAAUAAUAUGGGUCCCGUGAAAUCUGGCGCAACUAUCGAGAAGGUAUUUCAUAUAUGCCUCAUUGGUAUGAUUUGUGAUUCCAACCCUAUCUUGCUUUUCUCCUUGGAAUUUACUUUCGUUUUGUAUCUUAUAGCUGUUCUCUUUCGGGAAAGGAGACGGUCAGAAAUAUUCUGGAGUGAACUCACCCAGAAUUUCAUUUUUCAGAAGCUCCAGUAGGUCUAUACAAGAUGAUUUUGAUGACUCUGAGUUUUCUUGUCCAUUUGAUGUGGAGUAUGAUGAUAUGGACCCUGGUAGCAGGUAAUGCACGGAACUCCUCAUAUAAAUUGUAUUUUUUAUAUUAACCCUUUUUGCAUCACUUGUCAAUAGCUCAUACAAUUAAUUUACAUAUUUUGCUUUUUAACUUCGAAGUUAUUUUUAUCCAGAUUUUUUGAGGAUUUGACACUUAAUUAAUUGUUCUUGUGUAUUUGAAAAUGUGGCAUCAUUUUUUUUUUUUUUGUAUUAACAUAAUUGGAUCAGGACUUGAUUUGGUUGCUUUAACUUACCCUGGAGUAAUUUGCUAAAGGUUAUGUAAGCAAGCCAUCAUGUGUAUGCGAAGACUAAUAAUUGCCUUUUCUGUUUGAAUUUUGUCUUUGAACUAGUUCUUAUCUCAUAAGACUGGAUGUUAGCAAUUGAUGAACUUUCUAGGAAACUGGUGUUUUUAAGCAAAGAGAUUGUGCAUUAGAAACUACAAUAUCUUGCCGCUAGGAGUCUAAGUAGUGGCAUUUCUGGUUCAAGAAUCGGGAUAUAUCAGUUAUGAAGAGUUUCCAAAUAAAGUUUGUUUUCUAUUUUUGGGCAAGCCACCCUGGCUGGCAUUAAACAUUUUCAAUAUCUAGUCCAGGUAGUACCGUAGUGAAAUGUCUGUUUCAGGGAUUGGGAUAAGUAGUGGUCUAUCAAUCCAUGGAGAGUUUCCAAUUAAUCUUUGGUUUCCAGUUUUGUGAAAGAAAGUAAGAAACUUCACGGUAUUAUAAAUUUAGAUAUAUCAGGUAGUCUGCAAAGUUUGUUUUCUAGUUUUCAGAAAGACAGCCUGGCUGGUUAACUUUAAAAUGUUUAAUAGAUAUGAAGUUGGAUUGCAUAACCAUGCUGAAGUUUCUUGUGCCAGUUGAAUUUAGCAGCAAGCGGUGCUAACUGCUAAUCAUACUUCAGUUGUUUCUUGUAAUGCGCAACCAGUAUCAGUGAAUGAAUCAUAUUUGUUUUGGUCUCUUGUAACUGCUAACUGCAGGAACAUGUCUUUAGGUCACAUGGUAGGAUUGGGGCCGAUUUCUGUGUAUGACUUGGCCCUUAUGUUUGAGGCAGCUGCAACAACAGCUGUCUUACUUUUUAUCUUUUGAUUGGUGAGUAAAUUAAAUUAAUGUAAAGAUGGGUGAUAAAGAGGAGGCUAAAAAACAAAGAUGGUUGAUUAAGAAUGAUUUGUUAAUGACUAAAGGAUAUGGUGGUUGCAGCAACGUUCUAUGCGUCGUUCUUGCUUGUCAGUAAUUUGAUUUGUUCAGUUUCUUGAGUUACCUCUAAAAUUGCAACAAAAUGUAGUCGAAUAGCUUGUCAGUUGCAUUUGCAGUAACUCUGAUAAUCCUUUAUUAAAACAUGGAACUUUUUCAGUCUGUGUUGCUUUCCUGUAAUACCAGACACAACAAACUGCUUGAAGAAUCAAACAUCAUUUUGUCACUUCGAUUUAUUUUAUGGCAUACUCAGAUGUAUACAUGAACAAAGUAUUCAUAUACUAAUUUCUACUAGUUAGCUUCGUAUUUAUAAUUAUUAUAUAGGGUUAUAUUUGGUAUUCUUAUGAUAUUUAGAUUUAGGGAAUAACUUGAAUAUUUAUUUUAGUUUCUAGGAGUUUUUGAAAUUGAGAUGUUGGGAUUAUAGAUAAUGGAGAUUUUCAUAUGUGGGCUAUCAGAGUUGGAUUUUUUCUUCUUUAUUUCUCCCUAAGUUCAUCUAUUUCCCCCCUUCUGUUUUUAUUUGAUUCUCCAGUUUCUCUCUUUCCUCUCCUUCACGUUUUUGAGGUUCCAUGAAAUUACCAUGGGUGAAGAAAUCCAAAAGUUCUAAAGGUAAUUUGAACAUUUGACAUUCUCUUUUCUGCAAUAGUUAGCUCAAAAUGUUCCCUCAAGAAAAUCCUUUAACCAUUGACUUAAGCAGGAUCGUUAAACGAAAAUGAGUCAUGGAAUUCAUAUCCAAAGCCACAAUGAGUCAUUUUAAGAUUUUCUGAUAUUCGAGAGAACACCUUAUACCCUUUGUCACAGUCAUUAUCUUAAUUGUCACGAAAUGAAAUUACUGUUUUUCUUUCCCUGAAUUAUUUGGGUAAACUGAAUUGGCCCGCUUUGCAUACUAUGUAGACCCGAUUCCUAUGAUAGAAGAGGAAAUCCAUCUGAUCCAAACGAGGCAGGGUUGUUUAUGAAUAGAAAAUCCCAAGAUGCUGCGGUUGGUGCUCUUGUACGGAUGCUGAAGAAAGCCCCUCCACUUCGCCAAGACAUCCCGAGUUCGAUAAAUUUUUCGGAAGCCUCGAGGCCAGAAAUGUGGAAUAACAACAUCCAAGAGAAAAACCAGAACACAGAGGCUGUGACCGUUGAACAUGAUGUUUCUUCAAUUAUUACAUCUUCUAGGCUUGUCGCAUCAAUGACAACAGCGGAUGCAUUAGAGGAACUUCGGAGUUACAAAGAGAUGAAAAACUUGUUGCUUAGUGAAGGUGGUAAGUCUUGCAUAUCUGCCAAUUUGACCUCUGGGGCUAAACAUUCUGGCAAAGGUACAUGAGAAUGAUCAACUUAUGUGAUAUUGGUAUAGUUGCACAUAUGUAGAGCGCUAUGGUUUGAAAGACUACUACUACAUGCUAUACAGCUGAAGCCAUUUUCCUCUUUUUGUGAUCAUAGGAGUAUAUAUAUACAAUAUAUGUGUUUUUGGUUAAGAUUUAUGUUAACAACAGAAAGGUUAUCUGUUGGCCCCGAAAACUUUGUAAAAAGCACUUUUGUCUCUGAUCCUACAUAACAUAAUUGCACAUAAUUUUAGAUGUUGGGUAAGGGUUGCGCAUGCUUUGAUAUACAGGCUUGCUGAUGCCGAGUUUCUAAUACAAAUGGGUUUAAUACGGAUAUAUCUACCUGUUUUAGAAGGGUUUAUUUUAAAAGUUAUAUUUGAAGUAUGAUAACCUGAUAUAUUUGGAAGAUUAUAAUUCUAUAGACAUAGUAAUUUAUUUGACCCUUCAACAUUAUAAAAGAAAAAGGGAAUGACAUUUUAGCCUUCCAUUUAACUUUUUAUCUUUUUCAACUUUUUAAGUUUUUUAUCAAAUCAUUUUAAAGUGGAUCAAAACUAGAAAAGCUAAUGUUUGUUAAUUUUAUUGAUGUAAUAUACACAUGGUUUGCCACAUGGAUGACAAGUUAUCAUUGAAUCAAUUUUUUAAAAAUUCAUAAAAAUUAUAAAUUAUUUUAAAAAUUUUAAAAACUUAACUAAAUGUUGACAUUAAGGGCGAAUCCAGGGGAGUUAGUAGGGACUCGGUCCCCCUAAAAUCCCCAAAACGGAAAUUUGUUCAUUUAGGUCUUUUAAAAUUUUAAAUUAGUAAAGGUAAAAGUGAACUUUGGCCCUCCUUAAAAAUGAUAAUUUUUUUAUUUAAUUAUUUAAAAAUUAUAAAAAUAUAAGUUAUUCAAAUAGUGAAAUUGUAUUUUUAUUAUUGUAAAAAUUAUAAUUUAAUUUCGACUCUCUAAAUAAAUUUUUUGGCUUCGCCUUUGGUUGACAUGUCAUCCAUGUAACAAUUCAUGUAUAUGUCAUAUUAGUAAAGUUAAUAAACAUUAAUUUUACAUCCAUUUUGAGAUAAUUCAAUCAAAAAACAAAUUUAGAAAUUAAAAGAGAUGAAAAAUUAAAUAAAAAUUAAAAUAAUAUUUUUAUAAAUUUGAAGGGCUAAAAAAAUCAUUAUACAUGAAAUGAAGCCCUUGUCUGAAUGUAUGUUUCAUUGAUCCCAUUCCUUUGUCAAUUAAUCUGCCAUUCCCAAAUCUCCUGAUAUCCCCUACAAAUGUCUUUUUUUUUUCUUUUGUACCGUCUAAUAUCUGGGCCAAAAUAUUCACAUUGUCUUUGAAAAUUCCCACCGUAAGGUUUCUCCUUUUUGCAUGAGAUAAUGCCUCGUGGACCACGAAUAAUGUCCCUUGUUCUUGGAACUCCACUGUUGUACCUCCAUCAACGCGUACUAUUCUUGCUCCAGCUCGGCCUCACUUCUUUCCAAAUGGGUAACACUAGUCUCACAAUCCGUAAGUCCCCAAGGAAAUAAUGAUCAAAUAUUUCUUGUUGUCUUAUUUCAUGGAAAUUACCAACGUCGCCAUAGAAAAGUGUGUAGGUGGACUUGACCAAGACUUUUCUUCGCAAGUGGAGUGCAAGGCUAAAAGUGUUGGGUUUCUUUCUAUUUCAUCGGAAUGAAAGCUUCUCACCAAAGGAAUGAUUUCUUCUUUGGUAAAUUAACAUUUGGGUCAACUAAUUUUUAAAAGGUAAAUAAUGUAAUAAUGUUAAUGGAUUGUCGUAUUUGAUUACUCGUUAAUUAAUUUUCAUUAACCCCUUGUUAAUGUAAUAAUGUUAACAACUUUAAAAAAUAUAUCCAAUAAAAUAUUAGAACUUAUAAUAAUUUUAGAGAAUUUUAUGUUUAGGUUUAGUUUUUAUUCUUAUCUUUUGUUUUUUUCUUUUUUUUGCUAUUAUAGUAAAAUUAUAUUUGCCCAUUUUUUUUAUACUCUUUGUAGGUAUUUUUUUACGUUAAAUUUAUGUGUCUAAUUUUUUAAUUUCUUCCGCUAUUUUUACUUGUUUGUUGAUUAAUCAGGUAGAUCCCCAACAAAACCUUAUAGGGAAAAUUAUUUUAUUUUUUAAUUUCCUUUUCUCUAUUUUUAAAAAAAUUAAUUUUAGUUUUUUUUUCCAAUAACAAGAAGAAAUAGGGAUUUUUCUAGUGAAUUGCUUGGGUUUUUACAAGGGAAAAUAAGAGUUUAUAUAAUGAAUUGAGUUAUACUGAAAAACUUGAGCUUAUCUCGCAAAUGAAUAACUUAAUUCCUUGUGAAAACUCAAGCUUUUUCCUUGUUAUGAAAAAUAAAUUAUUUUAAAAAAAUUAGUGUUCAAAAUGAAAACUUAUUAAAGUUGGGUGAGUAAAAGUAGUGUACAAUAACAUUGAAUUAAUUGUGGGUGACCAAAAUGAAAUAGUUUUUAAUGACAAUGCCUAAAAUGAAAAUGGUUUUAAUGGCAAUACCUAAAAUCAAUUUUUUUUUAAUUUUUUGAUGGCCAAAAUGAAAAUUUAUGAAAGCUUAAUGACCAAUUGUGCAAUUACCCAAAAAAAAUUUCAUAAAAAAUAAAAGAAAACCAUAAGUAGUUUCCAUAAGAAAGUUGUCUAUCUUCAAUUAAUACAUGGGUAAACUACGCUGAUUAAAUUAUUAGUAAAUUUAUAUAUAAGUCACUCAAUUUUAAAGAGUUAAAAAUAAUAAUCAUUAAAUUAUUUAAAAAUUUUUAUUUAAGUCAUUGAAUUGUUAACUUUUUCUUUAAAUAUCCGACUAGCAAGUUUUCAAGUGACAAUUUGAUGAUCAGUCAAUACUCAUCACUAAGUAGAAGAACAUAUCUUAAAUUCAAGUUGAUUUGAUGGUCAGCAUCAAAUAUAAAAGAAUCAAACUGUUUAGAUUUUAGUUCGUAGAUUUGUGAUAUUUAAAGUUAUUUCAUGAAAAGAAAUUAAAUUAUAAAAGGGAAGAAGAGUGAAAUGUUUCAAUUGGUGUAGACGAUGUAAAGAAAAGAUCAUACAAUAAUAAUUUUAAUAAUGCAAUGACUUAAAUAAAAAUUUUCAAAUAAUUCAAUAAUUUUUUUAUAAUUCUUUUUUAAAAUUUAGUUAUCAAAACGGAAAUAAAUAAAUAAAAGACCUGAGGAAUUCCUGAUCCAAUUUGUAAAACUAAAAUAUCUAUCGUUAAUAUACCAGAAUCCCAGAUAAUAAUUCACACAAGAAAACGCGGUUCCAAGUGAACCACGGAUUUAGCCUUGCAUAGGUGCGACGACUUGACCAAGACACUAAUGAAAUUAUUAAUUUUAAGGUCUCUGUAUUUGACCUUCUUUUUUCAAACAAAAGCAUCAGCUUUUCUUAACUUAUUAGAAAUGCCGCUGGUUGUGAAAUAAUAAAUUUUAAAAACAUUAAAUUAUUAGGUAGGUACAUUUUGAAUGUUUCUUUUGCAUUUUUAUCUUCAAAGCUCAUAAAAUUAUGGGAAAAAUCCAACUAAUUUAAUUAUGAAAUUAAGAAAAUAAUUUUACGGGUAAUUAAUAUUAUUAUAAUUAAGAAUAAAUUAUCGAUACUAUUAUUUUACAAAAAAAAAAGAACAUAAUUAAAUUUUAGUAUCGAUUUUCAAAAAGGUAUUGAUUUAGUAUUAAUAUCUACUAUGGAUUUGCAUUAUUGAUUUUAAAACUUAAUGAUUUUGAAACUUAAUCCUAUUAUAUGAUUGGAGUUCACAACUAGAUCCUCUUUGAGUCCAAAAUUAAAUUAUAUAUAUUGGUUUAUAUGUGAUUUAUGUUUAAAAUUUAAGAGUUUUGUGUAUAAUAAAGAAAUUAUCAAUUGUUGAGCUUUGUCGUAACAUUGUUUACUCGGGUUUGACAACUGGGUAAGUAAGGGGUGUUACAUUACUCCUAUGUUAUCAACUACAAAAACAAAAUAAUAAUAAUAAUAAUAAUAAUAAUGGAUUCUACAAGCAUUCUAAGAUGCAAAAUCAUUAAUGAUAACAUCAACAUUAGUGUUUUUCAAAAAAUCUUUCUCGCUUGAUAAAAUUGUCAGACCAUUCAAUCGUUCUUGUGACAUUGACAACUUCAAGUAGGUUUUGAUUAACUUUAGCUUUGAAAAACUUUUUUCAAAUGAUGCCACAAUCACAAGGACCGUUAAGAAAAUUCUAUAAGCGAUUAAAAGAUUCGGAUAGCAAUCUGUAGAUUUAACAAACUUAAGAAUUUUAGUAGCUGACAUUAAUUCAUUCAAUAAGGUAAAUUGCAACACUUUCAAUCAGGUAACCUACGAAUUUAGCCUAUAAAUAGGCUCUAUUACAACCUUAAAAAAUAUACCCAUUAAAAUAUUAGAACUUAUAACAUUUUUGGAGAAUUUUAUGUUUACAUUUUGAGAGUUCUUUGUUUUCAGGUUUAGUUUUUAUUUCAAUCUUUUGAAUUCUUCAUUCUUUUGCCAUUAUAGUAAAAUUAUAUUUACCUAUGGUUUUUUUAUCCUCUUUAGAGGGGUUUUUUCACGUUAAAUUUAUGUGUCUAAUUUCUCAAUUUCUUCCGCUAUUUUUACUUGUUCGUUGCUUAAUCAGGUCAAUCCCCAACAAAAACUUAUAGGGAAAUUUAUUUUAUUUUUUAAUUUUAGGUUUUUUUUCCAAUAACAAGAAAAAAUAGGGAUAUUUCUAGUGAAUUACUAGGGUUUUUACAAGGGAAAAUAAGAGUUUGUACAAUGAAUUGAGUUAUAUUGAGAAACUUGGGCUUAUCUCGCAAAUGAAUAACUCAAUUCCCAGUGAAAACUCAAGUUUUUUUUCUUUUUAUGAAAAAUAAAAUUAUUUUAAAAAAAUUAGUGACCAAAAUGAAAACUUAUUAAAGUUGGGUGAGUAAAAGUAGUGUACAAUAACAUUGAAUUAAUUGCGAGUGACCAAAAUGAAAAUGAUUUUUAACGGCAAUGCCUAAAAUAAAAAUGGGUUUCAAUGGCAAUACCCAAAAUGAAUUUUUUUUAUGGCGAAAAUGAAAAUUUAUGAAAGCUUAAUGACCAAUUGUGUAAUUACCCAAAAAAAAUUCAAAAAAAAAAAACCAUAUCGUGUUUCCAUAAGAAAGUUGUCUACCUUUAAUUAAUACAUGGGUAAACUAGCAUUCUUAUUGAGACUCGAACUCAUAUGGAAGAAAAUAGAUUUAUGGAUAGAAUCAAAUAAGUAGUGGUUACAGACAAAAGUAUUCGGUUAUUGGUGAAAAAUUAAUAUACUUCUAAUGUCAAAUCAGGAUCAACAAGGACAGAAAUAAAGCAUUGAGUUGAACUCUUCUUUGGUGUCAAGAUAACAGCUAUGGAUAGUCAUCAACUCCCCAGAAAGGGUAGAAAAGUGGGACCUAUUAUGGGACAUACAAUGCAUUACAGGCUUAUGAUCAUUACGCUUCAACCGGGUUAUUCUAUUCCACCUCUUAGAACAAAAAGAACUUAAAUCAAAAUACUUAAUAGCAUGGCGAUACAUUUAUACAAAACUUCUACCCCGGGCUCACGCAAUGGAGCCGUAGACAAUCAAGUGAAAUCUAAUCUACGAAAUAAUUUGAUCUAUGGACAGCAUCGUUGUGGUAAAGGUCGUAAUGCCAGAGGAAUCAUUACCGCAAGGCAUAGAGGGGGAGGUCAUAAGCGUCUAUACCGUAAAAUUGAUUUUCGAAGAAAUGAAAAAGACAUAGAUGGUAGAAUCGUAACCAUAGAAUAUGACCCUAAUCGAAAUACAUACAUUUGUCUCAUACACUAUAGGGAUGGUGAGAAGAGAUAUAUUUGUCUCAUAUAUUGAACUAUUGAUUUACGUAAUUGGAAGGAACCAAUUAGGUUUACGAUGAAACCUAAAAAUUGAUCACUGAUCCAAUUUGAGUACCUCUAUAGGAUAGACCUCAACAGAAAACUGAAGAGUAACGGCAGCAAGUGAUUGAGUUCAGUAGUUCCUCAUAUAAAAUUAUUGACUCUAGAGAUAUAGUAAUAUGGAGAAGAAAAAAUUGUUUCAUGCACCGACAGAACCAGAAGCGCCCCUUGUUUCAAAGAGAAGACGACGGGUUAUUGACAUUUCAUUUGAUGGUAAAAGGUGAAUUGAAAGCUAAACUGUGGUAAUUUGAAAGAUUCCCCGGGGGAAAAUAGAGAUGUCUCCUAUGUUACCCAUAAUAUGUGGAAAUAUCGACGUAAUUUCAUAGAGUCAUUCGGUCUGAAUGCUACAUGAAGAACAUAAGCCAGAUAACGGAACGGGAAGACCUAGGAUGUAGAAGAUCAUAACAUGAGUGGUUCGACAGAUUUGGUUUCCUAUAUAUCCACUCGUGGUACUUCAUUGUACAAUACAUAUAAGAAUUAUAUGAUAAGAAUUAUACGAAUCCAUUUGUAUAGAUAUCAUCAUCUACAUCCAGAAAGUCAUAUGCUUUGGAAGAAGAUUGUACAAUUUGGGAAGGGGUUUUGAUUGAUCAAUCAAAAAGAAGAAUAUACUUCAAUCGGUAUGCCCUUAGGCACGGCCAUACAUAACAUAGAAAUCACACUUGGAAGGGGUGGACAAUUAGCUAGAGCAGCGCGUGCUGUUCGAAACUGAUUGCAGAGGAGGGGAAAUCGGCCACAUUAAAAUUACGUUCUGGGGAGGUCCGUUUGAUAUCCAAAAACUGCUCAGCAACAGUCAGACAGGUGGGGAAUGUUGGGGUGAACCAGAAAAGUUUGGGUAGAGCCGGAUCUAAAUGUUGGAACCCGAGCCCGGCCCGUUUUUUAAUUAAAAUUAAAAUUAUAUUUUUAUUAAAAUUAAAACUAAUUGUUAUUAAAAUUAAUUGUUAUCAAAAUUAAUUAUUAUUAAAAUUGUAUCAAAUUAUAUAUUUUUUGUACCAAUCAACAUUUUGUAAAAUCUAUCAUUUUGUUAGUAAAAUUAUUAAUUGUAUUAAUUGUUACUAAAAUUAUCAAAUUAUUAAUUAUUAAGUGUUACUAACAUUUUGUUAGUAAAAUUAUUAAUUGUUAAUUGUAUUAAUUGUUAGUAAAAUUAUCAAAUUAUAUCAAAUUAUUAAUUGUUAAUUGUAUUAAUUAUUGUAACAAAAUCUAACAUUUUGUAACUUAAAAUAAAACUAAAACUAGUAUAUUUUAAAAAUAAAAAUAUAUAUAUUUAAUAUAUUUUCGGGCCGGGCCUGGGCCAAAAAAAUCUUGCCCGAGGCUCGGCCCAUUUUUUAAACGGGCCUCGUUUUCUGUCGAAGCCCGUAUUUCGGGCCUAUAUUUUUACCCAAACCCUCCCAUAUUUUGGGCGGGCCGUCGGGCCGGGCUGGGCCGCCCGGCCCAUGGACAAGUCUACUCCAUACUACCUAAAACCCAUGCAACCUUCAUACCCUAAGUGGUACGAUGCGAACGCCCAAUGCGAGUAUCACGCGGGGACUACAAGGCACUCGAUUGAAAACUACACUGCAUUCAAGAAGUUAGUUGAAAAUUUUAUCAACAUGGGGAUUGUAAAAUUUGGUGACCCAUCAGGACCAAAUGUGGCAGGGAAUCCGUUACCCAAUCAUGUUGAUAAAGGGGUGAACGCGAUAAUUGAGAAUGGAGGAAAGAGAGUCAAAGCUAACGUAGCAGAGAUAAAGACUCCCCUUGAAUGGGUUUGGAAAUGAAUGAUAGAAGGAGGCCUCAUCAAGCAAGAUUUAACGGAAAGGCCUGAAGGAACAAGGAAGUUUUGUGAGUUCCAUGCGAAAGAAGGCCAUGACAUCCAAAAAUGCACCUAGUUCAAAACCAUGGUGCAAAACUUAAUGGAUAACAAAGAGUUGGAGUUUUAUGAAGAGAUUACGGGACUAGAAGAGGGAGAAGUUUAUGCCUCAGAGGAAGGAUCUGCAGGGAAAGCCCAAAGGGUUAAUCACCCAGUGGUGAUGGAGAAGAGAGCUUGGUAAAUGCUUCAAAAGAGGAUGUAGAAUUCUAUACGCGAAGUGAAAAACGUUAUGAUCCUGCAAAUGCAGGAGUGGAAUCUGAAAAAGGAAAAGCAUUAGCAGUUGAGCAAGGGAAAGCAAAAACGGACAGGAUUGAAUCGCAUGUUAAUCAGCCCAUAACUGAAAAUAAGGGUAGAGAAUUUCUAAAAUUCUUAAAGUAUAGCGAGUACAGUGUGGUGGAGCAACUUCAUAAGUAACCGGCUCGUAUCUCGGUGCUUGAGUUGCUUCUAAGUUUAGAGAUACAUUGUAAUGCAUUGAUAAAGGUACUAAAUGAAACAUAUGUCGCUAACGAUAUCUCGGUGAACAAGUUGGACCGUUUGGUUAACAAUAUAAGUGCCGACAAUUUCAUUUUCUUUAAUGAUGAUAAAAUACCACCGGGUGGAAGAGUAGCCACCAAAGCCCUACAUAUCACUACUCGCUGCAGAGAAUAUACGUUGCCAGUGGUGCUAAUCGAUAAUGGAUCGGCCUUGAAUGUCUUACCCUUAUCCACCUUAAACAGGUUACCGGUGGAUAGCUCUCACAUGAAAUCAUGCCAGAAUAUAGUGAGAGCAUUCAAUGGUACCGAAAGGAGGGUGAUGGGAAGAAUAGAAGUACCCCUCUUGAUUGGCUCGAAUACAUACGAGGUGGAUUUCCUAGUGAUGGAUAUCAAGCCCUCGUAUAAUUACUUGUUGGGAAGAACUUGGAUUCAUUCAGCAGGAGCGGUGCCUUCAUCAUUGCACCAGAAGUUGAAAUUGGUAACUGAAGGCCGAUUAAUUACGAUAAGUACUGAAGAAGACAUCAUUGCAUUAGUGACCAAUGACGCACCAUAUUUGGGAAUGGAUGAUGAGGCGAUUGAAUGUUCCUUUCCAUCAUUAGAAUUUGUAAAUGUGACAUUUGUUGUUGAGGGAAAGAAGAUCUCGAUGCCUAGCAUAUCUAGAGCCACAAGGAUGAGACUACAAAUGACAGUUAGGAAAUGAGCUGUGCCUGGGAGAGGACUUGGAAUAUGCCUUCAAGGAAGGAUAGAGGCACCAAUGGUGAAAGAUAAACAAGACUACUUUGGUUUAGGAUUUAAGCCAAAUGCUAGGUAAAGAAGGAAAGAGUUAGAAAAAAGACAGGAGAGGAGAAAGGCGCGUUUGAGUGGAGAAGAAGUUGAUUAGGAACCUAUGACUUUCCCCCACAUAUCUAGGACCUUCGUACCAAGGGGAACCAUGUAUUCUGGACUGAUGACACCAAGAAAGGAGACCACGAAGGAAAUGUUAGGAAACCUGAACAUCAAUGCCAUAUUUAAAGAAGACUCUGAAGAAGAAAGUAUAUCAGGCAUCCGUCCCUAUGAACCUGGGAGUGUUCUAAGUAACUGGACUGCAGAAGAAAUACCUGAAGUUUUUAGAGCUUCUCCAGAGUAAUAUUCAAAACAUACUAAUUGUUUUAAGCCUAGAGACAAUGAAAACUUUUUGUAAAAUGGGCAUAUGUUUGAACAUUGUGACUUCAAUGAAAUAUAUCUUCGCCAUUUCUUUUUGAGCAUAUAUUCUUUCAUUCUUUCGUAUGAAUAGUCAUUUUGGAUCCUUUUAUUCCAAAUCAUUCUUUCAUUAAUUCAUGACCAUACUAUAAAUAAGUAUUCUUAAAUUCAUACAUUCCUUGUAUAUUCUUUGGUACCUAUAACAGGUCCCAAGAUAUCAAUGACAUGAGUGACUCUACUAUGGACUCAGAAAAUCCUUUUGAACGGGAUAUGUGUUUAGAGAAAUCUCAUGAUUUUGAAGAAAACAUAGAUUGCAACCUAUCUCCAGACUUGUUGAGGAUGGUAGAGCAGGAGAAGAAACAAAUCCUACCUCAUAAGGAGACGGUGGAGACUGUGAUCCUGGAAGAGGGAAAUGUGGUGAAGAUUGGAACAUGCAUAGCUGAAGAAACAAAACAAGACUUUAUUGAUUUGCUUCGAGAGUUUAAAGACGUCUUCGCAUGGUCGUACCAGGAUAUGCCUAGCUUAAAUACUGAUAUUGUAGUUCACCAUCUUCCUAUAAAGGAAGAUUGCAAGCCAGUUCAGCAAAAACUCCGAAGAAUGAGGCCUGAUGUUGUACUAAAAAUAAAAGAGAAUGUUCAAAAGCAAUUCGAUGCUGGAUUCUUACAAGUGGUCAAAUAUUCCGAAUGGGUAGCCAACAUUGUACCCGUCCUUAAAAAAGAUGGGAAAGUACGAAUGUGCGUAGAUUACAGAUAUUUGAAUAAAGCUAGCCCGAAAGAUAAUUUUCCCUUACCUCACAUCGACAAACUGGGAGAUAACACGGCAGGACACUCACUAUUUUCUUUUAUGAAUGGUUUCUCGGGAUAUAACCAAAUCAAAAUGCAUCCUGAAGAUAUGAAGAAAACUACGUUCAUAACCAUAUGGAAGACUUUCUGUUAUAAAGUGAUGUCGUUUGGGUUGAAAAAAGCGGGAGCCACAUACCAGAGAGCCAUGGUGACCCUUUUCCAUGAUAUGAUGCAUGAGGAGAUUGAAGUAUAUAUUGACGACAUGAUCGUAAAAUCCCAGACGAAAAGAGAACAUGUACAAGUCUUAAGAAAGUUGUUCUUAAGAUUAAGAAAGUUCCAAGUCAAACUUAAUCCAGCCAAAUGUAUCUUUGGAGCUAGGUCAGGAAAACUUCUGGGGUUUGUAGUCAGUGAAAAAGGGAUUGAAAUCGACCCAAACAAAGUCAGGCCAAUUCGAGAUUUACCUCUACCACGUACUUAGAAAGAAGUUCGAGGUUUCUCAGGAAGACUGAAUUACAUUGCUCGGUUCAUUGCGUAAUUAACUGAGAAAUGUGACCCCAUAUUCCGUAUUUUAAAGAAACAUAAUCCCGAUGUGUGGAAUGAAUAAUGUCAGGAGGCUUUUGACAAGAUAAAGCAGUACUUGUCCAAUACCCCAGUGUUGUCGCCACCUAGGCCAGAUAAACCAUUGAUCCUGUAUCUAACAAUGUUCAACAACUCCAUGGGAUGUGUUCUAGGUCAACAUGAUGAGACGGGAAAAAAGGGGAAGGCGAUCUAUUAUCUUAGUAAGAAAUUUACUGACUGUGAAAUGAGGUAUUCGCCUAUUGAAAAAUUAUGUUGUGCCCUGAUCUAGACGACACGAAGAUUGAGGCAAUACAUGCUCUAUCAUAUGACUUGGCUAAUUUCAAAGUUAGACCAUCUAAAGUAUAUGAUUGAGUCAACAGCGUUGAAUGGGAGGAUGGCUAGGUGGCAGAUCCUACUCUCUGAAUUGGAUAUAGUCUAUGUAAAUCAGAAGGCUAUCAAAGGGAGUGCGAUAGCAGAAUUCUUGGCCAGCAGAGCUUUAGAAGACUACAAACCUCUGAAUUUUGAUUUCCCGAAUGAAGACUUGAUGUAUGUGGCAACCGCUGAAGAGGAUUCCCACAAAAAUCAUCCUUGGAAGUUAAAUUUUGACGGAGCUUCGAAUGCUGUAGGCAAUGGAAUUAGGGCAGUCCUGGUGUCCCCUGAUGGAGAUCAUUAUCCUUUUACUAGUAAACUAGAUUUUGAUUGCACCAAUAAUAUGGUUGAAUAUGAAGCUUGCAUCAUGGGCAUCCGGGCAGCCAUAGAGUGAAAAAUUAAGAUAGUAGAGGUAUACGGAGACUCUGCAUUAAUAAUUUACCAGCUCAAAGGGGAAUGGGAAACGAGAGACCCGAAGUUAGUCCGCUAUCAAAAAUUGGUUCUGGAAUUGAUUGAGGAGUUUAAAAGUGUCACCUUUUGUUAUCUCCCACGAGACGAAAACCAGAUGGCUGAUGCUUUGGCCACUCUAGCCUCUAUGAUCAGAGUGAACAGACCAGAAGAUAUGAAGCAUAUUCAGAUCAGCAUUCAUGAGACCCCAGCUUCUUGCUACAGUAUUGAAGAAGAGGAAAAUGAUGACCAUCCAUGGUACCAAGACAUACUACGAUAUGUAAAGAAUCGUGAAUACCCCGACCAUUCGACAGAAAGUGACAAAAGGACAUUGGAGAUUGGCUAUUAAUUAUGUCUUGGAUGGGGAGAUUAUGUACAAGAAGGGAAAUGAUCAAGUAUUAUUAAGAUGUGUGGAUGCUGUGGAGGCUAAGAAAAUUUUGGAAUAAGUCCAUGAAGGUAUCUGUGGAACGUAUGCCAAUGGCUUCACAAUGGCCAAACAGAUUAUGAGAUUCGAUUUCUAUUGGUCCACCAUGAAAGGGGAUUGCAUUAAUUAUGUCAAAAAGUGCCAUAAAUGUCAAAUUUAUGGUGACAAAAUGCAUACACCACCUUCACCCCUUCACGUUAUGACCUCUCCAUGACAUUUCUCCAUAUGGGGAAUGGAUGUCAUCGGGCCAAUAUUUCCAAAGGCUUCUAAUGGACAUCGUUUUAUCUUUGUGGUUAUUGAUUAUUUCACUAAAUGGGUUGAGGCUGCUUCAUAUGCUAAUGUCACGAAAUCAACAGUUAGCAAGUUUCUGAAAAAGGAGAUAUAUGUCGAUACGGGAUGCCUGAAAGGAUCAUAUCUAACAAUACGUUGAACUUGAACAAUAACUUAAUAGUGAAAGUAUGUAGUUAGUUCAAGAUCAGACACCAUAAUUCGUCACCGUACCACCCAAAAAUGAAUGGUGCUGUGGAAGCGACUAACAAAAAUAUCAGGAAAAUUGUAGGGAAAAUGAUUGAAACCUACAAGGACUGGCACAAAAAAUUACCUUUCACUCUCCUGGCAUAUCGAACAUCCGUUAGAACUUCUACUGGAGCAACACCAUCUUCUUUAGUAUAUGGGAUGGAGGUAGUUUUACCCAUAGAAGUUGAAAUCCCUUCUCUCCGAGUAUUAACUGAACUAAAGUUAGAUGAGGCCGAAUGGAUUCAAUCUCGAUAUGAUCAGCUGAACUUGAUAGAAGAAAAGAGGCUAAAAGCUAUUCGUCACGGUCAGAUGUAUCAGAAACGAAUGAUGCGAUCCUAUAACAAAAAAGUUCGUCCCAGAGAAUUUCACGAGGGGGACCUAGUGUUGAAAAAGAUUCUUCCUCUACAAAAAGAUUUUAGAGGGAAAUGGAUGCCAAAUUGGGAAGGUCAUUAUGUAGUAAAGAAGGCCUUUUCUGGAGGAGCUUUGAUCUUGAGCGAGAUGAAUCCUGUAAACUCAGAUUCAGUCAAGAAAUACUUUACUUGAAGGAAGAGGGUUAAAAGUGAAAAUCUGUAAAGGGCACUUUAAGUCUAAAAAAAAAAAGGGAGAGGCCAAGGUGAAAACCUGUAAAGGGCGCCUUGAGACCAAAGGGGAUUUGAGUUGAAAACCUAAAAAAGGCGGCUCAAAUUUUGAUGGGACAUGAAGUGAUUGGGGCAGUUCAAAUUUUGAUUAAGAUCUGGGGCAUGUGCUGGUCCCAUUAUACCUGAAUCAACAAGAAAAGGGUAGGAGACAUCUUUAGGCGUCGACAAAGUAAUGUUGAUUUCCUAAACACAUAUCAAAUUCAGAAUGGUCUUUAGAAAGCUUAUGUAGGGAAGCUCGUGCUGCGAUAUCUGGGGCACUUGUCGUCAUCUUAUUUAUUUUGAAUCAUAGCAGAAUUUACUAUCUUGAUUGAUAUAUUCAUUUCUAGCUUUGCUCUCAAUAAAAUUCCAUCUUGUCCAUUGUUUUUCUAAUCUUAUCUUAGCAAAAUUUGCUAUCUUGAUUAACUUAUUCAUUUCGAGAUUUGUUCUCAAUAAUAUUUUGGUUGUCCAUUAUGAUAAUCAUUUUCAAACAUUUGAAAUAAUGCUUGAUGGACUGAAUGUUCAAGCAAAAAGAGUUUUUGCAUAUUACUCUAGAAAUUUCUAAAUAAUAUAGGAACCUGAAACAGGACUGUUGUUUAGAACACACCAAGUUUAAAGUUUGAAAUGUUUAAGAAGAGAAAGUCUAAAUUGAGACUAUCCUUUCAGAUUUUACUGUCCGAACAUUGAUUAAGUAAAACGACAAGAUGUCGUAUUGGUGACAAAGCUUCAUUAAACAAACAAACAAUGAUCACCGAAUGAUAAGAAGAGGUUUUCUCAGAAGAAAAAGUCUUACAGUUGUGCAUAAACACUUGGUACGACACCUUGGGAAUGGUGUACGAGGCCAAAGAGAUUCAGAUCCUGUAUCCCCAAUUUGCAGUGGGAGAGAUUUGAGAAAGAGCCAGAUCUUAUACUCCUAAAUUACAGUGGAAGGAAGAUGGUUUUGAAUUUUAUGUCCCAGGAUUACACUGGGGGCAAUCCGAUCAAGUAAGAAAUGAGCAUUACCAACUGGAUAAGAUAGCAUUCUGACAUGUUGGUAGUUAAGCCUUAUUGAACAACGGGCAAUAACAACUCAAACAUUGAGGGAUCAUUUUCAUUUUGCAUGCAUGCAUACACAUUUAGCCAAGAUAUUUUGAUUCAUUUCGAUCAUAAUCAGUAGGCAUAAAUAGGUUGAUAAAAUAGAUUAUACAGGUCAUGUUACCCAAAGAACAGAUAAAUGAAGAUGGCAGAUCUGGUCUUCCUGAACUGACAGUGAAGCAUAUCGAAAAAACCAUAGUUUCCAAUUAAAAGAUUGAGGCCACAACGGUAAAUCUUAUUCCCAGGCAGUGCAGCGGAACAUAUUGAAGCUACAAUGGCAAAUCUUACUUCCCCGAUAUUGCAAUUAAAAAAUUGAAGCCACAACGGUAAAUCUUAUUCCCAGGAGGUGCAGUGGAAUAGAUUGAAGCUACGACGGCGAAUUUUGAUUCCCCGACAUUGCAAUUAAAAGAUUGAGGCCACAACGGCAAAUCUUAUUCCCAGGCGGUACAGCGGAACAGAUUGAAACUACAACGGCGAAUCUUGCUUCCCCGACAUUGCAAUUAAAAAAUUGAGGCCACAACGGCAAAUCUUACUUCCCAAGCGGUGCAGCGGAACAGAUUGAAGCUACAACGGUGAAUCUUGUUUCCCCGACAUUGCAAUUAAAAGAUUGAAGCCACAACAGCAAAUCUUAUUCCCAGGCGGUGCAGCGGAACAGAUUGAAACUACAACGGCGAAUCUUGCUUCCCCGACAUUGCAAUUAAAAGAUUGAGGCCACAACGGCAAAUCUUACUUCCCAGGCAGUGCAGCGAAACAGAUUGAAGCUACAAUGACAAAUCUUGUUUUCUCCGACAUUGUAAUUUAAAGAUUGAAGUCACAAUGGUGAAUCUUAUUUCCUAGGCGGUGCAGUGGAAUAGAUUGAAGCUACAACGACGAAUCUUAAUGCCCUGACAUUACAGUUAAACAGACAGAAGAAGCCAAUCCUAUAUCUCUGAAGUUGCAGUGGAGCGGAUUAAAACCACAGAUCUUAUCUCUCUGAAGUUGCAGUAGAGCAGAUCGCAUCCAGUCUUAUCUCCCUGAAGUUGCAGUGGAGCAGACAGAAGAAUCCAAUCCUAUCUCUCUGAAGUUGCGGUGGAGCGGAUUGAAACCACAGAUCUUAUCUCCCUGAAGUUGCAGUGGAGAAGAUUGAAGAUGAAUCCUAUACCUCCGAAGUUGUAGUAGGUCAGAUUAAAUCUACCAUAACAAGUCUUAUUUCCCUGAAGUGUAGUGGAGUGGAUUCAAGCGACAAGACACAGUGGACUGGAAUGAGGCUACUUGAAGAAGAGAAGCGUCAAAAGAAGUCGAGACUCGGUAAGGCCAGACAAAAUUGGUCUUUCUUAAUCUUUGCUCUGUUCCCGUUACACGACAACAAGCAAAGAUGGGCAGCUGUACAGACCCAUUCUGCCCGGGCCCAAACCCACCUAAACCUAAGCUUAAACCCAAACCCACCUAAACCUAAACCCAAAAUCCAUUACAAACUAAACCCAAAUAAGCCUAGGCCUGGACCAAUUAACCCAAUUACCCCAAAUUCAUUUCUUGUAGCCCAAAAUAAACAAAAGAAAGAAAGAAAGAACCUAACCCUAGGUGCGCCGCAUGUGACCCGACCCGACCCGACUAAGGGAUCCGCGUGUUUUUUAGGAUUGGGUUAUUUACCCUUUUGGUCCUUCUGCUUUUAGCGAUUUUUUAAAUCAAGUAUUUUUAUCGUUUUCAAUCAUGCCCCACAAUUUGUUGCGCUUUCAUUUUGACCCUUUAUCUGAACGACGUCAUUUUGGGGCAUGGGGAUUAUUACCCUUUUAGUUCCCUCAUGCUGCGCGCAUGUUCAGAUUGGUCCUUACCUUUUAUUUUACUUGGAUUUUGCCCCGAAUGUUUGAUUUAAGAUUCAAAUUAAUCCUUUCUUUUACCCUUUUUGUAUUUCUUAUUAAUUAAUUUAGUUAUUGUCUUCUUUAUAUUUUCUUUUUGUUAUUUCUUUAUUCAUUAUUAUUAUUAUUAUUAUUAUUAUUAUUAUUAUUAUUAUUUACCCAUUUAUAUCCUUUAGUUUCAAAUUUUAUUAUAUAUACAUUAGAUUUUUUUAUAUUUUUUGUUAUUGUUAUUAUUGUUUUAUUUGAUGCUUAUUUGUUUAUAUGUUAAUUAUUAUUUUGAAAAAUGUUUUAGUUUUAUUCGUCUAUUUACAUGUUGUAUGUAAUCCAUUUGUCUUAUUAUUAUUAUUAUUAUUAUUAUUAUUUGUUUGUUAUGGUUGCUUGUUCAUAUCAUCGUAUUCAUUAUUUUCGUUUAUUAAAGCGGCAUUUAUUCAUAUAUUGAGUUUAACAUCACAUCAAUUUUACCCAAAUUCAUAAAAAGAGAAAAUUUUGAAAAUAAAGGCAAUACUCGGUAUUUGGGAUCUUCGAGAGGAUCGAGCCCUAACGUAUUGGGUUCCGAUUUCUUUCGUUGAGACUAAAUAGUCGUGAAUGCUCUUUCAAUCGAAAAACAUGAAUAAAAGCUCAUUAUCGGGAAUUCAAUAUGUUGUGUCCUAACGCAUUGGAUAUGACACGUUUUUUCGAUAUGAGGAUUUUAUUAAAAAUAACAAAGGCAAUAUUCAAUGUUUGGAAUGUUGAGAAAUUGUGCUCUAACGUAUUGGGCUGCGAUUUCCUCAUCUGACUUAAACAAUUGAAUAUCCUUUUUAAAUUUUAUCAUAUGAGUUUUUUAAGACAAGCAACUUGUUUUAUAUAAGUCUUUUAAAACAAAGGAUCGUAUUUUUAAAUCUCUUUAAAAUUUUCAAUUUUCGACAUUAAGACAUUGACUAAUCAACUAGGUACCAAUUUUUUGGGCGUUACGAGGGUGCUAAUCCUUCCUUGUACGUAACCGACUCCCGAACCCCUUUUUUUCUGAAUUUUGUGAACCAAAAUCGAUGUUUUAAUAAAAUCAAAUAGUUUAUUAAAAACAACCACUUUUCAAGGUGAUCCAAUCACACCUUAUUAAAAAGGAUUGGUGGCGACUCCCGUUUUCGUUUUCGUUUUCAAAUUCCAAGUCGACCCCGUUUUUAUCAAAAAUAUGGUGUCAACACUACUCAUAGCCCAUCUCAACCUGUAAAUAGGAGGAUAAUAAGCUUCAGCGUCCUUGAACCCACCGUCCUCCUGCAUUGACAACAAUGUCCAGGUCAAUCGAGCUAAAACUCAAUCGGCUAUGGGAAAAAUUACAUGACUUGAUAUAUAUAUAUAAAUAUAUAUAUUGUUUGAUAUCAUCUAUAGUAUAUAUAAAAUGGUCGACUAAGUUAAUAAUAUGAAUCAAUUCGACACCAACUCAAUUAUGAAAUUAUUAAAAUAUCAUUACUUUAAAAUGUAAUUAAUAUUAUUAUAAUAGUUCUUUUGUUAUUUCAUACUUUUAUAUAAUAAUUAAAAUAAAACAACCUAAAAAAAUUAUUUAAGAAUCAAAUAGAAGACCAAUAAAUUUAAAUAAAAAUCUCUUAUCACUCCACCCAUAAUCAUUUGUUGAAAUAAUUAUAUAUAUAUAUAUAUAUUUAAGGGAAAAUAUUUGGUACACAGUUAGUAAAGUUUUUAUACUCUACAAGAUUAGGGGUUUGACAAAUGUCUUAUAUGAAUAUAGUAAAAUAUUAAAAAAUAGAAAUUAAAAAAAACGUAUAUCAAAAUUUUAAAAUUUCUUAUAAAAUAAAAAAAUUUAUAUUGUUAAUGUACCAAAUAUUUAUCUUACUUUUAAUAUAAAAUAUUUGCUUUAAAUUAUAGGUGUAAAAUUAAACAUGAUAAUAAAACCAAAAACUAUAGCUUUCAAAUUGAAGAAAAUAAAUGACUAUGUGCCCACAACCAUCAGAGACUCUAAGGCAUUAAAGGUAAUGAACAUGGUAGCAUGCAUAGUAGAAGAUGAGGAAUGUCCACUUUCCUUUUUGUUUACAAGUGCUUUUUCUUAUUUUUAUAUUUAAAUAGUAAUAAUAAUAAUAAUAAUAAUUAAAUCUUAGUUUUUAUCUUUAAAUUUAAAUCUUAAUUUUUAUCUUUAAAUUUUUAACAUAAUUAGUCUUUAUAUUUUUAUAAUGUUACUAAUUAGUUGAAAUAGUUAAUAUCGUUAACGUUUUUAUUAAAACAUUAUGUGGUUACAUAUAACUCGAUCUUUGCAGAAUGUCAACUAAGCCCAAAACAUUCUCAAACAUGGAAACCGAAAUACUCUAAAUAUUCAAUUCAAGGUUGUAUAAUGCAACCAGGGCUAGUGAUACAUGAACGGAUGUGUGCUUCACAUCAGGAAAGAAAACAUCGAGCAAAUCAACUCCCUCCACUUGAUUGUCACCCAUUGCUAAAAACCUUGCUUUAAACACUCUAUUUUAUCCGAAACUACUACAAUCUGAAAUCUGUGAUUCCACCGAACUUCUCGAUAUCGAAUUUCGUUGUCUCCAUUUUUGAACGGGUUGCUUGCAGAAUCUAAACUAAACUCUAAUACAAAUUUGUUGGGGAUUGACCCAUGUAAAUAACGGGAUAGUAAAAGUGGAGAAGAACAAACACAAAUAUUUUACUUGAAAAACUGUCAAAGAGGAAAAAAACCACGAGCAAAAGAGGUAUCAACUUUUUACUAAACAAGUAAACAAACAAAGAGUACGAUAUGGGGAAAAGAAAUCUAAUUGCACUAAAUGUACAAUCCCAAACCCCAAAAGCUAAGCCCUAACUCUCAUAAAGAAAACUUGAAAAUAAAACCCUAACUCUUACAGAGUUUUCUCAAAAAGAGGUACAGAAUUCUUUCCAUAGUUACCACUAAAACUCUCACCAAAACUUAUCUGCGACUACUACAUCUUGUCGCCCUUCAACAGAAAAGUAUUAUAAUACUACAUCUUUAGUUGUCUUUUUAAUUGGUCUCCCAAAACAGGGAUAUAAGACCCCUCCAAAUAGGCAAAGAUUAGAGAUCUAAUCAUACUAAAAUAUCCCUGGAGUAAUCAGAGUUUAACUGAAAAAACAUAGUAGAGUUUAAUUGGGAUAAGAAACCCAAAAUAUGUGAGGAACAUGUCGCAACGUUUUCAUUCGCGUCGUCUGUCAUCCCAACGUUAGGAAGUUUCUUGUUGUAAUGCUAUCGUCUGUUCGACCGAAAAUACGAUGCAAACUUAAUAAAUCUCCACCUUGACUCGUAUUUACCAUUCCUUCUUCUCCAUGCCCCGUCACGGGCCAAACUCGAUCUUUAUUGAAUGUUAACCAAGCCCAAACCAUUCUCAAACUUGGAAACCGAAAGACUCCUAGUCUUCAAAUCAAGGUUGUAUAAUGCAACUAGGGCUAGUGAUACACGAACGGACGUAUGCUUCACAAUAAGAAAGAAAACAUCGAGGAAAUAAACUCCCUCCACUUGAUUGCCACCCUUUGCAACCAACCUUGCUUUAAACACCCUACUUUAUAUAAAAUUGCUACAAUCUGAAAUCUAUGAUUCCAUCAACCUUCUCAAUAUUGAAAUUCGUUGUUGCCAUCCUUGAUGAGUUGAUUGCGAAAUCUGAACCAAGCUGUCACACUAGUUUGUUUGGGAUUGACUCGUGUAAACAACGAGAGAGUAAAAGUGGAGAAGAACGAACACAAAUAUUUUAAGUGAAAAACAGUCAAAGAAGAAAAAACCACGAAAAAAAUAUGUAUCGACUUUUCACUAAAUGAGUAAACAAAUGAGAGUACAAUAUGGAGAAAAUAAAUCUAAUUGUACUAAAUCUACAAACCUAAACCCCGAAAACAAAGCCCUAACUCUGAUAGAGCAAACUCGAAAACAAAACCUAAAUCCCAUAGAGUUUUCUCAAAAAGGGUUAGAGAAUUCUCUCCAUAUUUACCACAAAAACUGUCACCAAAACUCAUUUGCGACUACAUAUUGACGCCCCCAAAAGAAAAGCCUUUAAUUGCCUUUUUAAUUGGUCUUCAAAAAUAUAGAUGCAAGUCCAAUUAAAAUAGGCUAAGAUUAUAGGUCUAAUCAUACUAAAAUAUCCCUAGAUUAAUCAGAUUUUAAUUGGAAAAAUAUAGCAGAAAUUAACUGUGAGAAGAAACCUGAUUUAUAUGGGGGAAACAUCGUCACGUCACAACGUACCUAUUUGCAUCGUCACAAUGUUGUCCAUUGUCGUAACGUCGAGAAGCUUCUCAUCGUGACGUAGCCAUUUGUUUGGCCGAAAAUAUAAGGCAUACCCCACUAAUCUCCACCUUGACUUGUAUUUACCAUACAUUCUUCUCUAUACCCUGUCACGAGCCGAACUCAAUCUUUGCAGAAUGUCAACAAAGCUCAAACCGUUCUCAAACUUGGAAAUUGAAAGACUCUUAAUCUUCAAAUCAAGGUUGUAUAAUGCAACCAAAACUAGUUGUCGAAAACAUUUUUAAUUUUGAAAAAAUGGGAUCGACUUUAAAAAUAAAAAUUAGGAGUCGCCACCGACCUUUUAUUGAGGUGUGAUCGGUUCACCAUUAAAAACGGUUUUGAUCUGUGAAAUUUGAAAAAACGAGUUCGGGAGUCGGUUACGCACGAGGAAGGGUUAGCACCCUCGUAACGCCCAAAAUUGGUACCGCAUUGAUUGUUUGGUGUCUUAAUGUCGAAACUUUGAAAAGACUUUAAAAUACUAUUCUUUGAUGAGAAAACUUGAAUAACUAAAUUGAAUGAUAAGGUGCACCCAUUUCACAGAAAUAGAUUGCCACACUCAGUAAGUUAGGGUGCGACAAUUCAAUCUUUGAAAUUAGAUUCGUUCCUUUUUUAAGAAAAUCAUGUGCUUUAAGAAGGAUAUUUGAUUAUUUAAGUUAGUCGAGAAAUCGUAAUCCAGUAAGUUAAGGUUCAAUUUCUCGAAGUUCUCAAACAUCAAACAUUGCCUUUAUUUCGAAAUUGAGAUAACAAAAUGUUGUAUCCAGUAAGUUAGGAUCAAACAUUUUGAAACCUUAAGAGCUUUAUUUUAAUGCUUGUGUGGCUUUAAUAAAAUGGGCGCUUGAUCAUAUAAAUUCAUCGAGAAGAAUCGAAGCCCAGUAAGUUAGGGCUCAAUUCCCUCGAGAACCUAUGUACGUCAAGCCCUUUUUAAAGUUUGUGGAAUAAGACGGUCAUGAGGCUUUAAUAAAAUUCAACUCAAAUGAAACAUGAUUGAAUAACGAUACAUAGAAUAAUUUAAACUUAAACUAGAAGCAAUUAAACUAAUAAUAGGCAAAUACAAACAUCGAUUUAAAGCAUAUUAUGCAAACAUCCAUAUUAACAUUUAAGCAACCCAUGAAUUCACAAUCAAUUAAAAAACAAAAGACAAUAACAACAAUAAAUAAUACAAAUGUAAUAGAACUAAGAAAACAAAUAAAAUGUUUGAAUGAAUUUUAAUGAAAGGUUUAUAAAAAACGAAAUGAAAUAAAACUGAAUAAUCUUAAAAUUAAUACCUACAUCUUGAUUUAUAUAAAUAAAAUCUAGUAUAAAUAAUAGUAUAUACAUAACAAUAAUAGAUGGAAGUUAAAGUAAAACGACAAAUUUAGAAGGAAUACGACUUCCAUACAUAAAUAUAUCAUUUGAAAUUAAUAAGGUAUUAUUAUAUAUAAUUAUAUAUAAAAUAUAAAUUAACCUCUUAUAAAAUAUAAAGUUAAUUAUAUAUAUAAAUAUAUAAAGUUAAUCAUAUAUAUAAAAAACAAAUACAUAUAUAAAAAAUUUAAAAAUAAUAAUAACAGUAAUACAAUAAAAAAAUAAGUAUGAUAAUAAAAUAAUAAUAGAUUUCCUAAAUAAAAAAAAAACUAAAUAACAAAAGGGAUUAAAUCAUAAAUAAAAUCGAAUUAACAGGGAAUAACUAAGAUUAAAGAGAAGUAGGGGGACCAUGUUGCAACACGCGUAUUACAUGGGGGCCCGAUUGGGAAAUAUCUCGCUUCCUCAAAACGCGGCGUUGCAAGCUGGGCCGAAAUGAAACAGAAACGAAAAUGUAGAGCAAAAUCGAAAAAAAAAUAAAAAAGGGAUCGAUUUAAAUGCGCUGUGAAAAUGGCAAGGACCAUUUGCGCAAAUCGCCCAACGGAGGCCAAAACGCGCGGAUCCUUCCCCGGGUUGGGUCAUUGCGCGGGUAGUUGGGGUUUAGUCGGCCAACACGACACCGUUUAAGGGCCACUGAAACAGGCCCUAAACGGUGCCGUUUUACACGCUAUAAAAGGCCCCUCAUAACCCUAAAAACAAAUCUGCUGAAAAUAGAUCCUGGCCUCCACACUUGCACCGCUUCGACUAGACGUCCCGGAGCCCUCGAACCUCGUCUCAACUCCGAUGAUUGCAGAGAGAACAAGAGCUCGGCUACCAGGUAUGUUUACACUCCUAAAUCUCUUUCUUUUAUUCCUCUUCUACUCAAAUAAAGAACCAAAUGCUCAUAGGAACAAAGAAAUGAAAGAAAAAAAGGAAAAGGAAACCAGAUGCAAAGGAAAAUUUUUUCACCUUUCGAACUUUUUUCUUUUUUAUUUCUCUGAAUAUUUUUCAAUAUGUGUGUGUGUCCCCUUACAAAAGUUUUCGCCUUUUGUUUUAUAGGCCGAAAACAAUGAACAAAAAAUGAAAAAUGAAAAUACAAUUUUUUUUGUUUUCUACUGCGUUGUUUGCUCUGUUUGCAGGUCGUUGCAGGUGCGAGGCCGUACGGUGACGUGGCACGACUCGGCGCAGCGCAUGGAGGUUACUGUUGCAGCGGCUGGAGCUGAAUGCUGUUGAAGGCUAGGGUUUCAUUUUGACUCGGGCCAUGUAAACUGGGUUAGAGUAUUUUGGGCUCGGGUUUGGGCUUGGUGUUGGGUAAUACCAUUUAGGCUGGUGGGUUUUGUGUUGCAUUGGGCUUGGGCUAAAGUAAUUUUGAUUUAUUUAGGUCUGUAAUAUUGGACUUUGAAAGUGGACUUUUAAUUUUUUGAUUUGGUUUAUUUAUUUGUGCUUUUGGGCCCGGGCAAAUUGGGCCUAUUACACUAGUGAUAUACAAACAAAUGUGUGAUUCAGAACAGGAAAGAAAACAUCGAGCAAAUUAACUCAUUCCACUUGGUUGUCACCCUUUAAACACUCUACUUUAUCUGAAAUUGCUACAAUCUGAAAUUUUUGAUUCCAUCAAACUUCUCAAUAACGAAAUUCGUUGUAGUCAUUCCUGAACGAAUUGGUUGAAAAAUUUGAAUCAAGCUUUAAUACCAGUUUGUUGGGGAUCGACCCGUGUAAACAACAAGAUAGUAAAAGUGAUAAAGAACGAAUACAAAGAUUUUACGUGAAAACUGUCAAAGAGGGAAAAACCAUGGGCAAAAGAGGUAUUGACUUUUCACUAAAUGAGUAAACAAGCGAGAGUAUAAUAUGGAAAAAAAUAAACCUAAAUGUACUAAACGUGCAAACCCAAAUCCUGAAAACAAGACCCUAACUCUCAUAGAGCAAACUUGAAAACAAACCCCCAACUCUCACAGAAUCUUCUUAAAAAGGGGUACAAAAUUCUCUACAUAGUUACCAUGAAAACUAUUACCAAUACUCAUCUACGACUACAUCUAGUCGCCUCUAAAAGAAAAGUCAUGUAGUACUACAUCUUUAAUUGUCUUUUUAAUUAGUCUCCCAAAACAGGGAUACAAGACCCCUUUAAAUAGGCUAAGAUUAGAGGUCUAAUCAUACUAAAAUAUCCCUAAAGUAAUCAGAGUUUAACUAAGAAAAGAUAGCAGAGUUUAACUGGAAAAAGAAAUCUGAUUUAUAUGGGGAACACUUUACCACAUCGCAACAUCCCCAUUCAUGUCGUCACGACGUCGUAACGUUAGGAAGCUUCUCGGCAUGACAUCAUCGUCUAUUCGGCCGAAAGUAUGAGGCAUACCCCACACUUUGUAAAUUUGAAAUUUAGUUCAUGUAUUGCUAUUUUUAGGAAUUUCGUGUAUCUACAUUCUAGAUUUCAAAUCAGGUCCAAUUGUUAACAUUGUUAAAGUUUUUUUUGUUAAACUUUUUGGUGUGACAUUUUGAAAUAAAAAAAAAUACUCACUUGAUAGCCAUGUAACUAAAACCAUGAUGUUAUGAUAAACCUAAAUUUAAUAAAAGAAAUUAGCAAUGUUAACAAUUAGACUUGUAUUUUUAAAAUGGAAAAUAAAAGACUAAAUUCCUUAAAAUAAAAAGUAAAAGGAUUCAAUUCAAAAUGUAGUAAGAGUAUAAAAGGUUAUAUCACAUUUUAACUUACAUAAAUUUAUUAAAAUCUCCAUAUCAUUAUAAUAAAUUAUGAAAAAUAUAUUAUAAAGCUGGACAUAAACACAAAAUAGAUAACAAUUAUUUUGUAAAAUGAAUUUUAAUAAUAAACAAUGCAAAAAUGUUAAAAAGUAAUAGAAUGAAAUCAAACCCCUUAUCUGAAUAUAUGUUGCAUUGAUCUCAUUUCUUUGUCAAUUAAUUUAACAUUCCCAAAUCUCUUGAUAUCCUCUAUAAAUGUCAUUAAGUUCCAAAUGAAAAUGAUUUUUUUUUCUUUACCAUCUCCUAUUUGAGCCAAAAGAUUAACAUUUUUCUUGAAAAUUCCCACCGUGAGGGCUCUUGGUUGUGAACCAUCGACGCGCAUGCGAUUCCUGUUCUAGCUGGGCUCCCUUCCUUGCAAAUGGAUAACACUACACACAUAUUCCUUUUUGUCUUCUUUCAUGGAAAAUACCAACAUCACUAUUUUAUCGGAACGAAAGAUUACCUAAAAAAACAAAUGGUUUUUUUUUAAUUACAUUGGGUCAACUAAAUUUUAAAAAAAUCAUUACGGGUUUUCAAAAAUUCACUAAAUUAUUAGUAAAUUUACAUUUUAGUCACUCAACUUCAAAAAGCUAAAAUAAUGGUCAUUGAACAAUUCGAAAGCUUUUAUUAAAUCACUGAGUUGUUAAAUUUUUUUUUAAAAGUUUGACUAGCGAGUUACAAAUAAUGAUUUAACGAUCGGUACGAUGGAUCAGUAUCUAUCACUAAGUAGAAGAACAUGAUACUUUAGAUCCAAAUCGAUUUGAUUGUCAAUAUCAAAUGUAAGGGCCCAAUUUUGCCCGGGCCCAGAUUACAAACAAUAAAAUAAAAAAUAAAUAGAACCAAAAAUAAAUAAUAAAAAAGUCCAGUUCAUUUACAAAAAAAAAAAGAGGCCAAAAUAGCCCAAAUCAGUAACCUAAUGGCCCAGCGGCCCAAAAAUUAAAAUUUUUCAGAUUUUUUAGAAACCCUAGGGUUUCUGGCAUCGCACCCCCUCCCUUCGCAUGCACGCCGCCCAAGGCACCUCGUCUCGAGGCCUGGCGCGCCCCUCCUGCCAUUUGCACCAAAAUAGCAAGGGUCUCCCUCUCCGUUGACUCCGCCACCUGCAAGAAAAGAGCAAAAAAGGACAGAGACAACAAACGCAAAACAAUAGUGAAACAGAAAUAAACAGUGUAAUAUUGGCUAUAAAGGCCAUGAAAAUAUAUUGUAAUUUUUACCAGGAAGCAAUCAAAACAGAAUAGAAAGAAAAAUUCUAAAAUGUGGUCCUUCUAUUUUUUUACUCUAUUUUAUUUAUUUUUUAAAUAAAUAUAAAAUAAAAAAGGGGUCGAAAGCCUACCUUGCCCUUCGUGUUCUGCUGCCGUGAGUGGCCGAGGACCGUUAUCUCCGAUGAAAGAUGACAUCUUUCGAGUAAAAGGGUCUUCGAAACCCAUAAAUCAAAAGUUUUUUUAGGGAUUUCUGCUAUUUUGAUGAGUACUUUUUUAAAAAAUAACCCCAUAUUUGGGUUCGGGGAACUGAAAGGCCAAAGAGCAGCUAUUUUUGCGUUUUUCGACUUCAAAACGAGAUAUAAGUAACGAUCAAUUGGUGUUUAUUCUCGUUUUCGAGAUUUAAGGCAUUUCUCGUUUUCGAGGAGGCAUUAUGUCCUAACUUACGGGACGUGAUCAUUUUUCUCGGUUAACUUGAAAUAAACUAUUUUCGCAAAAAUUACUUUAGUUAGAUAAUGCCUUAAUACAGAAAGGAUCAUGUUUUAAACUUUUUUCAGAGUUUCAAUUAACGACACUAAGACAUUAAUUAAUCAACUAGGUACCAAUUUUGGGCGUUAAGAGGGUGCUAUUCCUUCAUCGUGCGUAACCGUCUCUUGAAUCAAUUUCCUGAAUUUUGUGGACCAAAAAUCGUUGUUUUAGUAAAUCAAACCGUUUAUUAAAACGAUCAAAUUACGAGGUGAUCCGAUCACACCUUAUAAAAAGGAUUGGUGACGACUCUCAUUUUUUAUUUUUUAAAAUAAAAAGUCGAUUUAAAAAAAAGGGUUUCAACAUCAAAGAUCAGAGAAUUGCGUUGUUUGAAUUUUGAUUCGCAGAUUCGUGAUAUUUAAAGUUGUUUAAUGAAAAGAAAUUAAAUUGUAAGAGAGGAGAGGAGUGGGAGCUUUCGAUUGAAAAACAUAUAACAACGAUUUUAAUAACCCAAUGACUUAAAUGAAAAUUUUCAAAUUGUUCGGUGAUCAUUUUGUAAUUUUUUGAAGUUAAGUGACCAAAAUAUAAAUUUACUAAUAAUUUAAUAACUUUAAAUAAAUUUACCCUUAAUAAAUAAAUAAAUCACCCAAGGAAUUCCUGAUCUUAUUUGUGAAAGUAAAAGAUCUACCAUUAAUUUAGCAGAUAAUAAAAUGGUUUUAAAUUCCUGAAAAGAAAAUUGAGCGCCAGAAUUAAUUAAUCGAAGACUUAUUAUAAUUGAAGUCUUCUGUUCCAAUUGGGCGACGACUUGACCAAAACUUUAUUUCAAGGAUUAGUUAGAUGUCUCUUCUUUUUUCAAGCAAAAGUAUUAACUUUUUUUUCUUUUCAAAAAGCAUCAACUUCAUAAUGAAAUGUCGUUGGUCAUGAAAUAAUAUCUGCUUUAUAUUCAUACGUAGCUGUUAAUUUGAGUACAGGCAAUAUUUUUAUAUGGGGAGUGAUUCAAAACCAUUAAGGGAAUUGGAUUUUCGGAUUCAAUCACUUUUUGGAGAUGUGUUCAGUCUUUGAAGUUGAAUUAUGAGACAUUUUUGACGGGUUGAGUCUUUUACAAGAUUAAGGCUUGAGCAAAUUAUCGAUUCACGAGGAUAGUCUGAGUUUUAUAACUAGUUCGAGAUCAACAUUAGUUAGGCGGAUCCAACAGAAGCUAUAAAAUUUCGAACAUUUGAGAGAUCAAAUAUGUUCCGAGAGAAGUUAAUUUAGUCGCAAACCGAAUUGCGAAGAUGGUAUCUGUGGAGGUGGAGGGAGUUAAUGUUUUGACUUUUACUCUUACGAAUCUUUUAAAAUUCCUUGAAAGUGAUAAAAUUAAUGGUGCUUUCGAUUGUAUUAAUGUAACAAAAUCAAUUAAGCUUAGUUUAUUUCACCCAAAAAAAUAUUAAACUUUUAAUUAUAGGAUAGGUAAUUUUUGAAGGUUUCUUUUGCUUUUUUAUCUUCAAUAACUCAUAAAAUUAUGGGAAAAAUUACAUUACUUGAUAUAUAUACACACAAAAUAUAUUAUAAAUUUAUUAAAAUCUCCAUAUCAUUAUAACAAAUUAUGAAAAUAUAUUAUAAAGCUUGACAUAAACAGAAAAUAGAUAACAAUUAUUUUGUAAAUUGAAUUUUAAUAAUAAACAAUGCAAAAAUUUUAAAAAGUAAAAAUAAAUAUUAUAAAUAUAAUACUAAUUUACAACAUAAAUAUUUUUUUCAAAAUCAAUAUUUACUCGAAUAAUAUAAUUAAAUUCAAUACAUAUAUAUUACUAAUUUACAAAAAAAUAAUCUAAUAUAAAUUUAACCCUUAAAAGUUAAUAAUUUUAAUUUAUUAAAUAACAGUUUAAUAAAAUCCCCCAACUUUAAUCAAAAUGAAAGAAAAAAAAUAGUAUUUUUUUUAAAAGGAGGUAUUAUUAGUAUUUACAUUCAUAAUCAUCUAAAUUAUGUUUUCGACACAUUCAAUGAAAGUAAAUAAACAUAUAAAACACAACACCUUCAAUACACCGAUUCUUAUCCAAUAUGAUGAGCAUUUCUUUUAUUCGUUCUUGCAAUGUUAGGAGCAACGACCAAAAUAAUAUCGUCAAUGCUUAAGAGUGUAUGAGAUAUGGCCGGAAGUCUGCAGAAGGGAAAAUGAUGUUAGAAAACGAAAAACUUUCUCAUCCGGACAUGUACUAUUUUUAGUUUACCCUUAGGCUUAGCUAAGCAAAUUCAGAGGAGGGCUUCUUCUCCCUUAUCUCCUUGCUUACACCCCAACCUUAGUUAUGGCACAUGUACCGUCAAAUAUUAUUCUCUUGCUGUUCCUUCUGGUUUCUUUCCAUGUUGAUGUCAUAGCUGAAGAAGAUGAGGCAAAAAUUAUCAAACCCGGUUCUUCACUUUAUGCCGGAAAACAGCCUAGCUCGUGGGCAUCACCUUCGGGGAAUUUUGAAUUUGGUUUCUACCGGCAAGGAGAAGGAUAUGCGGCCGGAAUAUGGCUUGUUGGUCGACCAGAAAACACCAUUGUCUGGACUGCAAAACGAGAUGACCCGCCUGUCUCCUCAAAUGCUACUUUGGUAUUCACUACACGAGGCGUAUUGCUUCUUCGGACUGAGGACGGGGUGGAAAAUGUCAUUGCGAAUCAGUCCGGCGUUGAUUCAGCUUCGUUGCUGGACACCAGGAAUCUAGUGCUCUACGAGAACAGGUCUGUUGUUUGGGAGAGCUUUGAUAUCCCGACCGACACAAUCUUAGGAGGCCAGAAUUUAAGAAAUGACAGUGUGUUGAUUUCCAGUGUGUCAAGUUCAAACCACGCAACUGGCCAUUAUUAUUUGCUCUUGAAGUCUGAUAUUGGGCUUGUAGCCAAUUUAAAUAUUUCUUCUGCAGCUGCUUAUCAGUACUGGGUCUUCCCUAAUGGCUUUUCUUACUCGUUGAAUCUCAGUGAGAGUGGCGUUCUAGCACUGUAUUCAUCACUAAAUUUCGGCCAAGAAAACGUUUUGGCAAACGGCUCGACAACUAGGAACAAAACAAUGAUUAUCUAUAGAGCAACCCUUGAUCAUGACGGUGUCUUCAGAUUGUACUCGCAUCAACUUGAAAGCAAUACUAUGUCAAACAAGUGGCAGAAUUUGGAUGAUGAAUGUGAGAUUCCAGGUCGGUGUGGGUUGAACAGCUACUGCUCCACCAGCAGGGGUAACGAUACUGAGUGCUACUGCUAUCCUGGUUUCAUAUUUAUCGACGAGAAUGCCAAAUCCCUGGGUUGCUCUCAGAAUUUCACUGUAGAUGGGUGCGAGGCUAGGAGAGAUGUAGUGAUACACCACAAUAGCACUACCUUAGACAAUGUGUCUUGGGCUGGUAAUCUUUAUUCUGUGAAGCGUAAUCUGGAGAAGGAAGACUGUAAGAAAGCUUGCGAGGAUGAUUGCUCCUGUGGUGGAGCUCUCUAUAGCCCAAAUCACUGUAGCAUGUAUUCAUUACCGCUUAAAUAUGGUAGAAAACAUGUAAAUAUAACAACCACAGCCUUCAUCAAGUUGAUUCCGGGUAGCACCAUUAGCCCCCCACCUGAAAAAAGUCAAAUAUUGAUAAGCGAAGGAAACGAAAGCCUCAUUUUAACUAUGGGAUUAAGUUUGGGUUCCGUUGCAAGUUUGUGUUUUGUGAUUGCAAUAUGUAGCUUCUUGUUAUACAGGCAUCGAGUCCAAAGUUAUGAGAAGCUUUUAGACAGUAAAAGUUCAGGAUUUGCCGAGCAAUUUACACUACGAUCAUUCACUUUCAAUGAGCUAGAUGAAGCAACACAAGGUUUCCAAGAUGAGUUGGGUAGAGGCUCAUUUGGAGCGGUUUAUAAAGGAACUUUGCCAGGGGAUGGUAAAAGUAUUGCUGUUAAGAGAUUAGGAAUGGUUAAGGAAGGAGAAAGGGAUCAGUUUCGAACUGAGAUGACAGCCAUUGGAAGAAAUAACCACAGGAACUUGGUCUGAUUGCUUGGAUUUUGUGUGGAAGGUUCAAGGAAGUUCCUUGUUUAUGAGUACAUGAGCAAUGGCUCACUAGCGGAUUUUCUAUUCAACAGGAAUGAACGCCCGGUUUGGAAACAGAGAGCCAGAAUAGCGUUGGACGUGGCUAAAGGUAUCCUUUAUUUACAUGAAGAGUGUGAGGUGAGUAUCAUCCAUUGCAACAUCAAGCCCUGCAACAUACUCUUGGAUGAUUCAUUGACUGCAAAGAUUUCGGAUUUCGGAUUGGCAAAGCUAUUGAGGCCUAAUCAAAGAAGCAGUACAAGUGGAGCAGCAUGGUACUCGGCACCUGAAUGGCAAAACAGUGCAGUGUUAUCGGUAAAAGUUGAUGUAUACAGUUUCGGAGUGAUACUGUUGGAGAUCAUAUGUUGCAGAAGCAACAUAGAAGUAGAAGGUCGCAGUGCAGAUGAGAUACUGCUUUCAACAUUUGUAUACAAUUGCUUUGUUGGGGGAGAGUUGAAUAAGCUCGUGGAAGGUGAAGAAGAAGUGGACAUGAAAAUGGUGGAAAGGUUUGUGAAGGUGGGGCUUUGGUGCAUUCAAGAUGAUCCAAAUUUGCGUCCACUCGUGAAGAAUGUGAUCUUGAUGCUAGAAGGAACAAUGAAUGUACCGAUCCCUCCAUUUCCAUCACUUCCCCAUGUUACUAAUUAGUGUUCUUAACUUUGAAGUUGGGUUUAUUUUAAUUAUGUUUUUCAUGUAAUUAAUAAUAAUUAGAGGAGUAAUUUUUAAAAUAAAAUUUUGGAAACUAUCUGGUUGUUACAAAGAAGGACAUUUUAUGUUCUAUGCAUCAAUUAUCAUGUGAUAAGUGAAAGGUCUCUAAUCUAUACAUCAAUUAUAAUAGUAAAAGUAUACAUGGUUUUUUCCUUUGUUUUCACUUAUGUGUUGUGUUGAAAAAUUAAAUGUUAACAUCUUAAAUACUUACAAAAUCAAUUUGGUAUGUUUGUUAAAUUUAAGUAUAUGAUUAAAUUGUUUGAUAAAGGAUAGCUUUCUAAUAAUUUUAGAGCUCUAAACAAAAUCUUUAAAAAAAUAUCUUUCGGUCUCACUUCCCUAGAUAUUCCUUUAGGGGCAUUACUUCCUAACUUUUUAGGCCUACUCAAUUUAGUUCAAUUUAAUACAAUUUAGUCCUUUUUUCCAAAAAUUAGCUUACCUACAUUUCCAUCAACCAAAUCCUUUUUUAGGUUUAGCUAUUUAUGCUGCAAAUAAAGAGAAUGGACAUGGAAAUGAAAAGCAAACAAAACAUUGAAGUUUAAGAAAAAAAUAUGAAAGUUUGGAUUUUUUUUAUGCAAGAAAACUUAAAGAACAUAAAACUAAAGGCAUUCAACAAGGAAAUCUAAAGCAAUAAACAGAAAAGGAAUAAACUUUAACAAAUUUAAAGUAAAAGAAACUAAAAUGCAUUAAACUAAAGUUAGAAAUGUCUUACAACCAAGGUAUAGGGAUUGGAAGUGCAAAUAAACUUAAGCUAUAGUAAUAACUAACUAACUUAACUACCACUAAGAACAACUAAGAACAACUAAAAUAAGAAAGAAAAUUGUUGGGAAAUGUAAAAUCUACUACUAAAGAAAUGAAAAUAAAAAAAACCCUAGAAAAAGAAGAAGAAAAGCUAAGAGAAAACCUAGAGAAAACUAAGGUAAAACUAAACUAAUGUGUGUCUCCUCUCCUCAGCCAAAUUUGGUUAUUUUAGGCUGAAUGCUAAUAGUACUUCGUUGCCAAAAUUGCCCUUACGUGGGCCUUGGAUGAUUGGUGGAUCGGGUAGAAAUAGACUACUCUUUUUAUCUAAUUUUGUCCCCCUCACAAUGUUGGUGUCACGAUACCUAGAAGAGGAUAUCUCGAUUCCUCAAGUAGUUUCGAACCUUGGGGUCUUCUUUGAGGGUGGAUAUCGUGAUACCACUGAAAAGUGGUCUCCCUUCUUUCCAUACUGUUGGAGGUAUUGUGAUUUCAAGGUAUGAAAAUAGCGAUACAUUUUCUUUUGGUGUCAUUUUCGCUCGUUUUCAACCUCAGCACGUUCUUACACCACUCAACCAAAUGUUAGGUCCCCCAAUAGUACUAUUGGCCAAAUUUGAUCAUAAAAUGAGUAAAAAUAAGGCAUUUACACUUAUCAACUUAAAAUAUAAAAAGUAAGAAAAAGUAUGAAAAAAAAUGCUAUUUUGCUUGAGAAUAAGGUCCUUAAGUAUAUUGGUAAAGUCUAAUUUGUCAUAUCAAAUUAUGGUAGAUAAAACUCCCCCACAUAUAACUCUUUGCUUGUACUUAAGCAAACCAAACAUGCAAAAGGAAAGACGACUGUUGGACUAAAUCAGACAAUUAAGUCAUAUAUCUAUAAAACAUCAAACUCGUACGGGAACUGCCUCAUAUGCAACUUAAGAGUGAUAUCUAGAUAACUUGUUUAUUCUUAAUACAAACAUAAUUAGUUCACUAAGUUAUAAUGUUAAUAGAUGUAGAGGCAAUGAAAAUUAAAAAAUGUACAAGUGUUAUCCAUCAAAAUAAAUUAUGCGAAUUGCUCAUAGAUAUUUUAAAAAAAUGGAUCAUAUUCGUUCAAACAAAUGUAGACUAUUUACGAAUUAUUGUAUUGGUGACAUAGAUUAUGUUAAGUAAUGCUUUUUAGAAGUACUUUUGAUAUGAAAAAUACUUUUGCAGCAAAAAGAACAAGAUAUUUUUUGCUGAAAUUUUUGGCUUUUCAAAAGUACUUUGAAAAAAAAAAAGAGAAACUAAAAUUUUUAGCUUUUCUUAUUCCAAAAACAUUUUUAGUGCUUAAUUAUUUUUUCACUUCUCCAAUAAUAUGGUACUUUCUCUCUUUUUUUCUCUGGUGCUUAAUUACAAAAAUGUUAAAAUCAUUAAUUAAAAAUAAAAAUAUAUUUUUAAAAUAAUACAAAUGUGUUAAUAUCUAAUUACAAAUAUUUAAUGGUUAUAUUUAAAUAUUUAAAAUAUAAUUUAUAUAUUCUACUAAAAUUUUAUAAAUAAAUAAUAUUUAUUGUUUAAAAUAUUUAAAAUUUAUAUUUCAUAUAUUAAAAUAUUAAUAAUAAGUUAUAAUAGUUUUUUAUUCUUACUAGAAUAUAAUAAUAUUAACUAAUUUGAACAUUACUUAAAUGCAUAUUUGUUACUUUAUAAUAUUAUGUCUAAAAUAAAUAUUUUAUUUCUCGAAAGUAUUUUUUCAUAACACUUUUUAAAAGUAUUUUUCAAAAUUAUAGCAACUAACCCUAAUUCGGAUCCCAAAGAUCUUCUAAGUUUGUAAUGUUACAAGGCUUAGGACAGUUCAAAAUUCAAAUGGGUUCAAACACUAGAAACGGUUGAGCACAUGACAUUGUUCCCUACUUGCUUCAAAUUCAUUUACAAGCUCACCUCCUUAUUUCUCAUUCUCUUGCCUACCAUAUUUUUCCAAAAUGUUAGAAGGUAUUAUGGCACAAAAUUUAUAAUUGUGAACCUAAAGAUAUUCAUUUUUGAGCUUAAUUUUGAUUUAGCUAUCAUUUUCUUUAUUUUGCACUUUUUCAUUCACCCUUUCUUUUUUAACAUACUAAUUUGCGUAAUCCCUUCAUUUUCUUUUUAUAAAUACAUAUAUCAGAAUUUAUAAACACAAAAUUCUAAGGCGAUAGUACAAUUUCUAAGGAUCUUUAGAAAUUUUGGUAUUUUGUAAUUGAGUCAUUCUAAUUUUUUUUUUCAUAUUAAAAACUUUUUAAAAUUAAAUUGCCAUGAUUAUGUUUAUUAACUAAAAUGAUAUAUAUUUUUUGGAUCCAAAUUGACAUUUUCUAACAAAAAUUAUUAGUGGUAGAAGAAGUGGCAAGAUCAGUUUCAACUAGUUCACGCAUGAAAAUAAAACCUCGGAAAAAGCUUGGGAAACCUACAUUAAUUUUAUCACCAUUUUUCCUUAGAAAUGUUGACAGUCCAUAAAGUUGUCUGUAUGUAUCAAAAUAUAAAAGAAUGUUAUUAGAAAUGUCGGUAUUUGAUUAUACAUUUUAGUACAGGAUUUAGGAAUGAGAUUUUGGUAUAUAAAAAAACCUAAUUAUUUUUCAUGAAAAUAUUGAUAUUCCGUUAGAAAUUUUGAUAUAUAACAAGAUAUAACAAGAUAUGUUUUUAGAAAUUUUAAUAUUUCGGCCGGUUGAGUCAUUAUUCGAUUGACAUACACAAUGUUAUUAAUAUAGGGUUCGAGUGUAUUUAAACGCAUUAUCCUCCUAUUUAUGGUUAGAGAGAGGCUAUGGAUAGUUCAAGCUCACCCUAUUAAGAAUAUUAAUAAGAAAUAAAUAUUAUUAAAUUAUCUUUAUUUAUUUUAAUAGUAUUAUAAAUUUAAUAUAUUUUAUUUAAAUAUUUCAAUUAAUUAACUAAUUUAAUUUUUUUAUUAUAUUAAAUAAAUAACUUAAAAUAAAAUUUAAAUGUAAAAACUAAAAAAUUAAUCAUAAUUAAUUUAAAUGAUUUCAAUAUAAUAUAAAUAAAAUUAAAAUAAUUAAAAUCUAACUAUUAAAAUAAAGGAAAUAACUUAUAUUAGGAUGAUCCUAAAAACUAAGGUUUUUAGGCACCAAUAAAAUUUUGCCACAACAUCACAAUGUAAAGAAAUUAAAUUAUUAUUAUGCUCUCAUCUAUAGAGAAAUUAUCUUAUUAAUCCUUUCCACCACAUUAUUCAUGGUCCCUUUCAACAAUUUUUUUCACGUCACUAACACAUAAUUUUGAUAAUUUUUUAAACACAUAAUUUUGAUAAUUUUUUUACUCUGAACUUAACUCUAGAAUAUUGAACCCUGAACCCUGAACCCUAAACUUGAACCUAUAACCUCAAAUUUUUAAACUCUAAACACAAACCCAAAAUCAUUAAACCUUGAACUCAUAUCAUAAACCUCGAAUAUUUAAACCAUCAACCUAAACUUUGAAUCCUGAAUUCAAAAUUGAACCUCAAACUUUAAAUUUUGAACCCAAACCCUGAAUCUCAAGGUUCAAAAUUUAAGAUUGAAGGAAAAAUAAUUAACAAAAUUAUGUGUCAAUGACAUGAGAAAAUUGCACAAAAAUUACUUCUUUUUUUAAAAUUUGGUUGCAUAAAAAAAAGAAUUUAUGAAAAAGAGAUUAAAAUUUUCAAAAAAAGAUGAUUGUUUAUAAUUAAAAAAUUAAUUAUUUUAAAUAAUUUAAUUUAAUUUAAUUUAAUUUGAAGAAAGUAUUAGAUAUACAAAUAUAUAUAAUAAUAUUUUAUUAUCUUUAAAAUUUAAUGAGGUAAUGUUAUUUUAUUAAUAUUUUAAAAUUAUACUUUUUAGUAUUAUCUAAAAGAAAAAGAGAGAAGUAAACUAAAAAAGGAAAUGCGGUGUUUGCAACUAGGGGUGUUCAUUCGGUUAACCGACCGGUUAACCGACCCGAAAUUACUAUAACCGAAUUAACCGACCUUCCAAAAAUUUUAACCGUUAACCGAACCGAUUUUUUUAAAAAAAAAUUAACCGAACCGAAAUUUUUUUGGGUUAAUAAGGUCGGUUAACCGAAUUAACCGAAAAUUAUGUAUUUUUUAUUUUUGGUUAAAAAUUACCCGAAUUACCCGAAUUAACCGAAUUAACCGAAUUAACGCAAAAUACCCGAAUUACCCGAAUUUUUUUAUUUUUUAUUUUUAAAAUUUAAAAAAUUUAUAAAUUAUUAAAGUAAAUUGGGUUUUAGACUUUAGUAAAUUGGGUUGUCUUUUAGUUUUAGUUUUAUUGGAUUGGGUAAUCGGGUAAACUUUAGUUUUAGUUUUAUUGGGUUGGGUAAUUGAGUUUUGGCUGGGUUGGAUAAUUUUAUUUAUUAAUUUUUUCAGUUAACCGAAAAUUUUUGAUUAACCGACCGGUUUCGAACCGAAUUAACCGUUAACCGAAAAAUCAUAAAAAAAUUAACCGACCCCCGACCGAAAAAAUUCGGUUAACCGACCGAUUAACCAAAUUCGGUCGGUUAACCGAAUUUUUUCGGUUUUACCCGAAUUAUGCACACCCCUAUUCGCAACUACAUCCUCCCUCCCAUUGAAAAGGAAAAAUUAUUAGAUGGAGCCUGGGAGUUCUCACCGCCUAAAUUAUAAGUCUAAUCAAUUGAAGUAAUACACAUUUUUUUUUAAAUUUUUAAUUUUUUUCUCUUAAAAAUUUUAAAUUCAAUUAAAAGUAUUAAAAGUCAAAGAGAAAAAUCUAACUUAGAGAUAAAAUAACGUGUAAUUAUAGAAUUGGAAAUCUUGCUUUAUGUCUACGAUGAUAUUAGACGUAUAGUUUAAGUGGAGAGAAGGAUUUAUGUAAUAAUUUAGUCAGGUUACCUGUCUUUUUCUGCGCAAACCCUGAUUCCAGACCUCGGCCAUUUUUAAUUUGGGUACUUGUAAAAUAAUUUCUUCAUCGGUUCCAAAAAUAGAAGACAGAAAUAAAUACAAUAAUUCCUAUGGCAGCAGUGUGGUCUCUUCUCAUGCUCCUGUCUUCUUUCUUUGUGGCUAGAGGAGUUGAAGACAAGCAUUCAAACGGCACCAUUGGGCUGGGAUAUUCGCUUUCCCCCUUAACUCCACCCACCUCAUUGGCUUCGCCUUCUGGUAGUUUCGCAUUUGGUUUUUACAGUCAAGGCAAUGGCUUUUCAAUUGGAGUUUGGCUGGAGGGCAAUAGAAAGACAGAUAACAAAGUUGUAUGGACAGCAAACCGUGAUGACCCGCCGCUCCAUGCAACUGCUACUCUGACACUAAACGAGAAAGGUUUGCUUCUUUCGAGCGGUGUGAGCGGAGAAAAUAAAGUUAUUUUUUAUCCAAAUGACUCGGCUGUCAGUGUCUUCUCUGCCUCCAUGCUAGAUUCAGGCAAUUUUGUGCUCUACAGCACAGUCAAUCAUACCAUUUGGGAGAGUUUCGAGCAUCCUACAGAUACCCUUUUAGGUGGUCAGGCUACUACUCAGUCGUUGAUCUCCUGUUCUUCAGAAAAUGAUCACUCAUCCGGAAGGUUUCUUCUAGGUAUGCAACCAGAUGGGAAUCUAGUUCUAUACCCUCUAGACGUCAAUUUUGCUGUUACAACUGCCUAUUGGGCCACAAAUACUGAUGGUGUGAAUCGUUCACUCCGAUUAUUUCUUAACUCGACAGGCUUCCUACAACUUAUCAACAACACUGAUUCCUCCAUCUACCUAGAAAUUAAUUCUAGAUUUGUUACAGAGGUGAGCUACAACGAGAACACCACCACCACCAGCAACGACGGUAUCGUUCACAGUGCAAGCCUUGAUGUUGAUGGAAAUUUCCGGUUAUAUACUCAUCAAUUUGAUCCAAGUGGUGGAUUUCGAACUUCCCGAGUGUCGCGUGCGUUGAAGGAUUCCUGUGAAAUUAUAGGCUUUUGUGGUAUCAAUAGCUAUUGCACGUUUAAUGAUGACAGAGCUUACUGUGCAUGCCUUCCCGGCACUGAUUUUAUCGAUCCUCAACGCAAUACCCUCGGCUGCAAGAGAAAUUAUAGUGAAGCACAUUGUAAAGGAGGGAAGGACAAUAUACCCCUUUAUAACAUCACUCAAUUGCAAAAUAUAGAAUGGACUACAGGUAUAUUUUACAGUGAAGAGGUAAUGUCCAUGAGUGCCUGCAGCCAAACAUGCUUGGAAGACUGUAAUUGUGAGGCAGCAAAGUUUAGCGAUGGAGUUUGCAGGAAACAAAAGCUUCCACUAUGGCAUUUGCGACGACGACAAGGUGUGAGUUCCACGGUUUUCUUAAAGAUGGGAAUCAGAAGCCUAGAAGCAGAUGAUGGUACUGUUUCCCAUGAAUUAAAGCCCCAAAUCAAACGGAAAGAUCCGACGCUGAAAAUUCUUCUUUUAACUUUCAGUCUUGUCGCAUGUUCAUGUGCUUUGCUUGCAAUCUCUGGUGUAUUCAUUUUUAAAUUUCGAGUUCUAAGAUACAAAAGGCUGUUGGAAAUUGGAAAUUUGGGCCUAACCGGAGAGCUUACGUUGACGUCGUUUUCAUACAAUGAACUCAAGAGAGCAACGAAUGGGUUUAAAGUAGAGUUGGGUAAGGGAUCCUUUGGAGCAGUCUACAAAGGGUCCUUAAACAGAGGAAGAAAUUUGAUUGCAGUAAAGCGAUUGGAGAAGUUAGUGGAAGAAGGAGAAAGAGAGUUCCAAGCAGAAAUGCGAGCAAUUGGCAGAGCUCACCACAAGAAUUUAGUUCGACUUUUGGGAUACUGUGCUGAGGACUCCAAGAGGGUGUUGGUGUACGAGUACAUGGGCAAUGGCUCCCUUGCUGAUCUACUUUUCAAGUCAAGACAGCGCCCUGAUUGGGAUGAAAGAACAAGAAUAGCCCUGGAUGUAGCUAGAGGAAUCCUCUAUUUACAUGAGGAGUGUGAGACCCCAAUCAUUCACUGUGACAUAAAGCCGCAAAACAUAUUGAUGGAUGAUUAUUGGAGAGCUAAAAUUUCAGACUUCGGGCUGGCAAAACUGUUGAUGGGGGAUCAUACAAGGACCUUCACAGUAGUGAGGGGAACUAGAGGAUAGAUGGCCCCAGAAUGGCAUAAGAAUGUUCCAAUCUCAGCGAAGGCUGACGUUUACAGUUACGGAAUUGUGCUAUUGGAAACUGUGUUUUGCAGACGAAACUUGGACACCACUGUAUCAAACCCAGAGGAGAUCAUUCUGUCGAUUUUGGUGUAUAAAUGUCUGGUUGAAAAAAAGUUGGAUAAGCUUGUGCUUGGUGAAGAAGUAGAUAAGAAAAGCUUGGAAAGAAUGGUGAUGGUGGCACUUUGGUGUAUCCAAGAUGAACCUGCACUUCGUCCUUCCAUCAAGACUGUAGUGAUGAUGCUGGAAGGCAUUACUGAUAUAUGCAUUCCCCCAUGUCCAACUGCUUCCUCCAUAUAAUUCAAGUCUUCCUCCAUAUAAUUCAAGUCUUCGUCCAUAUAAUUCAAGUCACGACCUAACAAUCAAUCAUCUCACUCCGAGUGUUCGUGUAGUUUAUGUUACGUAAGGACUGCGUCAUGUUUGUAUUUCCUCUGGCUUGUAAUAAAUUUGUAAAAUGCUUCCUGCAGCAGUGUUCUCCCAUCAUUUGUAGGUUUAAAAAUUGUGUUCGAGUUAUUUAAUCAUAUAGUUGUAUGUAAUAACUGAGUUUUACUGUAAUUCCUAAUUAAUAAUCUCCGAUUGCUCAAAAUGGUAAAAAACUUGCAAAAGGGUCAUGUAAGCAAAGCCAUCAUGUGUAUGCUAAGACUAAUAAGUCCUUUUGUCUUGGACUUGUUAUGAUCUCAUUAGACAGGAUGUUAGGAAACUGAAUAAUCAUUUUUAAGCAGAGAGAUUGUGCAUUAGAAUAACAGCAUCCAAGAGCAAAACCAGAACUCAGAGGCUGUGACUGUUGAACAUGUUCCGGCAAAGGUACAUGAGAAUUAUCAACUUAGGUGAUAUUGGUAUAUUUGCACAUAUGUGCAGCGCUAUGGUUUGAAAGACGACGACGACGACAACUACUACUACCUGCCAUACAGCUGAAGCCAUCUUCCUCUUUUUGCGAUCAUAUGAGUAUAUAUACAAUACAAGUUUGCGGUUAAGGCCCAGAAACAAUACCAACAAUGUCCAUCCAUGGCAGCCCAUCUAUAUAACUAAUAAGGAACUAAUGACCUAGAAAAAUGGUUAAAUUUCAAUUUAAUCCCUCUACUAUGCUUAAAUUUGAGAUUGAAUCUCCAUACUUUGGUCCUUUUAUUUUUGUAAUGUUAUUAAUAAGUCCAAAUAACUAAUAUAAUUAACUUUUAAAUUAAGAUGUUAUGUGUUUAUAUAUAAUUUAAAUUUCCCAAGGGUCUCAAAGACGAACAUAUGUAUUUCCAUUUCUUUUGGAUUUGUCUUCUUUCUUUUUUUGACAUUAUAAGACAAUGAUCAAACUUCAAUUUUAGCUCCUAUAGUAUGUUGAAACUUGAUAUUUGAUUUACACACUUUAAUUUUUGACAUAAUUUGGUCAUUCUAUUUUUAUAAUGUCAUUAGUUAGUCUAAAUACUUAAUAUUGUUAACUUAACGAUAUUAAGUAUUUUAAUCAGAAUGCUUACAUCAAUUUUUCUUAAGAACACCAUGCCAACAAAAAAAGUAUUAUUUUAUAAUGAUGAGUUCAAAUAGGUGUUUUUAAGAAAAAAAUUCACAUAAACAUUUUCAAUGUUAAUUUUUAUUGUUAUACGACUACCAACUGUUUUUUUUUUAAUUUCGAAAUGUCAAGCCAAUGAAUUUAAUAUAAGAAUUUUAAUUGUGGUACAACUUGACCUAAAAGCUUAAACCCGAAAAGUAUAGGGACAAAAUUUUUGAAAAUAAAAGUAGAGGGACUAGAUUUUAUAUGUAUGAAGUGUAUAAAACCUUAGAGUAUAUUUUAACUUUCAAGGUUUUACUCCAUUUUUUUGGUCGAAACCACAAUAUUUACCAUUGGUAGCCGUAACUAAUCUCCCUCACCGCAAGUGCUCUCUAAAAAAAAUAAACAGUUGGUGAUGAAAUGUGAUUCAUUCACAUUAAUUAUGCAUUUUUUUUUACUCCAUUCGAGUAUAAAAUUAAAAGGUAAACUACACAAACUAUAAUCAACUAUAAAAAAAAAUCAUUUUAGACACAAAAAAUAAAAUGUAUGUAAUUUAGUCACUCGUAUUUUAAUCACUCCCAUUAAAAUGGAAGAUGGAUGUCCACGUGGAGCUUUUUUAAAAUUUUUAUUAAUAUUUAAUAAUUUCCGACUAAUAAAUUAUUUCGACGUCUGAAAUUCUUUUAGCCUAAACCUAAGCUAAUAGUGAAACUAAGGAAAAAUUUCCUUCAUUCUAGUGCUAGAAAAAAAAUUGCAGUCACCCUUUCCCUUUCUCGCCCAAUCUCAGCCUCAACCACCUCCCUCUCUAGUUUCUCAUGCUCUGCUUUGGCUUCCUUGAUGUGCCUCAUCCCGGCUUGCCACCCCAAGCUUUUUAUAGUGGAGGUCAGUUUGGGGGUGGCUCUUUACCUCUGGGGCUUGGUUUUAAAAGUUUUUAAAUAGUAAAUGUAAAAUUGUAUUUUAGUCUUUUUAAAAAUGAUAAAAUUUUGAUUUAAUCUUUUAAAAAUUAUAAAAAUAUAAACUAAUUAAUGGUGAAAUUAUUUUUUUACUAUCAUAAAAAUUACAAUUUAAUUUUAACCCCUUAAUUUUUUUUCUAAAUUUGACCCUGUUAUAUAGAUUACCUAAAACCUAAAUUAAAUGAUAGGUUAAUUUCAAAAUAUUGUUUAUUGUUAAUACAAAAGGGUUAGGAGGAAAGGUAACAUAAAUCAUUCUCCACCUUUGCACUAUAUAUUAUACAUGCUUUCUUUAUCAUCAUAAUUUGACAGAUAUAAUACAAAGCAAGUCAAGUCUUGUGAAAUAUUGAUAGAAUAAAGCAGGCUUUGUGGGAGACUUAUUUGGUUAUGGUUUAACUUAACAUAUGCUUUUGGCUUGGAGUGAAAUAAUAUAAGAUUGAACACUGAUAUUUUAUUUUCUUGUGGAUGAUAUUAUUAACCAUAUGGCGUGGACGGUAGGCUAGGGAAUUUUUUACUCUUUAUGUCAUCCAUAUUUACCAUUGAUAACCACAAUAAUUUAUUUUUCAAUAUAAACAUGACUUAUAAAAUUUCAAAUAGUUUAUGAGACAUAGGCAAAGUGUUUGGAAGAAGUGACUAAAUGAGUGGAUAUUUUUUCAAGCUCUGGGAUAACAGAAAUAUAAUAGGAGAUAACAAAAAGUUUGCUUACGCAGCUCACGGAGUCUAAUUCAGUGAGAAGUAUCCACUAUCUUCAAACACUUACAGCAAGUGACCCUAAAUCUAUGAGACCCAAGUGACAAUUUCCUCACUUUUGUGCCUUUAAAGACUAGAACCCUUGCCACUAAAUUCACCCCUGUGAACUAAGCAUGUAAAACCACAACCCAAAGGUUUUACAAUCAAAUGCACUCUUACAAAUAAUGUUCCUCACUUGAAUAGAUUAAGUGCUCUCAAUUCUCGAACAUAAUCCUAUACAAGUCUCUCUAUUAUAUAGAGUUGUUCGAGACUUGCUAACAUAGAGAAGAUCUAUAACAAUCUCUAUAAAACAAUCACUAUAUAAGUUGAAUAAAAUAUAAUAAUAGCAAACAAGAUAAACAAGAAUUAUUGGUAAACAAGGACGGUUGGUAGAUAAGUUGAAUAAAAUAUAAUAAAUAAAAUAUAAGUCUUUAAUGUUACAAACCAAUCCAACUUCCUUAUCUAAGGGAUUAGAUAAGUGUGAUUCGAAUCGAUUCGAUCCAACCCUCUUUAUACAUUUCUUUAAGUGAUAUGAUCUUCAUUAGUGGGCUAGAUACGAUCCACAAUCUCAAUAUAACCAAAAUAUCUAGCUCAAUAAAUUGCCAACAACUCAAAUAUGGAAAUAGCCUAAUCUGUCGUAGUUGGUCAAAGAGUGGGCACUCCCUCAGACACUUAUUUAGUCUUUCUGUAUUUUCAACAAUCUCCUCAUUUGGAAAUUUUUUGAACAAAACACAAACAAAGUAGGAAGCUUAAACAUAAAUUAACAACUUGCUCCCUUUUAUUAUAUUUCCUUUUAAUCCAACAAUAAUGAAUCAUGAAAAAUAUAUGCAACCAAAGUAAUCAUCAUUUAUUGACCAAAUGAAAUCCAACUAUUAGAAGUAGCAAAAUUAAGAAACAAACCUCCAAAAACCAUAAGUUUCAAAAAGCAACAGUAACAUCAAUGAAUUUGAAGCAAAAUAUGAAUCUCCCCUAUCACCAGUAGCUUCCCCUUAUUCUCUUUUCCCCCCUUUUUGAUCAACAAGAUUGCCAACUUAUUUUUCAUUAGGAAGGGAUAUUAGAUUAGCACAAAGAAGCUUUUGCCUAUCUAUGAUCUUCUUCAUAGUCUUAGCUUCAAUAAGGAGUCUGGUAAUGUGCCUAUCAUUGGCUUCAAUAAAGGAUGUAAGAUCCUCAAUCAUCAUUUUAUGAAUGUCAUAGGGAAUAACCUUGGGGCCUGGAGAAGUUGGCACUUAUUGGGUCUAAGGUGCUUCUUCUUGCUCAACAUCAUCAUAUCAAAAUUACUUCCCCUCAACAGCAACAUUACCUCUCCCCCUUAGUAGGACCCAUCAUAUUUAGACAAUAACAAUUCAGGGCCUUCCUUAUCAUUGAAGUGCUAACUUUAUACUAUUCUCCACAUAAAAAUACCUUUUAAUGAAACUUACUAUAUUUGUUACUUAAUACUUUGCAGCAAAUUAACAUAAAACUUCAUAACAACAUUACAGACACACAACUUGACACAACUCAUUGACCUUAACAAACCACUUUUUCCAAUAAGUACAUCUAUGCCAUGACCAACAAACCCUCUAAAAAUAUGAUAAUAGGUUGGAUUAAAUGACUUGGUAUCAAAGUAUAAUUGGUAAACUGUGUAAUAUAUAUGUUUACGUAAUACUAAAGGCUAGAAAUGAGUAUAUGUAACUCGUAACUUUGCUGAAAUGACAUAAUUGAGAUAUUGGUUUGCUUGUUUAGGUGUUGCAAAAUGGUACCUUUUAGAUCUUUUGGAAACAAAAAAUUACGUGGUGACGAGGAAUCAACAAUAAGUUGCAUCAUGACCUGGAAGCCCCAAUCGUGACAUCAACUCGAUAGUUUGCAAACUUUUCAUUUUGGUCCUAAUUCGACCUCAAGUUAGCAUAUGAGCUUUCAUAAGCUUGUAUAAGACUCGAAUAUUAUUGAAAAACAUAUUGUGAAAGCGUGAUGUAGUUAGUAGCAUGUGAAAAAAGUUAACUUGGGUCGGUGUUGCUCUGACAACGAAAGUUGCAUAUAAAGGAGUGCUCCUAGAGGCUGUGCCUUGGAGUUUUAGCCAAACCAUAAAUUAUUUGAGAUUUUCAGUCAAAAUUGUAAAUAAGAUUGUUAAGUAGAAAUUUUAAAAGAUGUAUGUAUUAGUAUCAAUUGUUGUGCUUAGUUAAUCUGUUGGAAAGUGAAUUUUAAAUAAUGUUAGUCAGUUAUCUAGAAUUUCUAUCAUCCAGAACCUGGACUCAGUGAGCGGAUCAGGAAUUAGGUGUGUAAUGGCCCAUUUUCAGUGAAAUCAGAAUAGUGGUUUCGGGACCACAAAUCCAGAGUCAAAAGUUUUACUUAAUAUUUUUUAUGUGGUAUAAAACAUGUUAGAAGUAUGGUAUAAAAUUUCGUUAAGAAAUUUUACCGUUUGUUUGCUAAAUUUGUGAAAAAGGACUAAAUCGCAUAAAGUGCGAAAGUUGUGUUCUAUUAGCUAAAGGUAUUAAAUAGAUAUAGAAUGUUAAAUUACAGGUCCUUAUUGAGUAAUUAGACCAUUAAAGAAGGUAGUGGAUGUACAUGGGGUGAAAUCAUAAAUAGUCAAAGUUGGUAAGGGGUUAGUAAAUUGUUGACUAAUGUUAAAGUAAAUAAAAGAAAAACAAAAUGGCCAUCUUCUUCUUUCUUUUUCAACCAAAAAUACCAUCAAACUAAGAGCUUGGAAAGCUUGAAUUUUUCAGCCGCAAAGUCCCUUGCAUGUAAGUGAAAUUGGUGUUUGUUUUUGUUUAUUGUUAUUUUUGUGGAACCCUUGUAGCUUAAGCUAGCUAAAUAGGGACAAAUUUGCAAAAUGGUUGAAACGCUAGGGUUUUUCCAAGAAAGCAUGAUAGUUUUUUUAAAAUUUUAAUGGAAUAAAAUGAAAAUUUGGGUGUUAAACACUUUUUGUUAAGUGAUUUUUGACAUAAAAUUCAAUUAGGGGUUAAUUUGUGAAGUAUGAAGAUUUUGAGUUAUAUGUGUGAAAUUAGGGCUUAUGUGGGCUUCUAUGAGCACCUAGAUAAUUCAGUUAAGCUUUGAUGUGGAUGAAAUUGCAUAAAUUUCGUUUUACGAGCCUAGGGACUAAUUUGUAAAAAAGUUAAAAGUAUAGGGGUAAAAUGGUAAUUUUUCCCUAAUAUGAAACUGGAUUGAAUUGAAUAGAAUAAGCAUUGAAUUAGUUAAAUUUGAUUAUAUAGAUCAAGAAAAGCAACAUUUAGACAUAAAUCGAGGCAAAGAUAAAGUGGUAGAUUGAUCGAUCGAUUUAAUCCGUACAAUUACGAGGUAAGUUCGUACAAUUAAACAUUUAAUGUUUAUUUAUUUAAUUGAUGAAUGAUAUUAUGCACUUGUACAUAUCUAUUGUUGAACUUUGAAAUGGAAUUAAAUGUUCAAACAAGUAAAUCGCAGGAUUGAGUAUAAAUGUUUUAUGCAAAUGAGGAUUUUACGGAUAAGACCAUGGUUGGACCAUGGCAACAUUAGUAUGUAAGACCAUAGCCGGGCUAUGGCAUUCUGAUGAUAAGACUAUAACUGGGUUAUGGCACUACGAAUGUAAGACCAUGGUAGGGUCAUGGCAUUUCGCGUAAAAGACCAUAGUUGGACUAUGGCACAAGGAAAACAAUGUACUCAUAUCCGUAAGCCGAUCUCAGAUUCAGAAUGAUGAGGUAAAUGCAUUCAUCGAUAUUUAAAUAAUCCAAUGAGCUCAGUAAUAAUACGAGUUGAGUCGAGUUAAAGUAAAUCAGUGUAGGUAUUCGCAAGAAUUACAAAAAAUAAUUCAUAGUGGAGGUAGCUAUACAACAUUAACCUAAUUACGAUUAUGUGAUAAGCUUUGAGUCGAAUUGUAAAUUUCCUGUGUAUUAAUUUUGAUAAGUUAAAUUGUGGAUGCUUUGGAAGGUUUUUUUAAUAUUCAUACGAACUUAUUAAGCUUAAUUACUUACUCGAUUUAUGUUUCAGUGUUUUAUAGUGAAUUGGAAGCUCACUCGAUUCGGAAGUCGUCGGAGAUCGCGUCACACUAUCAAACUCUCAUUUUGGUAUUUUAAACUUUGUAUAUUUUGGGUUAAAUGGAACGUAUAAGUGUUUUGGUUAAGGUAGCCUAUAUGUUGGUUGUAUAAUUAGCUAAGUGAGUUGGCUUGAGAAUGAUAUAUGUUUUGAUAUGUAAGUAUGUAUAUAUAUGGCCUUUUGAUAUGUUAUGUAUAGUGGCUUUGUGAAUGCCUUGUUGUGGAUUGGUAUCUUGUGUAACAAAUGGUUGGAAUUGAGAUGAGCAUGUAUGCUAAGUUAGGCAUAAGGUUUAAAACAUGUAAUUGGCCAUUUAGUUAUACUUUACAAUUAUCUUUGGUAUGUUUAAAAGUGGUCAAAUGAAUGUGCUUGUGGAGAUCAUGUUGUAUGUGUGGUUUGUGUAUGGUAUAAACUUGAUAUUGGUUUGCUUAAAGUGCCUAUUUAUGCCAUGGUUGUAUGUACAUUAUUGAGUUUAGGUUGGCACCACUUUGGGUGAGGAAUAUGGCUUGGAAAAUAGCCUAUUUUUGUCCACACGGGCAGAGACACGGGCAUGUGUCUCGGCCGUGUGUCCCCUGAUACUAUUCAAAAAUCAAAGUUAAUGGCUUCACACGGUCUAGCACACUAGCGUGUGGGUUAGCCGUGUGGCACAAGUCAGUAUACCCUCCAAUUUUAGCACAGCCGAGCACAUGACCUGAAUAUGGGCGUGUAUGGCCAUUUCAUGAGGCACACGGCUUGACACACGGGAGUGUGGUUUGGCCGUGUGAGCCAAGUCAAAGAGUUGUACGGGGUCGGACAUGGGUUGGGACAUGGCCAUGUGAUCCCAUUUCGAAUGCGCAUACGGCCUGAGACACAGGUGUGUCUCUUGGCCAUGUGAGAGUCACGGUUGGGGUACACAGACGUAUGACCUCUGUACUUUGAAAAUUUUCAAUAUUUUUUCAAAACUUUCCUGGGUUAUCAGUUUAGUCCCGAAUCACUUCUAAUGCUUAUUUUGGGCCUCUAGGGCUCGUGUUAGGGACUAUAUGAUUGUAUUUGAAUGGUUUUUGUUUGGAUUGAGAAUUAAACACAAAAUGUAUGAUGGUUUGAGUUAUAAGUCCAGUAAUACUCUGUAACACUGUUUUGGCAUCGUAUACGGGUUAAGGGUGUUACAUUUAUUGGUAUCAAAGCUACGGUUUAGUUGAUUCUAGGACUAACGCAGUGUGUGUGAGUCUAGCUAUACAUGCCAUUUAUUAACCUUUGAUAUUGUGACAUCUCUUAACAGUUUAAAAUCGUGUUUUCUAAUAGUAAUGGAUCUAAAUUGAGCAAAUUUCGAUGAUGUUAAAAAUAACGCGCCAGCCACAGUUUGGGGGGUAACAUUAUUUGACUAUUUACAUGCGUCUGGGAGUCAUGGAGGAGAAGCUAAGGAAACCUUCUUCCAAAUGAUGAGCGAAUGGUACACCAAGUUUGUACGGACGAACUUGGCUAUUCAACAACCGCCACCUAUUCCCUAACAGGUUCCCGUAGCUCCUCAAGGUUUGGAACCUUUACGUAUGAGUAGACCACAUGUUGAUAAAAUUUGAAAGUACGGGGCUGAAGAGUUUAGAGCUAUAGUUGAUGAUGAUCUCGAGAGCCGAGUUUUGGCUUAAGAAUACAAUUCGAGUUUUUGAUGAUCUGUCUUGUACACCGGCAAAAUAUCUUAAAUGUGCUGUAUCAAUUCUGAGAGAUACUGCCUAUCAGUGGUGGAACACCUUGAUAUCGGUAGUACCGAGAGAAUGAGUCACGUGAGAAUUCUUUCAAGCUGAGUUUAGGAAGAAAUACAUAAGUCAAUGGUUUCUAAAUCAAAAGCAUAAAGAGUUUCUAGAAUUGAAACAAGGCCGUUUGACUGUGACAAAGUACGAAAGAGAAUUUGUAAGAUUAAGUAUGUAUGCUCGGAAGUGUGUUUCUAUUGAAGAAAUCAUGUGUAAGCGAUUCGUAGAUAGUUUGAAUGAAGACAUUAAGCUUUUAGUCAAAAUUCCAGAAUUGAAAGAGUUUGUUGUCUUGGUCGAUAGAGCUUGCAAAGCUGAAGAGCUUGGUAAAGAAAAGAAAAUAGUCGAUUCUGAGGCUAAAGAUUCAAGAAAGACGGGAAAAUCUUAUCACUCAUUGUCAAAGAAAUCAAAGGAUUUCCACAAUCGUUCAACCGCUUUAGUGGGAUAUUCUAACCUAGACCGUGGUAAACAAUACGUAGGUUCAAAAAAUGAAGCCACUUCAAUAACAAGCGUUGGUAGUGUUAAAGCCAAUAGACAAGAAUGUCAGCGAUGUGGAAGACGACAUUUUAAAGAAUGUCAAUUGAUUGACAGAGCCUGUUUUAGAUGUGGCUCGCUUGAGCAUUUCAUUCGUGACUGCCCUGAAUUAUCUGAGAAAGACAAACUUCAGACCGCUCGACCGAGCAAUACAUUUGCUAGAGGGCGACCACCCCAAAAUACUGAAAUAUGAGUGGUAGUUGAGGUACAACGAGAGACUCUACUGUAAGAUCUGAGGCAUGAGCACCAACUAAAGCUUAUGCCAUUCGCGUUCGAGAGGAUGCAUCGGCACCAGAUGUUAUCACUGGUACAUUUUCUCUUUGUAACACUGAUGUAAUUGCUUUGAUUGAUCCGGGAUCAACUCAUUCUUAUGUAUGUACAAAGUUAGUGUCUAGUAAGAGUUUACAUGUCGAGUCCACUGAAUUUAUGGUUAAAGUAUCGAACCCCUUAUGUCAGUAUGUAUUAAUUGAUAAAGUCUGCAAGAAUUGUCCUUUGAUGACUCGGGGUUACACUUUUUCGGCCGAUUUGAUGAUUUUACCGUUUGACGAGUUUGAUGCGAUAUUCGGUAUGGAUUGGCUGACAAUGCAUGAUACGAUUGUGAAUUGUAGAUGAAAGACCAUUAUAUUAAAAUGUUAGAACGGUGAUACUCUUCGUAUCGAAUCCGAUAAUUUUAAUAGUUUGCCUAUUGUGAUAUUGGCUAUGCUAGUAUAGAAAUAUGUGAGGAAGUGUUGUGAUGCUUACCUUGCGUACGUGCUCGAUAGAAAAGUGCCUGAAUCGAAGAUUGAAUCAGUACCAGUGGUUCCAGAUGUGUUUCCGGAAGAGUUACCUAGGUUACCACUGAUCAGAGAGGUCGAGUUCACUAUUGAGUUAGUACCGGGAACAUCACCAAUAUCGAUAGCUCCGUCCAGAAUGGCUUUGACCGACUUGAAAAAAUUGAAAGCUCAGUUGCAGGAGUUAACAGAUAGAGGUUUUGCACGAUCGAGUUUUUCGCCUUGGGGUGCACUGGUAUUAUUUGUAAGAAAGAAAAAUGGAUCAAUGAGAUUGUGUAUCUACUAUCGAGAGCUUAAUAAGGUUACGAUUAAGAAUAAGCAUCAUUUGUCGAGGACUGAUGAUUUGUUCAAUCAGUUGAAAGGAGUAGUAGUAUUUUCAAAGAUUGAUUUAUGAUCCGACUAUUAUCAGUUGAGGGUUAAAGACUCUGAUAUGUCGAAAACUACAUUUAGGACUUGGUAUGGACAUUAUGAAUUUCUUGUUAUGCCAUUUGGAUUAACUAAUGCUCCUGCAGUUUUUAUGGAUUUGAUGAAUAUAAUUUUUAGACCUUAUUUAGACAGAUUCAUGGUUGUAUUCAUUGAAGAUAUUCUGAUCUAUUCGCGAGAUGAGUCUGAACAUGCUGAGCACUUGAGGAUUGUGUUACAAACGUUGAAAGAUAAGCAACUAUUUGCUAAAUCUAGCAAGUGCAAGUUUUGGCUCCGAGAAGUUGGAUUUUUGGGACACAUUGUUUCGGCUGAAGGCAUUAGAGUUGAUUCGAGCAAAAUUUCAGCAAUUGUUGACUGGAAACCACGGAGAAACAUAUUCGAAGUCAGAAUCUUUCUGGGUUUAGCAGGCUAUUGUUGGAGAUUUUUUAAAGGUUUCUCUAUUAUAGCUACACCAAUGACUCGGUAAUUACAAAAAAGAUGUGAAAUUCGUGUGGUCUAAAAAAUGUCAAUAGAGUUUUGAGCAGUUGAAAACAUUGUUAACUGAGGCACCAGUUCUGGUUCAACCUAAGUCGGGUAAAGAGUUUGUGAUUUUCAGCGACGCGUCAUUGAGUGGUUUAGGUUGUGUUUUGAUGGAAGAGGGAAAAGUGAUAGCUUAUGUUUCCAAGCAAUUGAAACCGCACAAAAAGAAUUAUCUGACGUACGACUUAGAGUUGGCCGCUAUUGUUUUCGCAUUGAAAAUUUGGUGACAUCAUUUAUACAGUGAAAAGUGCCAUAUCUUUACCGACCACAAGAGUUUGAAGUAUUUAAUGACUCAGAAAUUUUUGAAUUUGUGACAACGAAGAUGGCUCGAGUUGUUGAAAGAUUAUGAAUUGGUGAUUAUCACCCGGGGAAAGCGAAUGUAGUAGCAGAUACCUUGAGUAGAAAAUCUUUAUUUGCAUUGUGAGCAAUGAAUGUGCGAUUGAGCUUGUCCAAUGAUGAUUCGAUUUUACCUGAAUUAAAAGCUAGACCGAUGUUCUUACAACAAAUUUGUGAAGAUAAAAAAUGAGAUAGCAAAUUGCAAGCUAAAAGAGUACAGUGUGAGUCGAUUUUUGAUUCAGAGUUUCAGAUCAAAUCCGUUGAUUGCUUAUUAUUCCGAGGUAGAGUUUCAGAAGUGCACAGUGGUAGCUUGUCUGUUCCAUCGGAAAGUACUAAGAUGUGUAGUGAUUUGAAACAAAUGUACUGAUGGACGGGUAUAAAAUGUGACAUUUCUGAGUUUAUGUCGAAAUGAUUGACUUGUUAGCAAGUCAAAGCUAAACACCAAGUACCUUCGGGGCUAAUAAUAAUAUCCCCAAACCGAUGGUCAGUCUGAGAGAGUGAUUCAAAUUCUCGAGGAUAUGCUUCGUUGUUGUGUUUUGGAGUUCGAAGGUAAUUGGGAAAAAUAUUUACCUUUGGUUGAAUUCACGUAUAAUAAUAGUUUUCAAUCGAGUAUUAAGAUGGCAUCGUAUGAAGCUUUGUAUGGUCGAAAAUGUCGAACUCCAUUGUAUUAGACUGAGCUUGGUGAGAAAAAGAUACACGGGGUUGACUUGAUCCGAGAAAUCGAAGAGAAGCUGAAAGUGAUUCGCGACAGCUUAAAAGCUGCUUCAGAUCAACUGAAAUCUUACGCGAAUUUGAAGCAUAAAGAUAUUGAAUUUCAGGUUGGCAAUAAAGUGUUUUUGAAAGUAUUUCCUUGGAAAAGAAUUCUUCGAUUUGGUUGCAAAGGAAAGUUGAGUCCACGAUUUAUUGGACCGUAUGAGAUUAUCAAGAGAAUUGGGCCAGUAGCUUAUCAACUUGAGUUACCGUCUAAGUUGGAAAAGAUUAAUAAUGUAUUCCAUGUAUCUAUGGUACGACAGUACUGAUUGGACCCUUCGCUUAUAAUUUCUCCAACCGAGGUUGAGAUUCAACCAAACAUAUCAUAUAUGGAAGAACCGAUCUGAAUUUUGGCAUAUAAGGUCAAUAAAUUGAGAAAUAAAAGAAUACCCUUAGUGAAAGUUCUUUUGCAUCGUCAUGGGAUUGAAGAGGCCACUUGGGAACCCGAGGAAACUUUGAGAAAAUAAUACCCUAACCUAUUUUUCGGUAAAAUUUUCGAGGACGAAAAGUCCUAAGGGGGGAGAGUUAUAACGGCCCAUUUACAGUAAAAUCGAAACAGUGGUUUUAGGACCACAAAUUUGAAAGUCCUAAGGGGGAGAGUUGUAACGGCCUAUUUACAGUGAAAUCGAAACAGUGGUUUUAGGACCACAAAUUUGGAGUCAAAAAUUUUAUUUAAUAUUUUUUAUGUGGUCUACAACAUGCUACAAGUAUGGUAUAAAAAUUUCGUUAAGAAAUUUUAACGUUUGUUUGCUCAAUUUGUGAAAAAGGACUAAAUCGCAUAAAGUGCGAAAGUUGUGUUCUAUUAGUAAAGGUAUUAAAUAGAUAUAGAAUGUUAAAUUACAGGUCCUUAUUGAGUAAUUAGACCAUUAAAGAAGGUAGUGGAUGUACAUGGGGUGAAAUCAUAAAUAGUCAAAGUUGGUAAGGCGUUAGUAAAUUGUUGACUAAUGUUAAAGUAAAUAAAAUAAAAACAAAGUGGCCAUCUUCUUCUUUCUUUUUCAACCAAAAAUACCAUCAAACUAAGAGCUUGGAAAGCUUGAAUUUUUCAGCCGCAAAGUCCCUUGCAUGUAAGUGAAAUUGGUGUUUGUUUUUGUUGAUUGUUAUGUUUUUGGAACCCUUAUAGCUUAAGCUAGCUAAAUAGGGGACUAAUUUGAAAAAUGGUUGAAACGCUAGGGCUUUUCCAAGAAAGCAUGAUAGUUUUUUUAAAAUUUUAAUGGAAUAAAAUGAAAAUUGGUUGGGUGUUAAAUACUUUUUGUUAAGUGAUUUUUGACAUAAAAUUCAAUUAGGGGUUAAUUUGUGAAGUAUGAAGAUUUUGAGUUAUAUGUGUGAAAUUAGGGCUUAUAUGGGCUUCUAUGAGCACCUAGAUAAUUCGGUUAGGCUUUGAUAUGGAUGAAAUUGCAUAAAUUUUGUUUUACGAGCCUAGGAACUAAUUUGUAAAAAAGUUAAAAGUAUAGGGGUAAAAUGGUAAUUUUUCACUAAUAUGAAAUUGGAUUGAAUUGAAUAGAAUAAGCAUUGAAUUAGUUAAAUUUGAUUAUAUAGAUCAAGAAAAGCAACAUUUAGACAUAAAUCGAGGCAAAGAUAAAGUGGUAGAUUGAUCGAUCGAUUUAAUCCGUACAAUUACGAGGUUAGUUCGUACAAUUAAACAUUUAAUGUUUAUUUAUUUAAUUGAUGAAUGAUAUUAUGCACUUGUACAUAUCUAUUGUUGAACUUUGAAAUGGAAUUAAAUGUUCAAACAGGUGCAUCGCAGGAUUUAGUACAAAUGUUUUAUGCAAAUGAGGAAUUUACGGAUAAGACUAUGGUUUGACCAUGGCAACAUUAUUAUGUAAGACCAUAGUUGGGCUAUGGCAUUCUCAUGAUAAGACCAUAACUGGGUUAUGGCACUACGAAUGUAAGACCAUGGUAGGGCCAUGGCAUUUCGCGUAAAAGACCAUAGUUGGACUAUAGCACAAGGAAAACAAUGUACUCAUAUCUGUAAGCCAAUCUCGGUUUCAGAAUAAUGAGGUAAGUGCAUUCAUCGAUAUUUAAAUAAUCCAAUGAGCUCAUUAAUAAUAUGAGGUGAUUCGAGUUAAAGUAAAUCAGUGUAGGUAUUCGCAAGAAUUACAAAAAAUAAUUCAUAGUGGAGGUAGCUAUACAACAUUAACCUAAUUACGAUUAUGUGAUAAGCUUUGAACUGAAUUGUAAAUUUUCUGUGUAUUAAUUUUGGUAAGUUAAAUUGUGGAUGCUUUGGAAGGUUUUUUUUAGUAGUCAUACAAACUUACUAUGCUUAAUUGCUUACUCGGUUUAUGUUUCAGAGUUUUAUAGUGAAUCAGAAGCUCACUUGAUUCGGAAGUCAUCGGAGAUCGCGUCACACUAUCAAACUCACAUUUUGGUAUUUUAGACUUUGUAUAUUUUGGGUUAAAUGGCACGUAUAGGUGUUUUGGUUAAGGUAGCCUAUAUGUUGGUUGUAUAAUUAGCCAAGUGAGUUGGCUUGAGAAUGAUAUAUGUUUUGAUAUGUAAGUAUGUAUAUAUAUGGCCUUUUGAUAUGUUGUGUAUAGCGGCUUUGUGGAUGCCUUGUUAAGGAUUGGUAUCUUGUGUAGCAAAUGGUUGGAAUUGAGAUGAGCAUGUAUGCUAAGUUAGGCAUAAGGUCUAAAGCAUGUAAUUGACCAUUUAGUUAUACUUUACAAAUAUCUUUGGUAUGUUUAAAAGUGGUCAAAUGAAUGUGCUUAUGGAUAUCAUGUUGUAUGUAUGGUUUGUGUAUGGUAUAAACUUGGUAUUGGUGUGCUUGAAGUGGCUAUUUAUGGCAUGGUUGUAUGUACAUUGUUGAGUUUAGGUUGGCACCACUUUGGGUGAGGAAUAUGGCUUGGAAAAUAGCCUAUUUUUGUCCACACGGGCAUGUGUCUCGGCCGUGUGUGACACAGGGCCGUGGUACACGGCCGUGUGUCCCCUAAUACUAUUCAAAAAGCAAGUUAAUGGCUUCACACGGUCUAGCACACAGCCGUGUGGGUUAGCCAUGUGGCACAAGUCAGUAUACCCUCCAGUUUUAGCACGGCCUGAACAUGGGCCUGUGUGGCCAUUUCAUGAGGAACACGGCCUGACACACGGGCGUGUGGUCUGGCCGUGUGAGCCAAGUUAGAGAGUUAGACGGGGUCGAAAACGGGCUGGGACACGGCAUGUGAUCCCAUUUCAAAUGCCCAUAUGGCUUGAGACACGGGCAUGUCUCUUGGCCUUGUGAGAGACACGACUGAGGUAUACGGGCGUGUGACUCUUGUACCUUGAAACUUUUUAAUAUUUUCUCAAAACUUUCUUGAGUUAUUGGUUUAGUCUCGAAUCACUUCUAAUGAUUGUUUUGGGCCUCUAGGGCUCGUGUUAGGGACUAUAUGAUUGUAUUUUUGAAUAGUUCUUGUUUGGAUUGAGAAUUGAACAUGAAAUGUAUGAUGGUUUGAGUUAUAAGUCUAGUAAUACUCUGUAACCCUAUUCCGGCGUCGAAUACGGGUUAAGGGUGUUAUAAGGUGUUACACGAAGUCCAUGACGAAUGCGCAAAUAGCGUCCCAUGGAGGUCAAUUGAUGAAAUAGGGCUCAUUCGACCCAUUUGAACUGGCCCAAUUCGUAGAACACGUGGAGAAGCCUAUAUACUUGAAGCAUUGGUAGUCUAGUGAAACACUUAAUGAAAAUUAGUUACCUUGGUAAAUAUGACAAGUAAUCUUAUAAGAUGUGUAAUUCGAUAAAACUUGAUUAUGUAAUAUUAAGGGAUUGUGUAAAACCUUUAAGAAUCUCAAUUUUAAGUAGGCUGUAAUCUUGAUCGUCAAUGUAAUUUAAUUUGUACCAUGGGAUUUUGGGGAGUUUAAAUAUAAAUAGAGGCCUCCCCCCUCAUUUUUAAUCACUCAAUUGUAAUUCUUCAUAGUAAUUGAAUACUAUUGAGAGCAUUUACUCAAACACUUGACGUGCUUUUUCUUUCUUGUGACUUUUCUAUUUUUUUGUUACUUUUUUGUUUUGAGUUGCUUCCACUUUAUUUUCAGUGCGUUGGAGAAUUUUAUCAAGAAUUCUCACUUUGUGAGAGAUUGGUUGACUUAGGCAAAUUUGAAGAAAAGAAAUCACCUAAGGUCGCAUAGAUUGCGAAACUAAAGUUCUAACCCCAUGAUAUAGACAAGUACCCUAAACAUCCUUCCAAAAUUUAGUGCUACACCCAUUGCCAAUUGAUGAAUGAAUGUUGCACAUAAUAUCAUCUCAAACCCUUGCAAUGGACUGCCAAACAUGAGAAGCAACUGGUUGAUUAAUACUGGCUGGACAUGUUUCCACCAUGUUAUAUUUAGAUUGCAAAAUUCGAACCCAUAAAGCUUAUUUGUUGGUCAAAAUUGUGAAGCCUAAUUUCAUUAGGAAAGAAUGGUUAUUCACAUUCAAUUUUCGAAUGCCUAAACCUCAUGCUCAUAGGGUUUUGGCAACAUGGGUUCCAAGACACAGGAGUUGGCUUCUUCGAAUCAAUACCCCCUCAAAUAAAGCUUCUAACAAUGUUCUCGAUUUCCAUACAAAUGUCUAUAGGGAUCUUAGUAAUUCGCAUGUAAUAAGAAGAGAUUGAGAAUAACACUGACUUAGCAAGCAUAACACAAUUCGGUAACGAAAUAACUCUAACAUCCCAUCCAUUAACUGCUCACGAACUUUCUCAACAAUAAAGCGGAAUGUAUCUUUGGUGACCCUUUUAUGAAAAAGUGGAAUACCCAAGUGCUUUCUCAAAUUUGAAACUCGUUGGAAGCCCAGGGUACUUCACCAUGUUUUACUAUAUGAGUUAGUGAUAGACUAAUUUCAAUUGGUAAUUUUUAGCCACUCACAUGGCUUGUUUCGAGAAAAAAGGAAAAUUUUCUGCUUAUUUUGAAGAUGCAUUUUUUUUACUAGAGUUUUUACUCAUCUUUCUAAUUUCAAGUGUAAAUUUGCACUAGCUAUUCUUUAUUUUAUGUCUAACUAUUGUAAUACAUAUAGAAUAAAUGAGUCUUUUCCUCAUGUUCUUACAUGAGAAACCAAACAAGUCAUAAAUGAUAAAUAUACUAUUUGAUACUUUAUUUUGGCUUCAAUGUUCAAUUUGGCACCUCAAUUUUUUUUGUCUCAAUUUGGUAUCUAAGUUUGGAUUUGAUUUUCACUUUAGUACGUACUUUUUUUUAAUUUCAUACUUGAGUUUUUUUUGUCAUACACCAAAAUUCCAUUAUAUGUCAAAAUUUUGGAUCCAUGAAUUUGCAUAGUUUUGAGUAGUUUGAAGGUUGGGAAUUAUUCUUAAAUAUAUAAUUAGAUUAUUAAAAUCGAUUAUAAGUAAUGUGAAUGAGUAAAGAUUAAGAUAUUUUAAUUUCAAGUUUGUUAUGUCGAAAGUUUCGAUUUCAAGAGAAUUUAGCUUAGGCCUAUGUUUUUAGAUAAUUUUGGUGAGUCCUUGGCUGAAUGUUGAUUGUGUUGUUGUGUGAAUUAUUUGGUUGAAGCUUUGGAAUCGUUAAGACCUUCUACGAGUAAAGAGAAAGGUAAGGAAAAGAUAGUUUGAGCUUUCGGCGUCUAGGUGAAAGCGUGAAUGGUGAGUGUUUGGAAUCGCUACUUGUAGACACGAUUAAUUGCGUUAAUUGGGAAUUUAGAAGUAGCCUAAACCUCUACUCUAAAUUCCGAGUGUAAGCUUUCUCAUACUAUUGAUUUAAUAUGUGAUUGUGUGUUGUGAAUUUGUGGAUUAAGAUAUGAUAUUAUAACAUGUGAAAUAAGCUUAUGAUGGUUAUUGUGAAAGAGUUGAUUGUGGGCAUGUUAUACGUGCCAAAUAACAGUGAUUAUGUUGUGUUUAUAAUGUGAAUAUGUGGUGAAAAGUGCAAAAAAUGGUAAGUAAUAUGUGUGUUUAAUAACGAAUAUUUUGGCCUUGUGAUUUUUGAGAUCGUUGGAUAUAGUUGACAUGCCAUAGGAUUGUGAGUACUCACCUAUAUAUGUUGUGUUUUGGGGGUGUUAAGGCCUGGGACAUUUUAGAAGAGAUAAGGGAAUGUGAGCUAAGCUCCAUUCACUGGGAUAUGUUGGUGUGUUGGAGAGUUUUAGCUAUAUGCUUCACUUUUGGGAUAUGUUCAACUCUACGAGUCAUUUGGUGUGUUGGAGAUCUAUGUAUCCGAUGUAUGGUGAUAGAGCCCACUUUUAUGUUUCAUAGCUCAAGUGCCAAAUUAUCAUUAAAUGUGAUUAUGUGUGAUGUGAUAUAAGCUUAAAUGAGUUUGUGACUUCUAUGUAAACGACCAUUUGAAUAAUGCAUGAUUAAGUAAUAUGACGCUAAAGUUGGAAAUGUUGUAAUUGGGCUAUAUGAAUGCUUUGUUAAUGCAUGAUGACAUGUUUGCGUAAUAGUUAUUCUGAUCAUUCACUGAGCUUGUUUAAGCUCAUCCACUCCUUUUUAAACCUUUGCAGGCUGUUAAGCAUUGCGGUGUGAGCGGUGCGAAAUAUUUUCCAAUGGACUAAUCUAAGUAGUUUAGCAUUUGAGUAGGUGAAUUAUAGUAUUAUUCUGAACUGUGGGAAUAAGGCAAUGUAGUAGACUUGUUGCUUGAAUGCUGCCAUGAUGUUUUGGGAUGAUUACUUGGACUUGCUACUCACAGAAUUUAUAGACGUUUGACAUUGGUUUAUUGGUAUUACUUAGCUUAAACUAUUGUUGAUGCUUUGAGUUGUAUUUCCGGAUCAUUUUGAUGCUAAACUUUGAGCUUAUAAAUGCAUGAUUAGUUGGUAUGUUAGAUGUUCUAGUUUGAUGUUAUUUUUGUUGAAUUAUGCAGAGGUAUCGAUAACUAGGACAUAUGUAUUGAUACCUGUGUAAUUUAGUCGGUGUCGCAACAUCUAGUGCUUGUGUCGCGAUACUGAAGACAGUAUGCUCGAUUCCUGAUUCAGCCCCAGUAGUGUGUCGCGACAUCAAAGGCAGUCUUGGUAUAUGUGUAAAGCUUUGAUGUUUGAUGUAGCUUCCUGUUACUUGGGUUUGACAAUUGGGCUGAGUACGGGAUGUUACAUUUUUUUGUCCUGGUUAAGUACCUUAAUUUGGCUUCAAUUUUCAUUUUAGUAUUUGAGCUUUUUAUGUCCCAAUUAAGUGCCUAUUUUCUUUUUUACUAGAGCACACAUGCCAAAUAUUAGUUGGGCCACAUGAUAUUUGGCUUAGGUACCAAAUUGGACAUUGAAGCCAAAUUCUAGUACCAAAUUGAAAAAAAAAACCUCAAGUGUCAAAUUAAAUAUUAAAUUCAAACUUAGGUACCAAAUGAUAUUUUAAAGCAAUAUUAAAUCCAUGACCUUAAAGUAUUUAUUAACCCAAUUACCCAAACUUCAUUGGUAUUGAACUUAAAAAAACUUAGCCUUUAACAUUUAUAUUUUAUAUUUCUUUUUGUCAAUUUGACCCUUAUUUUAUUUUUAAACUAAAUUUGACCUUCAACCUUUUAAAAAGAGUAAAAUUUGACCAUCAAUCUUUCAAAAAGAGUUGAAUUGUUUUUUUAAUGGAAAAACUGACUAAAACAUUAAAUUUUUAAACAUUGUAGAUUAUAUGGCAAUUCACGUGUACUUCAUACUAUUUUUUAAAAUUUUAUGAACUUUUUAUAUUCUUUAAUUUUAAUUUGUUUAAUAUUUUAUAAAUUUUAAAUUAUUUGUUGAUGUAACAUAUAAGAUAAAUAUUGUUAUGUUAGCAUGUAGUACACAUGGAUUGUCAUGCAGGUUGCCAUACCAAUAUUGUUACAAAAAGUUAAUGUUUUAGUCAAUAUUUUUGUUAAAAAAAGUGAGUUAACUCUUUUUGAAAUAUUAAUGACCAAAUUUAGCUAAAAAAUAAGACUAAAAUUAAUAAAAUAUAUAAACAUUGAGAAUUAAAUUUAGGCAUAAUAAUUUUUUGGGCCUUCCAACUUUACAAAAGAAGUCAUUGUAGCUCUUCAUUUAUUUUUCGUCUUUUUUAACACUUGAACUUGCGGUUUUUUUUUUUGUCAAGUCACCCAAAAAUGAAUGGAAAUGUUAACAUUUAUUUAACAUUGUUGACAUUGCAUAUAUGUGGAUUACCAAGUGGAUAACACAUUAACAUUUAAUUAUUUUUUAAAAUUUUUAAAAAUAUUUUUAAAAAAUUAUAAUUUUUAAUAAGUUUUAUGAUUUUAAAUUUAUGAGGUGAUAUAGAAAGAAACCUACCUCAUUUGGACUUUCACUUUGUAUGCAAAAUCUUGGCCAAGUCGCCGUACAUAAGUUUAACAGUAGGUUAAAAUAACGAUCUUGGAAGAAUAGUAACUUGUUGUCAUUAAGGCAUAUCUUGAAAUUUUAUGGAUAUUAUUAAGAUUUCAAUAAAGUAGGCAAAACAGUACAAUAUGACACAUAGUUUAGAGUCGUCCAAAGGAAAUUCUACAGAGCUUAGGGAUAUUUUAGGAAGAUAUGGGAAUGAUAGGCUUUUAAGUUGUUAGUUUAGUUAGUGUUUUUCAACAUUAUAUUUCUAUUUUGGUGAAUUACAAGAAGAGAGUAAAGUCCUAAUAGCAACGCGACUAACACGAUUCAAACCCAGACCAUACCUGCGGCAGUAAACACUUUGAUCAUCAAGUCAACACAUUAGGUUCUCAACAUUGCAUCUUUACAUUUUGUAUUAGAGUUAACAAACUGGUUGAAAAAAUGUCCCUAAAAGUAUAUCAAAUGCCAACACUAUAAUUAGUAAAUUAGAUAAAAAAAUUUCUAUAGCAAGAACUAUAAAAAUUUAUAUUUAUCUACUGUGAGAUAGAAAAAAAAAAGCAAGAAUCACCAUUUCCAUUUUUUAAAAUAAUUUUUACCAUGUUCUAAUAAUUUCUUUUAUUUUUUAUAUUUUAAAAGAAUUAUGCCUACAAAUUAUAAUGAAACAUGGAUAAAAAGAUGUCCAUAUUUAAAUAAAUUUAGAUGUCUAUUUAUCUAUAUUCAUUUUCAAUUUGAAUUUUUAAUAUUUUUUUUUGUUAAAUUGAACUGCUAUGUCAAUAUCAUGAUGGUUGAUUAACAACCAUAUUAAUGUGGUAAUAAUUAAUGGUGAGAUUAAUUAGUCAACACGCCUAAUGAAGAUAAUUAAUAUUUUUUUAGAGAAAAUUUCAACUUGUAGGACCAUUUACCUUUAUUUUUUUCUUGGGGUGGUUGAUUAUCUUUUCUUCUUUUGUUGCUUUGACUUGUAUAAAUUUUCGGGUAAUAUACAAAUAAAAGCCCUUUUUUUUAAAAUUUACUAAAAUAGGUCAGGUAAAAAAUUAAUUACUGGAAUUACUCUAUUUCCCCGAAAACGCGUCCACGUCAACGCGUUGUCAGGGUUUUGGGUUUUGGGUUUAGGGUUUGGGUUUUUGGGUUUUUAGGUUUAGGUUUUUAAAGAAAAAAUUAAAUAAAUAAGGGAUUAGGGUUUAGGGUUUCUUAAUUAAAUUAAUUAUAAAUUUUUCAAAAUUAGAUUAGGGUUUCGCGUUUAUGGUUUUUAAAGAAAAAUCAAUUAAAUUAGGGUUUAGGGUUACUUGAGUAAAUUAAUUAAAAAAAUUUUAAAAAUUAGAUUAAGGUUUAGUGUUAAGGGUUUUUAAGGAAAAAUCAAAUAAGUUAGGGUUUAGGGUUAUUUAAGUAAAUUAAUUAUAAAUUUUAAAAAAAUUAGAUUAGGGUUUAGUGUUUAAGGUUUUUAAGGAAAAACUCAAAUAAAUUAGGGUUUGGGGUUUAGGAUUACUUAAUUAAAUUAUUUGUUAAUUGAGAAAAGCUCCCACGUGGACGCUCUUUUGCUACAGUAGCUCCUGAAAAAAUAAAUUCGAGGAGACGUUUCUGAGCAAAUAGUGUCAAAAACGCUUUAAGCAGGAUGCAUUGUCAGCAAAAGUAUUGAAAAAAGCUCCCACGUGGACGCGCUUUUACUACAGUAGCUCCUGAAAAAAUAAUUUCGAGUAGACGUUUCUGAGUAAAUAGUGUCAAAAACGCUUUAAGUAGGAUGCUUUGUCAGCAAAAGUAUUGAAAGAAGCUCCCCCGUGGACGAGCUUUUGCUACAGUAGCUCCUGUUUGGCCUGAGGCUAUAAAUGAGGCAAAAUUUUUUCUCAGAUUGCAUAAGUUACAGCAAAAAAAAUUAGAGAGCCUAAGAAGGAUAGAAAUUGAAGAUGAGUGAAUGUAUUAGUGUUGUUAUUUACUAUGAUGGUGAGGUUCGUCACACUGAGAACGGUGUUAUUUUUUUAUCGGAGAAUACAGUGCGACUGGUUUUUAACCAGAACAUAGAUUUGAUAGAACUUCAUAAAAGAAUUAGGCGUAAAAUAUUAGAAACGACGUCAAUGAAAGUUUUAUCUAUUACGUAUCGGUUUUGUUCUUCUGUUGAUCCGGUGACAUAUGACUCGUUCGACAUAAAAUGUGCUCGUAGCUUGGAGGCAAUGGUAUAGACACAUCUCGCUAGUGGAGCACACUAUAUUGAGUUAUAUGUACAAUUUACAUCGCCAAAUGAUGCACUUGCGACUGCUGUUCGAGAGGUAUACACGACUCCUGCCUGACACUCGGUUAGUGGGUUACAAAACACGAAACAACCCAUGUUUGGCAGCGGUAUGGUAUACACAACCCUUGUUUGACACCCUGUUAGUGGAUAGGACAUGCACCACGGUAGGUCGAUGUUUGAUGCUGGAAAUACGUACUGGGGAACGGCAUCAACUUCUAGUGGUUGGCAAUCUACAUUCAAUUGGGGACGUUAUGAAAUGCCCAGAAGAAUGGAUAAUAUACUCCCUACGAUGUCCACCGGUGAGGAGACCUCGUACGUUGCAGAUGAUGGUGGGUUAGAAGAUGACUCCAAUGUGGAUCCACCUCAAGAGCCCGGGGUUUGCGAUCGAGACAACUUAUGGUUUCGCGUGACAGAGUUUGACAGACCGCACCAAGGUGUUAUUGGCAGGCAAUAUCGUGUACACUUGCGAAAUAGGACUUGCGACUGUGGGAUGUUUGACGCACUUCGUUAUCCAUGCGCUCAUGUAAUUGUAGCUUGUCAUAAUCUCCGUCUGAAUUCGAUAAGUUAUGUCGACGAAGUGUACAAAUUAGAAAACAUGUACAACGUCUGGAGACACGUAUUCCAACUGAUCCCAGAUGAACGUAAGUGGCUGUCUGUAUUGCUUGCUCCCUUUAAGCUGUUACCGGAUAGAGAAUUGCGUCGCAAACCAAAGGGUCGAUCUUGCUCGACAAGAAUACGUAACAAUAUGGAUAUUCGAGAAACAGCCAGUCAACAGACGUUGUGCGGAUGGUGUAGGAACCUAGGCCAUUCAUGCCGAUCAUGCCCAAAUCACAAUAGUUGAACGUUAUUGUAAAAAACUUUGUAUUAUUUAUAUUUUUUAAAUCAAAUAAUAUAGAAAUAUUCAGAAUACUGACUUAUUUAAAAGAAAAUCUAUUUUAUUAAAAAUAAUAAAGUAAAUUACAAAUACUUUAUUCAAAACAAUGUUUUAUUUUAUUAAAUGAAAUAAUAUAGAAAUAUUCAAAAUAUUGUGUUAUUUAAAAGAAUUUCUAUUAUAUUAAAAAUGUAAAUGUAAAUUUCUAUUUUAUUACAUGAAAUAAUAUAGAAGAAUUUCUAUUUUAUUACAUCAAAUAAUAUCAAAAUAUUCAAAAUAUUUGUACAAAUAUAUUAAAAUAAAAAUCAAUCUCCGUGCCCACCGAAUUCAGUGCCACAUGGUGGCCAUCGAUGGUUACGCGCUGGAUUCCUCAUUUGUCUAGCUUCCGGUGGGGGUUAUGGUUGUUCCCACGGGGAUUCUGGUUCCUCCGGUAGGGGAUAUGGUUGUCGGUGUUGGGAUGAUGAGCCACCUUGAGAGAAUAGUGAUUGUGGAGGUGUUUGCAUCACCAACGGCAAAGCUGUUUGAAACCCAUAUGGUGAUGGGGAUUGGUAAAAAGAAGAGCUCCCCGACGGCCCCUCCUACGAUCCCUCGUGCGACGGUGGCCUAUACAUCGGUGGCCCACUCGGCGUAAUCGAAAAUGGAGAUGAACCGGACCAUGAACUUUAACCUGUCAUAGGACUAAAAAAAGGAAACAUAUAAGGGUUAGGAUAAAUAAAAGGGCUAGGAUACGCACCUGGCAUCAUCUGAAAAGGUUGUGCUGUGGGUGUCGUCAGUUGAAGUGUUAGGCUGGUGACUGUGUGGAUGCUGUUGCUGGGCCUGGUGAUGGGCCGUGUGAUUGUGAUAGACCUACGUCGUCAUCCCUUCUUCUUGGAUUUAAAGGGCCACGUCGUUCCCUUUGAACACGUAAUUUCUGCUGCCUUUCCUCUGUCGACAGUAAAUACGGCUUGCCAUGGAUUCUAAACCAUUGCAUGUAUUCUGGCACGCACGCUAACUCUAGAAGGAUGAUCGGUUCUCAAGUAGGUAUAUAAUCAUAUUGAUCUUCCUAUAUUUGGAUGUAGUGUGACCAGAAUCUCGGUCAAACCGUAUGCAAUUGCCAUAGGUCGAUUUUGUGAUGAUCAUCCAACACCUCAGGUGCCACGGGAAUCGGUUGUCAUAAUCCAAAUUGUUGUAAUACUCUGUCCGACUGGUGUAUCUCCACGGUCGCAAAGUUGACCAAUGAGACUUUUACAUACCAAGCGUUUGGAUUUUGGAAAUACUCAUUCGGAAUUACAGCUCGAAUUGCCGGAUCCUUGUAUGGUGUCCAUUGGAACUAUAUGAACAUGAUGGAAAUAUUAGUUAUAUACAUAAUACUAAAUACUAAAUACCAAAUACCAAUCGACUAUCUCAUGAUGGAAAUAUCUAUUUGAUUUAAUACUUACUUGUGCUUCCGACAGUUGGUCUAAUAGAAGCCGUAUAUCUUCAAGAAAGGUAGGUAAUCCAACAUAACUUGCCGAAUAGUUCCACCUAAUUAAAUAAAUUUUUAGCAUACGAUUAUAUUUUAAAUCUACGUAAUAAUUGUAAAAUAUAAUAUAAAAUUUACCUCGUUAUGAGUGCGAAUGUAUAUUGGUGGUCCACUUGAGGACGUAAAAGUGGAAAGCGAAACCGUGCCCAUGACUGCAGUAGUGAUAGGCAACCUCCAAUUUUCAUUUUAUUCGGUCGCGUCACCCCGCACAUCUUCCGGUACAAUGUUGCCUACAUGGUAGACCCCCGACUAAAUUCAACAGCUGCUCUAAAAUCAACGAGUUUUAGCAGCCAUCUCAGAUGUACAAGGCUCCGUGACAAGUCCGGUAUCAGAUAACCUCCAAUUAUCUGAGGAAUGUUUGCCCGAGCAUAUCAGAUUCUUUCUAGUUCGGUAGAAUUAUCAUUCGGCUCCGGAAAUGUGUCUCGUAGCCUGCCCAUCUCAAUCCGACCUCUGUUAAUAUUAUCCGGAAUAGCACCCAAAAGCUCGUAGCAUACCGCUCCCCAAUCACCAGAUUGAACAGACCCAGUGACUGCGUACCUGUCCACCGGCAAUCCCAAUUGCAAAUUUACGUCUUCCAAAGUAAUAGUACACUCUCCACAUGGAAGAUUGAAUGUGUGCAUCUCGGGUCUCUACCUCUCAAUCAACGCACUGAUAAGUUUUGGGUCCAACUUGCAUCCCUAGUCUACCGUCGCCACGUGCCAAAAACCUGCUUCCCAUAGGUAAUUCUCUACCAACGGUGAUGGAGGACCAUGCAUAUUACGAAUAUAGCAUUGCAAUAUCCGAUCUAUAGACUUUUAUAAGAAAUAAUAAAAUAAAAAUUAUUUAAAAUUGCAUAAAUCAAAAAAAUCUUAAAUAAUUUUUAAAAAUUAAAUUUAACACUUACCAUUUUCAUUUGUUCAACGGAUAUGUGAUUGUUAUCGAGACGAAUUAAUUUUCUGGCCAUUGCUAACACGAUCAAAUUUUUAUGAUUUAAAAAAAAUCAAAAAAAAUAAAACUAAAUAUUUUUUAAAAAUAAUUAAAAAAUUAAAGUUUUUUUUAGAGGAAUUUGAGAGAAUAUUGGAGAGAAAUUGAGAGAAAGGAUUUAGGUGUGAAAAAAAUAGAAGGGGGUUUUAUAGUUUUUUUUACCGUUGGGGGGUCACCAACAGUCAAAAAGUAGCCGUUGGUAUUGAUCACGCGCGGGCAAGGACGCGCUUUCUGUCCACGUGGACAAAGCGCUUCCUUGAGGAAGUGUUUUCCUGCCUCGUCACCUGACAACGCGCUAACGUAGAUGCGUUUUCGGGGUUAUUUCGGUAAUUAAUUUUUUACCGGGCCCAUUUUAGUAAUUUUUUAAAACAUGGGCUGUUAUUAGUAUUUUGCCUUAAAUUUUCAUUUGUUAUCAUAAAAUUAGUGUUAUAAUUAUUUUGUCACUGUCAAACAUAGAAUGGCGGUCUCUUUUUUCUCUUUUACUAUGUGCAAUUGGGGCAAAUUACCAAUAAAAGUCCCUUUAUUUUUAAAAUUACCGAAAUGGGCCAGGUCCUGAAUUAAUUAUCGAAAUGGGCCAUUUCCCCCAAGAAUGUGUCCACGUCAGCGCGUUGUCAGGGGAUAAAGCAGGAAAACACUUCCUCAAGGAAGCGCUUUGUCCAUGUGGACAGAAAACGCGUCCACAUGGAUAGAAAACGCGUCCUUUAGGGCGCGCUUUGUGUCCACGUGGACAAAGCACUUCCUUAAGGAAGCGUUUUCCUCGUGUCUGCUACAGUACCAACGGCUAUUUUUUUUACCAUUGGUAAUCCUCCGAUGGUAAAAAAAAAAAACUAUAAAACCCCCCUUUCUUUUUUUUUUCACACUUAAAUCAUUUCCAUCUUCAAUCUUUCAAUAUUCUCCCAAAUUUCUCUCAAAUUUCUCUCAAAUUCCUCUCAAAGCUCUGUUUAAUUUUUUUUUAAAAGCUCUAAUUUUAUUUUUUUGGAUUUAUUUUUUUAAAUAAAAAAACUUGAUCGUGUUAGCAAUGGCCGGAGAAUUAAUCGUCUCGAUGAUAAACACAUAUCCGUCGAACAAAUGAAAAUGGUAAGUGCUAAAUUUAAUUUUUAAAUAUUAUUUAAGAUUUUUUUCAUUUAUGCAAUUUUAAAUAAUUUUUAUUUUAUUAUUUCUUAUAAAAGUUUGUAGAUCGGAUAUUGCAAUGCUAUAUCCGUAAUAUGCCUGGUCCUCCAUCACCGUUGAUAGAGAAUUACCUGCGGGAAGCGGGUUUUUGGCACGUGGCGACGAUAGGCCAAGGGUGCAAGUUGGACCCAAAACUCAUUAGUGCAUUGAUAAAGAGGUGGAGACCGAGACGCACACAUUCCAUCUUCCAUGUGGAGAGUGUACUAUCACGUUAGAAGACGUAAAUUUGCAAUUAGGAUUGCAGGUGGACGGGUACGCAGUCACCGGGUCUGUUCAAUCUGGUGAUUGGGGAACGGUAUGCUACGAGUUUUGGGUGCUAUUCUGGAUAAUGUUAACGGAGGUCGGAUCGAGAUAGGUAGGUUACGAGACACAUUCCUGGAGCUGAAUGAUGGUUCUACCGAACUAGAAAGAAUAUGAUAUGCUUAGGCAUAUAUUCUUGAGAUAAUUGGAGUUUAUAUGGUGCCGGACUUGUCACGAAACCUUGUACAUCUGAGAUGGCUGCUGAAACUCGUUGAUUUUAGAACAGCUGGUGAAUUUAGUUGGGGUCUGUCGUGUUGGCAACAUUGUACCGAGAGAUGUACGGGGUGACGUGACCAAAUAAAGAGAAAAUCGGAGGUUGCCUAUCACUACUGCAAUCAUGGACACGGUUUCACUUUCUAUUUUUACGUCUUCGAGUGGUCCACCCUAUACAUUCCCACUCAUAACGAGGUAAAUUUUAUAUUAGAUUUUACAAUUAUUACGUAUAUUUAAAAUAUAAUCAUAUGCUAAAAAUUUAUCUAAUUAGGUGGAACCAUUCGGCAAGUUAUGUUUGAUUACCUACCUCUCUUGAAGAUAUACGGCUUCUAUUAGACCAAUGGUCGGAAGCAGAAGUAAGUAUUAAAUAAAAUACAUAUACAUAAUGAGAUAAUCAAUUCGUAUUUAGUAUUUAGUAUUUAGUAUUUAGUAUUAUGUAUAUAACUAAUAUUUCCAUCAUGUUCAUAUAGUUUCAAUGGACACCAUACGAGGAUCCGGCAAUUCAGGUAGUAAUUUUGGAUGAAUACUUGCAAAAUCCGAACGCUUGGCUUGUGAAUGUCUCAUUGGUCAACUUUGUGGUCGUGAAGAUGCACCAGUCAGACAGAGUACUACGAUAAUUUGGAUUUUGACAACCGAUUCCUGCGGCACCUGAGGUGUUGGAUGAUCAUCACAGAAUCGACUUAUGACAAUUGCAUGCAGAUUGGCCGUGUAACAGCCCGAUUCUGGGCCUAGUCGGAACAGUGGUUUCGGGACCACAAAUCCAACGAGGGAAAACAUUAUUGUCAUUAUAUUUUUAUGGUCUACAAUUUCAUAGAAAAACUUUGUAAAAAUUUCGUUCGAAAAUUUCGACGUUUGGGCACUCAAUUUAGUCAAAAGGACUGAAUUGUAAAAAGUGCAAAAGUUGAUUUCUACAUGUUAGAAGUGUCUAAUUGUUAUGAAAUUAUAAAUUGGGGGUCCUUAUAUGGUAUUUAGACCAUUAGUUAAUUGAUGGACAAAAAUAGACAUAAGAAAUGGGUGAAAUAGAUUUUUUUAAAUGGAGGCAUUUUAGUCAUUUGGUAAUAAAAAGAAUAAAAAGGGAAAAAGAUGGCAAAAAAUCAUCAUCUUCUCCAUAAGUUGCUACCGAAACUUGGAAGACACCAUAGCUAGGGUUUCUUCACUUUCUCAAGCUCAUAGUAAGUGCAUCCUAGCCCCGUUUUUAAUGUUCUUCUCAUUUUUGAUAUCCUCGUAGCUCGGUUUAGCUUAUUCUACCAUUAAUUCAUGUUAGGGUGCAUAUUUGGAAAAAUACCCAUAGGUGAAAUAUGUUUAUUUUACUGUUUUAUGGUAGAAUAUGGAGCUACAAAUUAUGUUAAACAACUUUUGCUAAGCGAUUUUAAGUAAAAACGGGUAAAUUGACAUANNNNNNNNNNNNNNNNNNNNNNNNNNNNNNNNNNNNNNNNNNNNNNNNNNNNNNNNNNNNNNNNNNNNNNNNNNNNNNNNNNGUAAAACAUAAGAAUAAGGUGUGAAAUUUAAUUUUCGAGCCUAGGGAUGAAAAUGGAAAUAUGCAAAAUUUUGGGGGUAAAAUUGUAAUUUUUCAAAAAGUUGAGUGGAGGACUAUUUUAAUAAAUGUGAACAUUAAAUGAGUUAAAUUUUUUAUUAUAGAUCAAGAAAUACGAGAAGAUAAUCUCAAACGGGGAAAAGAGAAGGUUGUGGAGUAAAUUGCAAAAUUACGAUAUUUUGCACCGAGGUAAGUAAACAUGUGAAUUAAUGUAUUAUUUUGUUAUGAUUUAAUAUAUGUUGAGAUUUAAUUGAACAUAGAAUAAAUAUUUGGCAUAGAUCCUAAAAAUGUGGUUAAGUUGGGAAAGGUGGCAAAGUAUUGAAAAACGAGGUUUCCGGUUGAACACUCGGAUUAAGCCGGAGUAUAUUGAAUAUAAAGGGGGUUGCUGAGUGCUGAUUCCCCCAAGGGGUUGCUAAGUGCUGAUUCCCCGAACCAUUGGUGGUUGUUAAGUGCUGAUCCCACCGUAUCUUAAAUGUGAAAGGGGUUGCUAUGUGCUGAUUCCCCGAAUCAUUGGUGGUUGCUAAGUGCUGAUCCCACCGUAUCUUAAAUGUGAAAGGGGUUGCUAAGUGUUGAUUCCCCGAUUCAUUGGUGGUUGCUAAGUGCUGAUUCCACCGUAUUUUUGAAUGUGAAAGGGGUUGCUAAGUGCUGAUUCCCCGAAUCACUGGUGGUUGCUAAGUGCUGAAUCCAUCGAUAACGGAUAACAUUCCGAGUGUUCAAUGGGAAACUGGAAAGGUGAAUAUUUAUAUAUGGUGGACAAGGUUAUGUGAGGAAUAUUGGGUUUGAUACUUAAUCAACCCAUGUGUAAGGUGAAAGGAAAUACCAAAACUUCAAAAGAACAAAUUUAAAUAUAAAACUGUUUUGUAUAAUAACAGUUGGGCAAAUUUGAAAAAUCACCAUAAAUGGUGGAAAAAAAAUUAGAGGCUGGAUAAUAUAUGAAAUUGAAUCUGAAUAAGUCUAUUUUUGUAUGAAAGAAACAUAGCAAGCAAAAGAGUUCUGUAUUUGGGGAUAUUUAAAUUUUAUUGAGACAGGAUUAGAUUGAUUUCGAAAUCCCCUGUUUCAACUUCGGAAAAUCACCAAAAAUUGUAAAAAACUUAUUAUGGCUUGAAAUUUACAUGCUUGAACUCCUUGGUGAUUCUUUUUUUAAUAGAAACAAACAAGAACAUUGUUUGAAUUUUUUACAGAUAGUUAAGUGAAUUUUAGUAAGGAGAGGUCAGAAUUGUUAGGCACUGAAAUAAGGUAAUAUUUAGAGAAUAAACUGUACUAAUUGGAUAAACUAAAAAUUCUAAAAAUUUUAUGGUGGAAAGAUAUAUGAGUCUAGUUUUGGGGAAAAUUUACGGAAUUCAAUUUGGAGCCUUGUAACUCCAGAUAAAAAUAAAUUAGUGACCAUGACGCAGAAAAACAGUUUGCUUGAAAUUGAACAAACAAUGAAAUUUAUGUGUGAUAAAAAUUAUGUCACUAUGUAAUCUUGUGAGAAAUUUAUUUAUUUGUCAUAUGUUUACUUACUAAGCUAUAUGCUUACUCAUCUUUAUUUUUCCCCUGAUUAUAGUGACAUCAGCCAGCUCGGAAUUUGAACGAAGUUUAAAAUCAUCCACACUGUCAUCAACUUUUUGAGGUAUUUUGGCAAUCAACACUUUUGAAACAUGGCAUGUAUAGAUGACUUUAUGUAUUGUGGUAUAAAUAUGUAUAUAUAGUAAUGUUCGGUUCAAUAUGUUGGUGUUUAUUAAUGGAUAAAUUAUGUCUGAUUAUAUAAUUGUAAUUGGUUGGAAAUAUUGAAGUUAUUUGAAGUUGUCUUUGGAAAUUUACAGGGGGUUUUAUGUAAAAAUAAGCAGAAAUGCUGCCGAAAUUUUUAUAAAAAAAAUUUAUAAGUAUUUGAGUUCUAGUAAUACUUCAUACUCUGUUUUGGUAAGGAACAUGGGUAAGGGGUGUUACAGGCCGAGAUUCUGGUCACACUAUAUCCAAAUGUGGGAAGAUCAGUAUGAUUAUAUACCUACUGGAAUACAUGUCAUAGUAUAGGAUCCAUGGCAAGCCAUAUUUACUGUCGGAAGAGGAGAGGCGGCGACAAUUGCGUGUCCAAAGGGAACGACGUGGCCCUUUAAAUCCAAGAAUCCAGCGCGUAACCGUUGAUGACCUCCAUGUGGCACUGAAUUCGGUGGGCACGAACAUUGAUUUUUAUUUUAAUAUAUUUGUACAAACAUUUUAAAUAUUUUUAUUUUAUUUCAUGUAAUAAAAUAAAAGGUUGUUUUGAAUAAAGUAAUUGUAAUUUACUUUUAUAUUUUUAAUAAAAUAGAAAUUCUUUUAAAUAAGGCAAUAUUUUGAAUAUUUUUAUAUUAUUUCAUUUAAUAAAAUAUAAAUAAUACAACAUAGUUUUUUACAACAACUAUCAACUAUUGCGAUUUGGACAUGAUCUACUUGUAUAGUCUGGGUUCCUACACCAUCCGCACAAGUUUUGUUGAUUGGUUGUUUCUCGGAUAUCCAUAUUGUUACGUAUUCUAGUCGAGCAAGGUCGACCCUUUGGUUUGCGAUGCAAUUCUCUAUCCGAUAACAACUUAAAGGGAGCAAACGAUACAGACGGCCACUUACGUUCAUCUGAGACUGGUGGGAAUACGUGUCUCUAGAUGUUAUACAUGUAUUCUAAUUUGUACACUUCGUCGACAUAGCUCAUGGGAUCCAGACGGAGAUUCUGACAAAUUGCAAUUACAUGAGCGCAUGGAUAAUGAAGUGCGUCAAACAUCCCAUAGUCGCAAGUCCUAUUUUUCAAGUGUACACGAUAUUGCCCGCUAGUAAUACCUUGGUGCGGUCUGUCAAACUCCGUCAAACGAAACCAUAAGUUGUCUCGAUCGUGACACACUGUGUGCAUGGUGUUCACUCGCGCAUUCGCCUUGUUAAUUUCUUGCAAUCCCUUCCUGCACCAUACAUGGGCUCCCUGUAUUUGGCUUGCAUAACUCGCUGCUCGCUUUGGAAAUAGCACUGCUAAACGAAAAUAUAUCUCUCGCACAAUCGAUGUUAUCGGUAAAUGACCCAUUUUUUUUAGAACAUAAUUUAUGCAUUCAGCUAGGAUUGAGGUCAUAUGACCAUAUUGUAGGCCGCUGUCGUAUGCUUGUUUCCAUUGUUCGAAAGGUAUGUUACAGAGGUAGUCUGCGCCUUCGUCGUUAACUGAACGCAAAAUUGCCAACAUCUCAUGAAAACGGUUUUUACUUAUUUCAUACCCUGCCAAUAUAAAUUUAUAGCGAAUAUUACAUACCACUCUUUCAUUUAGAAUAAAUUCAAAAUGACAAAAGAUAAUUAUAUUAAUAGAGACUAAAUACCCAUGUUGGUCACUUGUCGUUAUUCACUUUUAGAUGGAUAUUGCCUAUAGUAGUUGGAAGCAACGUGCCUUAGGCAAUACCGAUGGUGUGUGCGCUGCCAUAGGCUUUCCUGUCGCUCAAUAGCAGCUAGUAUUUCGGUGCCCCGAUCUGAAAUAACACAGAUAUCAGGUUGGGGGCACACAUGUCUCCUUAACCUAGAUAGAAAAAAAUUCUAGUCAUCAGCUGACUCUCCCGGUGUUAUUGCAAACGCAAUUGGAAGAAUUCUCCUACUACCAUCCUGUUCCACUGCUAGCAAUAGUCGAUGGGUAUAUCUACCAAACAUAAAGGUACUGUCAAUUUGUACCAAUGGCUUGUACUAUAGAAUUACGUCUCGGCAUUGCUUAAAGGUCCAUAACAGACGUUUGAACACUUGGCAUCAAUAGAACAAUCAGUCGUUGUAGUACGCACGUUUCGUUUCAAGGUCUGUUAUGCAACCUGGGACGUAUCUCUCUAGCACUUGACACCACUGCCAUAUUUCAUUAUAUGAAGCGUCCCACCCACUAUGCAUCUUCUCCAACGCCUUCUGCUUAACUAUCCAAGCCUUGAGGUAAGAGGGCGUGUACCCCAUUUGGCUACGAAUAUUGGCAAUUAAGACCGACACUGAAGUCCUAGGAUCUGCCUUCAUCGUGGGUAGUAUUAAGCUAGCUAACAUAGCUGAAUCCAUCUUGGGAUGAUCUUGUGAAAUACCUGUCAACGAAGUACAUUAAAUAAUACAAUAUUACAUAAUAACAGUAUUAUUCAAAAACCCUAAAUACUAUACCUGUAGCACAUAUAUGUAGACCUUUGUACUUUUUUAUCUCCCACAAACUUGUCCUUUUCCUCAACGAGGCAUAGAUUUUCCAUGAACAUGUACCAUCUUACACUACACACUUCACCUCAAACUUAUCAGAUUUGGAUUUAACCACGUGGUAGUUAACGCCAUUAUUGAUGAUAUGUUGUUUCAAUGCACCAAGAAAACUAUACUUAUUGGAAAACUCCUAACCAACUUCAAAUUCACCCGAAUCCAAUAAUGAACUUGUACGAUCACGCAUUUUGUGUUGUAGAUCUGGAAACUCCAACGCAUCAUCUGCAGAUAGAUCGACAUUAUGCAUGUGGGCUGGAGGCGAGUAUGCCCUGAAUCGUGGAUCUUCUUCUUCAUCUAAACACCUUUCAACAUCUUCAGGUUCGGUUGGAAUAUGCUCCGGUUCAAAAAAUAAUACAACUUCUGCACUAUCAGGGCUAGGCUCUCGAGGUGGAUCUACAUCAGACUCAUCUUCUAACCCACCAUCAUCUGCAACGUACGAGGUCCCUCACCGGUGGACGUCGUAGGGAAUACAUCAUCCCUUUUUCUAGGCAUUUCAUAACAUCCCCAAUUGUUUGUAGAUUGCCAACAACUAGAAGUUGAUGCCGUUCCCUAGUACGUAUUUCCAGCAUCAAACAUCAAAAAUCGAUACCUAGUGUCGAAACCAUUUUUUUUUGUAAAAAAGGGUCUACUUUUAUCUUGAAAAUGAAAACGAAAAAAGGGGAGUCGCCACCAAUCCUUUUUAUUUAGGUGUGAUCGGAUCACCUCAUAAUUUAACCAUUUUAAUAAAAGUUUAAAUUUACUAAAACGAUAAUUUUUGGUCUACAAAAUUCAUAAGACGGGUUCGGGAGUCGAUUACGCAUGACGAAGGAUUAGCACCCUCGAUACGCCCAAAAUUGGUACCUAGUUGAUUACUUAAUGUCUUAAUGUCGAAAGUUAAAAUUUUGAAAAAGAUUUUAAAAUAUGAUUCCUUUUUUUAAUGAUGUUAAUUUUAAAAACGCUUGAAUUAAAUCGAAACGAAUGUCAAAGACCUCUCGUCUCGAGAUAAUAAAUGUCACAUCCUGUAAGUUAGGACACGACACUUGGAACCCUCGAGAAUAAGCUAGCCUUUAACUUUUAUUGGAAUUUCGUAAACUUUGAAAAUUAGAAGGAUAUUUUUCUAUUUAGGUUCAACAAGAAAAUUAAAACCCCGUAAGUUAGGGUAUAAUUUCUCAAAUCUCCAAAACACGAAAUAUUGCCUUAUUUUAAAACUUUUCCUUUUUUGAGUAAUUGCAAGUACAAUACUUGAACGAGGUGCAUUUGUUUUAUUUGUGACAAAAUAGAACGGUUUAUUAUGGUAUUUACAAAUCGAACGAAACUUUUUAAAUGAUGCAAUGAAAUGGAACGAUAACAUAGAACAUAAAAUAACAAUUUGUGAAUAAAAUGUUACGCUAAUGAGUGGCAAUAAUAUGAGAAUAAAUAAACAAGUUAUGGUACACAUAAUGAUAAUAACCACACAACAUGCAUCAUUUUAAAAAUACCAAUAUUAAUAAUCAAAGUAAACGAAGCAAAAUAAUAUAGAAAACAAUUUCACGUAAAUAAUAGUCUAAAUAAAUAAUUUACGAGAACAAUAAAUGAUAAAAGAUUUCUAAUAAAUGAUAUAUAAAAACUUAGAAUGAAUAAUAAUACAAUAGUUUAAAGUAAAUAAUCAAGAAAAGAAAAAAAAUAUAAAACAAUUUUCCUUAAAACAAAUAAAUAAUAGUUUAAAAUAAAUAAUAUAAUAAAAACAUAUAUAAUAGUUUAAAAUAAAUAAUAUAAUAAAAACUUUUAAACAAAUAUUAAGUAAAACAGUUUAGAAUAAAUGAUAAAUAAAACCUUAAAACAAAUAAUAGUAAAAGAGUUUUUUUAAAUAAAAUAAACAAAUAAAUUAAAUAUACUAAGGAUGAUACUGAAAUCGAUCCAGAAUUUGGGGUUCAAAUUGAAAAUAAAUAAAAAAAAUGGGCUACUAGGGACUGAAAUAGAGCGCGCUUAAGGAAUGAAAGAUCGACCGGGCAAUAUUUCCAGCCCUCAUGCGCAGUAUUUCAGCGCGGACUAAAAUCAAACAAACUGAAAAUUAUGCAGCUAAAAUAAAAGGAACAAAUGGGGUCAAAUUGCACCACGUCAAACAAAUAGAGGGACCUAUUGCGCAAAUAGCCCCUUUACUGCAGAAACACACAGAUCCUGAGGGAAAACAGGUCGGUUUUCGGGUCUGAAGCCUAAACGACGUCGUUUUGGCCUCUAAGCUCACUCCUCAAAACGACGCCGUUUCAUGUUGCUAUAAAGGCCAAAUAUUUUUAAAAAUCCUUCUUUUUUCCCUUCUCUCUAAAAAAACAAAAUAGAAUUCUCUCAAGCCCCUUUUCCCUUCCCAAAAUCUAGCCAGGGGUCUGGCCAUCGGCCACCGUGCCGGCCGCCGAUCGCCGACAAUGGCACCACCAUCCGCGGUGGCCAAAAAAAGCCAAAGCCGCCCCUUUCGCUCCUCUUUUCGAGUAGAGCCCGGAUUUAGAGUUAAAAUAACCCAAAAGACCCUUAAAGUUCGAAAAAAAGAAGAGAAAAGGAAAAAAAAAAGGGACUUUUCAGUUUCCCAUUACUGCCGGUGGGGAUUCGGCGAGCCCACUGGCUCAAUCACCCUCAACACCGGGGAAACCUCCGACUACGGCCACAAAGGUAACAAAUCUCGCUCCUUUAUUUAUUUUAUAUUUUAUAUUAUUUAUUAUUUCGAAUAAAAAUAAAUAUAUAUAAAAAGACCUUGAUUUUCUCUGUUUCAAACUCCUUUUUGUAUUCAGAAUUAGUGUGUAACCGAAAAAAUUACAAAGAUGAUGCUCGGGCUUUUAUAGCCGAAAUUCAUGAUUCGUUUUUGUUCUUUUUCUUUUGUUUGCUUCCAUUUCUUUUUUUUUUUCGUUGUCCUCUUUUGCUUGCAUGUUGCAGGUGGUGGCAGAGGGCGUCAGACGCGUGAGGGAGCCUGGUGCGCAUGUGGCGGUGGCAGCGUGCUGACGUGGGAGGAGCGGUGGCACUAGGGGGCUAGGGUUUCUUUUUUUUUUCCUGAAAGUGUGUUUAGGCUAUUGGGCUUAUCGGGCCAUUAGGGUUUUUUUUAUUUGGGCUUGAUGUUUUAAAAUUGGACUUGUAAUGGACUGUAAUUUUGGACUCUUAUUUUAUUUAUUUGGUUUGGUAUUGGGCCCGGGUAAAAUUGGGCUAUUACACCUAAUAGACAAAACUUUCAUUGGCGUCGUUCUGAAUAUUUUACGCCUAAUUAUUUUACGAAGUUCUGUCAAAUCUAUGUUCUGGUUAAAACCAGUCGCACUGUAAUAUCUGGUAAAAAAAACAACACCGUUCUCGGUGUGACGAACCUCACCAUCAUAGUAAAUAACAGCACUAAUACGUUCACUCAUCUUCAAUUUCCAUCCUUCUUAGCCUCUCUAUUUUUUUUUUGCUGUAACCUAUGCAACCUGAGAAAAAAAUUUGGCUCAUUUAUAGCCUCAGGCCAAAUAGAAACUACUGUAGCAAAAGAGCGUCCAUGUGGGAGCUUCUUUCAGUACUUUUGCUGCCAUUGCAUCCUGCUUGAAGCAUUUUUGACACUAUUUGCUCAGAAACAUCUUCUCAAAAUUAUUUUUUCAGAAAUUACUGUAGCAAAAGAGCGUCCACGUGGGAGCUUCUUUCAGUACUUUUGUUGACAAUGCAUCCUACUUAAAGCGUUUUUGACACUAUUUGCUCAGAAACGUCUUCUUAAAAUUAUUUUUUAGGAACUACUGUAGCAAAAGAGCGUCCAUGUGGAAGCUUUUUUAAAUUAACAAAUAAUUUAAUUAAGUAACCCUAAACCCCAAAUCCUAAUUUAUUUUAUUUUUCCUUAAAAACUCUAAACACUAAACCCUAAUCUAAUUUUUUAAAAUUUUAUAAUUAAUUUACUCAAGUAACCCUAAACCCUAAUUUAUUUAAUUUUUUCUUAAAAACCCUAAACACUAAACCCUAAUUUGAUUUCUUUAAAAUUUAUAAUUAAUUUACUCAAGUAACCCUAAACCCUAAUUUAUUUGAUUUUUUUCCUUAAAAAUCAUAAACUAAUUUUCUAAAAUUUAUAAUUAUUUUAAUUAAAAACCCCUAAACCCUUAUUUAUUUAAUUUUUUUCCUUAAAACCGUAAAAUCUAAAAACCCCAAAAUCUUAAAACCCUAACUCUAAUUGUAGAAAACCCUAAGCCUAAAAAAUGGAGAAAACGCUUCCUCAAGGAAGCGCUUUGUGCACGUGGACACAAAGCGCACCCUCAAGGACGCGUUUUCUAUCCAUGUGGACAAAGUGUUUCCUUCAGGAAGCAUUUUCCUGCUUUAUCCCCUGACAAAACGCUGACGUGGACUCAUUUUGGAGAAAAUUGGCCCAUUCCGGUAAUUAAUUUAGGAGCUGACCCAUUUCGAUAAUUUUGAAAAUAAAGGGGCUUUUAUUGAUAAUUUUUCGGUACAAUUGUCACCCAAAAAUAUAUUAUUUUCAACAAAACUAAAGACUUUAUUUAAGAAAUAUAUUAUUUUAAAAUUGUUAGUUAAAAAACUUAAUUGAUCCAUUCUCUAAGAAAGGGUUUAAUUUCUUUUUGGAGGGGAGGAUUUAUUAAUAAGAAAGGGUUUUUUUUUAUUACAAAUUCACCCGUUCCCAAAGACUAUUUUUAAUAUAAAAAAUAAAAUGUGAAUUCAAUGAAGUCAUGUCAAGAUUUUAGAGUAAGUUUAAGUAGGCGGUGUAUUUACUUAUAUUAAGUAUAAAAUUAAAAUGACAAUAAAAUAAAAUUAGAUAUACGAUAAUAAAAGAUAAAAAGUAAACUAAACACAUCGCAUUGGACUGUUCACCCAUCCAAACGCACGCUAUAUUGGUAUCAUAGUGAAAUCUGUGUCAGGUUAACAGCCGCAUAACAGCCAUAGCUAGGUUUGGUGAUGUAAAGAAAGGAGAAUGAAUAGAAAGAGAAUAUCUGACUGUAGUAAAUGAGUCAUAGUUAGGUUUGGUGAUGUAAGGAGACGAAUAAACGAGUUAAAGAGCAAAUUGGAACACUGUUGCUGGACGAAUCCAAAUGUUCUGUGACUAUUAGAGCUUAGCUUUCCAAUUUUCUCUUUAACUUGUUUACUCAUCUCCUUACAUCACCAAACGUAACUAUGGCUCAUUUACGAAAGUCAGAUAUUCUCCUUGUACUCCUCCUUUCUUUACAUGUUAUUAUUAUAGCUCAAGAAAACGAGUCGAGCAUCAUCCAACCAGCUUCUUCACUUUAUGCCGGAAAACACCCUAGUUCAUGGCCCUCAUCUUCAGGGUAUUUCCGAUUUGGUUUCUAUCCGCAAGGCAAUGGAUAUUCGGUCGGAAUCUGGCUUGUUGGCCGGUCAGAAAACACCACUGUCUGGACCGCAAAUCGAGAUGAUCCGCCUGUCUCCUCAAAUGCUACUUUGGAAUUCACAACACAAGGCAGGUUGCUUCUUCGGACUGAGGACGGCAUGGAAAAAAUCAUUGCGAAUCUGACCAUGUCAGUAUCUGUUGAUGCAGCUUCUAUGUCGGACACCGGGAAUUUCAUGCUCUACCAGAACAGGACUGUUGUUUGGGAGAGCUUUAAUUUUCCAACGGACACAAUAUUAGGAGGCCAGAAUUUAAGCGGUUCUCAUAACAUGUUGAUUUCCAAUGUGUCAAGGUCAAACCAUUCAUCUGGGCCAUAUUUGUUGAGAAUGCAGGAUGAUGGUAACCUUGUAGCCUAUGCAAAUAAUCCUGCUGAACUUGAUCCUAGUGAUGCAUACUGGGCCACUAUGACUAAUGGUUGGUAUUUUUCUGUGUUGAAUCUCAAUGAAAGAGGCGUUCUAGCAAUGUAUUCAUCACCAAAAUUCCACCAAGAAAAAGUUUUGGCAAACCUCUCCGCAACUGGGAACGAAACAAUGAUUAUCUACAGAGCAACCCUUGAUCCUGAUGGAAAUUUCAGAUUGUACUCGCAUCAACUCGAACGCAAUACUAUCUCACACAAGUGGCAGAUUCUGAAUGAUGAAUGUGAUGCUAAAGGUCAAUGUGGGUUGAACAGCUACUGCUCCAGCAGGGGUAAGGAUACUGAGUGCUACUGCUAUCCUGGUUUCACAUUUAUCGACGAGAAUACCAAAUCCCUGGGCUGCUCUCAGAAUUUCACUAUAGAUGAGUGCGUGGCAAGGAAAGAUCUAGUGAUACAUUACAACAUCACUACCUUAGACAAUAUUGAUUGGGCUGGUGAUCCUUAUUCUGUCAAGCAAAACUUGGAAAAGGAAGACUGUAAGAAAUCUUGCCAGGAGGAUUGCUCCUGUGGCGGAGUUCUCUAUUCUAACCGAAAAUGCUGCAGCAUGUAUAUGCUACCGCUCAAAUAUGGUAAAAGACAUGGAAAUAUAACAACCACAGCCUUCAUCAAGUUGAUUCUGGGUAGCACCAUUAGCCACCCACCCGAAACAAGUCAAAUAUUGAUAAGCGAAGGAAACCAAAGCCUCAUUUUAACCAUGGGCUUAAGUUUGGGUUCCGUUGCAAGCUUGUGUUUUGUGAUUGCAAUAGGUAGCUUCUUGUUAUACAAGCACCGAGUCCAAAAUUAUGAGAAGCUUUUAGAAAAUAAAAGUUCAGGAUUAACCGAGCAGUUUACGCUACGAUCAUUCACUUUCGAUGAGCUAGAUGAAGCAACAAAUGGUUUCCAAGAUGAGUUAGGAAAAGGUUCAUUUGGAACAGUUUAUAAAGGAAUUUUGCGGGAUGGUAAAAGUAAAACUAUUGCCAUUAAAAGACUGGCGAAAGUUAACGAAGGAGAAACAGAUCAGAUUCGAACCGAGAUGACAGUCAUUGGAAGAACUAAUCACAGGAACUUAGUCCGAUUGCUUGGUUUUUGUGUGGAAGGUUCAAGGAAGCUCCUCGUUUAUGAAUACUUGGGCAAUGGCUCACUGGCAAACUUUCUGUUCAACAUGAAUAAACGCCCAGUGUGGAAAGAGAGAGCCCGAAUUGCAUUGGACGUAGCUAAAGGUAUCUUUUAUUUACAUGAAGAGUGUGAGGUGUGUAUCAUCCAUUGCAACCUCAAGCCCCAUAACAUACUCUUGGAUGAUUCAUUGACUGCAAAGAUUUCAGAUUUUGGGUUGGCAAAGCUAUUGAGGACUAAUCAAACAUGCAGUACCCCUAGGACCAAAGGGACUGCAUGGUACUCGGCACCUGAAUGGCAAAGCAGUGGAUUGGUGUCGGUAAAAGUUGAUGUAUACAGUUUCGGGGUGAUACUAUUGGAGAUCAUAUGUUGCAGAAGCAACAUAGAAGUACAAGUUUGUAGUGCAGAUGAGAUACUGCUUUCUACAUGGGUAUACAGUUGCUUUAUUGGCGGAGAAUUGAAUAAGCUUGUGGAAGGUGAAGAAGAAGUGGACAUGAAAAUGGUGGAAAGAUUUGUGAAGGUAGGGCUUUGGUGCAUUCAAGAUGAUCCCAAUUUGCGUCCAUUGAUGAAAAAUGUCAUCUUUAUGCUGGAAGGAACAAUGACUAUACCAGUCCCUCCAUCUCCAUCACUUCUGUUAUAACUUUGAUUUAGUAUUUACUUUAAUUUUGCUUUUCAUGUGAUGCAUGAUGAUGUGCUUAUUUUUCUUUUCUUUAAUGUAAUGCAAUUAUGUAAGAUAAGAGAGUUUAAUUCUAAAAAAAUAAAAUUUCAGUAGUUAAAAAAAUAAUAGUGUUAAUUUUCUUGCCUUCAAAAUCUGUAUAUAUGGGGCAGCUCUUCACCGAAAAAAAAAAUUCAUUCUUGCCUUAAAAUUUUUUUCUUUUGAUUUCAUAUUUAUUUAAAUGAAUUGAUGUCUAAUUGACUUUUAAUAAAUAAUUAAAAUGUCAUUCCUAUUAAGAAAUGCUAACAAAUAUUAUUAUGAAAUAAUUCAAUCAAAUUGUUGGUGUGUAACUAUAGAAGUAAAAUUAUAAUUAACAAAUGAUAAAAUUGAUGAUCACAUGUCCAAUCGUAUAUGAUAAAACUUAAACUUGAAUACUUAAAAAGUUUAAAUCUCUCUCCUAACCAACAAAACAAAAUUGGGGCUAAAUUAGCCAUAUAUGCUAAUUUAUUUUUUAAAUUGGCCUUUUAAGCUGGAUUUUUGAAAAAUUAGGAAAAUAAACUAUUUUUUUGGAAAGAGGAAUGAAAAAUGUGUCCAAUUGGGCGUACUUUCUACACAGUUGGCAGGAAAGUUCGCAUAACUGGUCGCACUUUCCUGUAAAUUGGAUAGAAAGUGUGUCAACUAAGCGCACUUUCCCCCAACUAGAUACUCCAACGACUUUUUGAAAGUUGGUCGAGCAACGGUAAGAAAAUUUAAAAGAGGGCAACGAUAAAAUUUUUUCACUAUAAAUACCCCCUAUUUUAUUUUUUCACUCACAUCCUAUUCCUUCAAUUCUCUUAAUUCUCUCAAAUUUCUCAAGCUUUUCUUCUAAAUUUUUUGAUAUUCUCAUUUAAAAAUCUUAGUUUUUUUUAAUUAUUCCGUAUUUUAUUUGUUCGGAUUAAAUUUUCACGAAAUAGCAACCUCCCUAAUUCAUUUCGACAACAAGCACAUUUCCGUCACUCAAGUAAUAAUGGUAAGACGAAAUUUUAAAUUUAGUUAUUUUUAAUUAAGUUAAAAUUAAUUUUUUUAAUAUUAUAUUUUUUUGUUAUUAUAAAUAGGUGGAUGAUUGUGUUUUGGAGGGGAUCAUACAUAAUUUGGUAGCGUCUCCGAUCACCUAAAUUCAUGGUUACUUGUAAAAGGUGAGAUUCUUGCAUACGUCUCGUAUACUUGGGGGUUGCAAACUUAACCCUACACUCAUCAGCAUGUUGGUGGAAAAAUGGAGGUUUGAAACACACACUUUUCAUCUUUCAUGUGACAAGUGUACAAUCAUACUCAUAUGAUCAUCCUCUUUAUUUAGCACCAAAUUGGUUUCCAUAAAAAAUUAUAAUAUCCUUUUAAGUCUUUUUAAAAUUAAUCCUAUUAGAAUUAUUGAUUUAGUCUAAAGCUGAUCAUGGGUCGGGCCGAACCGAGGCAAAAAGUCUAGGUUUGGGCUCGAUCUACCCAUAUUAAAAUCUUUUAUAUAAUUUUUAUAUAAAAAUAAAUUUAAAAAAUAUAAUACAUCAAAUACUUUAAAAAUAUUAAAAUAAUUGUUUACCAACAAAUUAAAAAUACAUUAAAAAAUAUUUAUGCUUAAAUAACACUAAGAUAUAUACAACUUCACAAGUAAAUGCCUUUAAAAAAAUAGUAAAAUUAACAAUGAAACAAAAUUUAUACAAUAUUUAAAUAUUAACAACAAAAUAGUAGUAAUAUAAUAGCGAAAUUAUAGCAAAAUAAUAAUAAAACAACAACAAUUUUUCUUAUGCAAAUUCGGGCCGAAUUGGGCCUGAGUUGAAAAACUUACCUAAGACCCGAUCCUUUUAAAAAUUUAUCAUUAUCAUUUUGUCCAAACCUAUUUUAGAAACCUUUAUUUUUACCAAAAAUUUUCCAAACUUUUUGGGUCAGUCCUAUUCGCCCUGUCUAAUUUAGCCUAUAUUCAAUUUCCUCCUUUGCGUUUGCUUUUUGUUGUUUUCUAAAAAUUCAGCCUUUCAAAUUCCAAUUAAAUAAUUUGUUGAUAUUUUUAAAUUUUUAUUAUCUUUUCGACUUCAGCCAUUUAUUAUUUCGUCAUCACUUGCAAAAUAGAAGAGAGAAACACCAUAUUUCCCAUGGCUUCGGUGUGGGCUUUUCUCUUGCUCCUUUCUUCUCUCUGCGUGAAGCAGUCAAGCAGCAUCAUUUCGCUGGGAUCUUCGCUUUCCUCGGCCACUCAAUCCAUCCCGUGGCGUUCUCCUUCUGGUCGCUUUGCAUUUGGCUUUUACAGUCAAAACGGUGGCCUUUCUGUUGGAGUUUGGUUAGACGGCAGACGAAAGAACGAUAACAAAGUUGUAUGGACAGCAAAUCGUAAUGAGCCGCCGCUCACUUCGAAUGCAACUCUGAUAUUAAAUGGCAAAGGUGUGCUUCUUUCGAUCGCUGUGAGCGGAGAAAAGAAAUUUAUUGCUAAUCCAAACAAUUCGGAUGUCAGUGUCUUCUCUGCCUCCAUGCUAGAUUCAGGCAAUUUUGUGCUCUACAACAAAGACAAUCAUACCAUUUGGGAGAGUUUCGAUAAUCCUACUGAUACCCUUUUAGGAGGUCAGACUUUAUUAACUAAUCACAAGUUGAUCUCCAGUUCAUCAGAGAAUGAUCACUCACCUGGAAGGUUUCAUCUUACCAUGCAAAGAGAUGGGAAUCUCGUUCUAUACCCUCUAGAGUUCGAAGAUUCUCCUCCAAAUGCCUAUUGGAGCACAGAUACUUUUGGGAAGAACUUGUCGCUCAGCCUUUUUCUUAACGCCACAGGCCUCCUCGAACUCAUCAACAACGAUAAUUCGUCCAUCUACGACAAAAUUAAUCGUUGCUUUUCUAAAGAGCCGACAUACAAUGACUACAACGAAAGCAGCAGCAACAACAACAGUACUGUUUUCAGUGCAAGCCUUGAUGUUGAUGGGAAUUUCCGGUUAUAUGCUCAUCUGUUUGAGCAAAAUGGUGGGUUUCACACUUAUCUACUGUUGAGGGCGGUGUUAAAUUCCUGUAAAGUUAAAGGUUUUUGUGGUUUCAACAGCUAUUGCACAUUUAAUGAUUAUCAACCCUACUGUGCAUGCCUCCCCGGGACUGAUUUUAUUGAUCCUCUUCAGAACAAGCUCGGCUGCAAGAGAAAUUAUUCUGAAGCACACUGUAAAGGAGGGAAGGCCAAUAUACCCUUUUAUAACAUGACUUCAAUGCAAGGUAUUGUAUGGACUACGGGCAUAUUUUACAGUAAAGAGCAACUGUCCAAGGAUGCGUGCAGCCGAACAUGUUUGGAAGACUGCAAUUGUGAGGCAGCACAGUUCGAGAAUGGGAUUUGCAGGAAACAAAAGCUUCCACUCAGGUAUUUGCUACGAGAUCCUGGUGCCGGAGAGAUUUCUAUAGUUUUAUUGAAGGUGGGAAUCAAAAGCCUUGAAGCAGACGACGACACUGUUCUCUCUGAAUUAAAGCUACCCAAAGUCCUAAUCAAACGGAAAAAUACGACGGUGCUACUACUUCUUUUAACUCUCAGUUUUGUUGCAUGUUCAUGUGCUUUGCUUACAAUCUCUGGUGUAUACAUUUAUAAAUUUCGAGUUCUAAGAUACAAAAGGCUGUUGGAACUUGGAAAUUUGGGCCUAACGGAAGAGCUUACGUUGACAUUGUUUUCAUACAAAGAACUAAAGAGAGCAACAAAUGGGUUUAAAGAAGAGUUGGGUAAAGGAUCCUUUGGAGCAGUCUACAAAGGGUCUUUAGACAGAGGAAGACAGUUGAUUGCUGUGAAGAGACUCGAGAAGUUAGUGGAAGAAGGUGAAAAAGAGUUCCAAGCAGAAAUGCGAGCAAUUGGUAGAGCUCACCACAAGAAUUUAGUUCGACUUUUGGGAUACUGUGUUGAGGAUUCCAAGAGACUAUUGGUGUAUGAGUACAUGGGCAAUGGCUCCCUUGCAGAUCUACUUUUCAAGUCAACAAAGCCCCCAGAUUGGGAUGAAAGAACAAGAAUAGCCCUGGAUGUUGCUAGAGGAAUCCUCUAUUUGCAUGAUGAGUGUGAGACUCCAAUCAUUCACUGUGAUAUAAAGCCGCAAAACAUAUUGAUGGAUGAUUUAUGGAGAGCUAAAAUUUCGGACUUUGGGCUGGCAAAACUGUUGAUGGGAGAUCAAACAAGGACCUUCACAGGCGUAAGGGGAACUAGAGGAUACAUGGCACCAGAGUGGCAGAAAAAUACUCCAAUAUCAGUGAAGGCUGACAUUUACAGUUACGGAGUUGUGCUGUUGGAGACUGUGUUUUGCCGACGGAACUUGGAAACCAAUGUAUCAAAACCAGAGGAGGUCAUUCUAUCAAGUAUGGUGUAUAGAUGUUUGGUUGAAAAGGAGUUGGAUAAGCUAAUGCUUGGUGAAGAAGUGGAUAAAAGAAGCUUGGAAAGAAUGGUGAUGGUGGCACUUUGGUGUAUUCAAGAUGAACCAGCUCUUCGUCCUUCCAUCAAGACUGUAGUAAUGAUGCUGGAAGGGAUCACUGAUAUAUGUAUUCCUCCAUGUCCAACUGCUUCCUUCAUCAAGUGAUGAUCCAACAAUCAAUCAUUUCACUCAAAAGUAUAUGUGUAUGUUGUCAAUAAAAUAUGUAAAAUGCUUCCUGUAGUGUCCUCCUAUAAUAGGCUUGGGUUAUGUACUGGUUUGUUAGUAUGAAUAUUCAGUUGCAUUAUUAUUACUCAAUCAUAUAUUAAUGAAAUGGUGAUUUUAAGUAUGAUCAUUAAACACGAAGUAUAAAGAAUUUACUUACAGUUACUGAUUAUCCAAUCGUAAGAAGCAGUAUUGCAGUAGCCAGUUGAUGAGUUUAUGUAAUAUGUGGAAAACUAUUACUUGCCUACAGUAGAUGAGUUUAUAUAGUAGCUCGACUUAAAUAGUACAAAAGCAAAUACAAUAUUGAUAUAUAUACUAAUGGCCACAUAUAAGGGUGGGUUUACGACCCUAACCCGGCCUAAUGUACUACCAUAAGAUAAUUGGAUAGUGACCAAUUGGACUAAUGGGUUAUUUUGUCACAUAAAAAACUUUUGAGUUGGUAGUCUCUAGUCUGGGCCUUUAUACAUAGAACAACAAUUUUCAGGCCUAAUUGAGUUUCAUUUAAGCUAGUACUCAAAGCUUGGCCUUAUAAAAUGGAAUAAAUUAUAAAUACAAUAUAUUAAUACUCAAUAGGAAAAUAUAAAUUAUUAUAUACUUUUAUAUUUAAUUAAAUAAAUGUUAAUCGUUAAAUUUUAAAAUUUAUUUUUUAUUAUUUUAAAAUAAAAUUAAUAGUUAUAAUUAAAAUAAAAUAAAAAGGGAUAAAUUAGUAAUAUAAUAAGUUAAUACUCAAUAGAAACAUUAAACUAUUAUACCCUUUUGGGUAUGGAGUGAGUUCAAAACUCGUGACCAACAUUUAUCUUCUUAAUGAGCCUACAAAAUACGAAAAAUUAAUUACUAGACUUGAUCUAAUAGAUACAAUGAGAAAUUUUAAAAAAUAAUUAUUCCAAAAUUUCAAAAUUAUUUAACUAUUUGACCCAAAUCAAUUAAUAUCCAAAAUGGAUAAAAUAAUUCAUACAGAAAAACUCAGCCCAUCAAUAGGUGUGCUCCCAACCCAGAACAAUAUAAAUCCAAAGAUAAUUCGAUCCGAAUCCGCCAAACCCACCCGUUUGGUUGAAGGAGACCCGUUCUUCUGCAUUGCUUCCUUUUGUGCUUCUGAUCUAUGGCUUUAUUCUCGAGUUGAAGGAAAAGUUAAAUGGCUCCAGCAAAGAAGGGAAAAGUCAAAACCCAGAAAGCUGAAUCAUCGCAGCCCUCUGAAAGUGACUUCAAGUUCCCAUCUUCAAUCCGCUCGGUUCCUCCUUCGUCUGUUGCCUCCUUCGUCUGUUAUUCAAUUUUUGCAUGGGAAAAAGUAAGAUGGAUGAAGAGGAGAAAAACCCAAAAGGCAAAAAUAAGAAAAAGAAAUGAAAAAGACCUAUGCGUAUGCACCCAAACGUGUUUGCCUAGGUAGUUAUGAAGAAGCAAGAGUCUGAACUGUUCUAUUUAAUGGGUUUCCCCUGUAAUUUAUAUAGUUUAUAUUUAAUAUAAUAUUUGUAUAGCUGCUUCUUUUAGAUACUGUUUUUCGCUACUUGAAUUGCUAUUCGUUGGUUAAUUUAGUUCUUUUUGAGUUGUUUCUUACUGGGUUUUUUCUUCCCCUUAUGAAUGAGCUUCUGAUUGUUAUUUAUGGCUUUUCUACUUGCAGUGAAACUAUCUGCACGGGUGUUUCAAGUUCGAAUUUUCAGUUUCCCUUAAAAGGGUUUGAUUGUUCCACUUUUAGCUUCUUCUUCUUCUUUUUUUUUUUUUGUAAAUUUUAUAAUAUGGCAUCAUCUCAUAGCAAUACUCACACUGAAGCCGCAAAAAUGGAACAAAUCAUCACUGAAUUCUUCUAUAAGAGUCUUCUAAUUAUACUUGAAUCGAGGUCUCCUUAUGUGUCAUCGCGAAAUUAUAUUGGUGAACAAAUUAUGUCAUCUCCAUCUUCGUCCCCAUCAUCUUUCUCAGGUGUGAGACCAAGAGAUAAAUGGUUCAAUUUAGGGAGUGCCCUUCAGAACUAGAAAAUUUUUAUCUUUGUCGCCAGAGUAAUUUUGAGCCGGUAGUGAUUGAUGUUAUCUUGGAGCAGAAGCCACUUGAUUGGGAUCCUGUGACCUUUUCCCCCAAACCUGAUCUUGUUAAGCAUUCUUCAUCAAAAGAUAAGAAUUCAUUUUUCUGGAAUUCUGAUCAAGAAGAAUCAGGCUGUGAGGCAAAAGGUGAGAAGGUUAUAGAAAGGUGGUUCGUGCAGCAUGAAAGUAGAAAGGGUAGGGAUUGCAGUUCAGGGAGUAGAAGGUCAAGUAGUAAUAAUUUGAGUGCAUUAUAUAAGAAAUUGUUAUUGCUGUUGAGGUCCUUAUAUGUGACCUUUAGGCUUUUACCUGCGUACAAGAUUUUUCGUGAUCUCAAUUCAUCUGGUCAAAUCCGUGCUUUUAAGCUUCUUCCUAGGGUAUCCUCUUCUGAUAAAUCUUUCACUCAGAAAGACGAGGCUGAAAUGCAGCCAUUUUGGUUCACCCCUGUGGAUACUUCUUGUGGAAGGCUUUGCCUUUCAGUUUUGUACCGUUCAUCAAUCUCAGAUACAAGCUCCCAGUCAUCAACCCCUAUGUCCCCUCAAUUUAUACCAGAUUAUGUUGGAAGCCCAUUGACAGACCCACUAAGAAGAUUUCCUUCUCUUCCUGUGUCACAGCCCAUUGACCGCCUUCAGUUUCUCUCUCACCAUCCCCAACACAUUCAGAAUCACAUGCUUUGGUUUCUAACCCAAGCUCUCGCCGUGCGUGCCGCCACCUAUGAGCUUACCUCCUCAUCCUCCUGGGGCAUCUCUACCUCAUAAGAAGAAUACAAACUUUGAUGAGUAUUGGCCUUCCCCAAAUUUUUCUGCUUCCCCUUCCCCUUCCCCAUCCCCGCCCAUCCGCAUUCCUGGGGGUCAUCUGUCAAAAGCUCUUUUACGUUCCGAAAGUGCUCAUGUUAACAUACCUGUCUGUAAGCUUGCUGGUUCCCCUGCAUUCCUGCAAGCAAAAUUUGCCACCAUCUCCUCCCCUUAAAGUUUCAAGAGCUGAUAGUUCUUGGACUGAUAAUAAUAUGGGUCCCAUGAAACCUGGCGCAACUAUCGAGAAGGUAUUUCAUAUAUGCCUCAUUGGUAUGAUUUGUGAUUCCAACCCUAUCUUGUUUUUCUCCUUGGAAUUUACUAUCGUUUUGUAUCUUAUAGCUGUUCUCUUUCGGGAAAGGAGACGGUCAGAAAUAUUCUGGAGUGAACUCACCCAGAAUUUCAUUUUUCAGAAGCUCCAGUAGGUCUAUACAAGAUGAUUUUGAUGACUCUGAGUUUCCUUGUCCAUUUGAUGUGGAGUAUGAUGAUACGGACGCUGGUAGCAGGUAAUGCACAGAACUCCUCAUAUAAAUUGUAUUUUUUAGAUUAACCCUUUUUGCAUCAUUUGUCAAUAGCUCAUACAAUUAAUUUACAUAUUUUUCUUUUUAACUUCGAAGUUAUUUUUAUCCAGAUUUCUUGAGGAUUUGACACUUAAUUAAUUGUUCUUGUGUAUUUGAAAAUGUGGCAUCAUUUUUUUUUUUUGUAUUAACAUAAUUUUCUCAGGACUUAAUUUGGUUGCUUUAACUUACCCUGGAGUAAUUUGCUAAAGGUCAUGUAAGCAAGCCAUCAUGUGUAUGGUAAGACUAAUAAUUGCCUUUUCUUUUUGAAUUUUGUCUUGAACUAGUUCUGAUCUCAUAAGACUGGAUGUUAGCAAUUGAUGUACUUUCUAGGAAACUGAAUAAUCAUUUUUAAGCAAAGAGAUUGUGCAUUAGAAACUUCAAUACCUUGCUGCUAGGAGUCUAAGUAGUGGCAUUUCUGGUUCAAGAAUCGGGAUAUAUCAGUUAUGAAGAGUUUCCAAAUAAAGUUUGUUUUCUAUUUUUGAGCAAGCCACCCUGGCUGGCAUUAAGCAUGUUCAAUACCUAGUCCAGGUAGUACCUGUAGUGAAAUAUCUGUUUCAGGGAUUGGGAUAAGUAGUGGUCUAUCAAUCUAUGGAGAGUUGCCAAUUAAACUUUGCUUUCCAGUUUUGUGAAAGAAAGUAAGAAACUUCACGGCAUUAUAAAUUUAGAUAUAUCAGGUAGUCUGCAAAAUUUGUUUUCUAGUUUUCAGAAAGACAGCCUGGCUGGUUAACUUGAAAAUGUUUAGUAGAUAUGAAGUUGGAUUGUAUAACCAUGCUGAAGUUUCUUGUGCCAGUUGAAUUUUGCAGCAAGCGGUGGUAACUGCUAAUCAUACUUCAGUUGUUUCUUGUAAUGCGCAACCAGUAUCAGUGAAUGAAUCAUAGUUGUUUUGGUAUCUUCAAUUUUAACAUAGUUAUUAACAAUGUAGAACUGCAGGAACAUGUCUUCAGGUCACGUGGUAGGAUUGGGGCCAAUUUCUGUGUAUGACUUGGCCCUUAUGUUUGAGGCAGCUGAAACAACAGCUGUCUUACUUUUUUUCUUUUGAUUGGUGAGUAAAUUAAAUUAAUAUAAAGAUGGGUGAUUAAGAGGAGGCCAAAAAACAAAGAUGGUUGAUUAAGAAUGAUUUGUUAAUGACUAAAGGAUAUGGUGGUUGCAGCAACGUUCUAUGCAUCCUUCUUGCUUGUCACUAAUUUGAUUUGUUCAGUUUCUUGAGUUACCUCUAAAACUACAACAAAAUGUAGUCGAAUGGCUUGUGUCAGUUGCAUUUGUAAUAACUCUGAUAAUCCUUUAUUAAAACAUGGAACUUUAUCAGUCUGUGUUGCUUUCCUGUAAUACCAGACACAACAAACUGCUUGAAGGAUCAAACAUCAUUUUGUCACUUUGAUUUAUUUUAUGGCAUACUCAGAUGUACACAUGAACAAAGUAUUCAUAUACUAAUUUCUACUAGUUAGCUUCGUAUUUAUAAUUAUUAUAUAGGGUUAUGUUUGGUAUUCUAAUGAUAUUUAGAUUUAGGGAAUAACUUAAAUAUUUAUUUUAGUUUCUAGGAGCUUUUGAAAUUGAGAUGUUGGGAUUAUAGAUAAUGGAGAUUUUCAUAUGUGGGCUAUCAGAGUUGGAUUUUUUUCGUCUUUAUUUCUCCCUAAGUUCAUCUAUUCCCCCUACUUCACGUUUUUGAGGUUCCAUGAAAUUACCAUGGGUGAAGAAAUCCAAAAGUUCUAAAGGUAAUUUGAACAUUUGACAUUCUCUUUACUGCAAUUGUUAGCUCAAAAUGUUCCCUCAAGAAAAUCCUUUAACCAUUGACUUAAGCAGGAUCAUUAAUCGAAAAUGAGUCAUGGAAUUCAUAUCCAAAUCCUACAGCACUUAUUUGAUCCUCCAACAUUAUAAAAAAAAAAAUAAGAAUCUAUUUUAGCCUUCCAUCUUUUUUAACAUUUGAAUUUGGGUUUUUAUCAAAUAUGUUAUCAUUUAAUUAAUUUUUUUCCGAAAUAAUAAUUAAUUUGAAAGUUGAUUAAAAAUAAUUAUUAUAAAUUUGUUUUGUUUCGUCUACCGAAUCAAGCUGGCAUUAAGAAGGAAAUGUAAAUAUAUACCUGAUGCUCAUCUCUGACACUUGCUUAAAAGGUAAAGAUUCGCAGUUAUGUUUUUAUCCAUUCUUUAAAUGUGUAAGAUCCAUUGAUAAAUGUAAAAAUCAAACUUAUAAUUAAUGAUUAAAUAUACAUUGGAUAGUAAUGAAUGAAAAAGUAAUAGAAUAAAAUCAAACCCUUAACCGAAUGCAUGUUGCAUUGAUCCCAUUUCUUUGUCAAUUAAUUUGCUUUAAUAUCCUAUAUAAACGUAUUUAAGUUCCAAAUGAAAUGUUUUUUUUUUCUUUGCACCGUGUAAUAUAUGAGCCAAAAUAUUAACAUUAUCUUUGAAAAUUCCCACCGUAAUGCCUCAAGGAUCACAAAUAUUGUCCCUAAUUGCACGUCUUGCAACUCCACUGUUUUACCUCCAUCAACGCGUGCUAUUCUUGCUCCAGCUCGGCCUCACUUCUUUCCAAAUGGGUGACACACAAUCCGUAAGUCUCCAAGGAAAUAAUGAUCACAUAUUUCUUCUUGUCUUAUUUCAUGGAAAUUACCAACGUCACUAUUGAAAAGCGUGUAGGUGGACUUGACCAAGACUUUUCUUGGCAAGUGGAGUAGAAGGCCAAAUGUGUUGGUUUCUUUCUAUUUCAUCGGAAUGAAAGCUUCCAGCCAAAGGAAUAGUUUUUUGUUUGGUAAAUUAACAUUUGGGUCAACUAAUUUUUAAAAGGUGAAUAAUGGUCAUUAACCCCUCACUAGAAUGAUGUCGUGACACAUUAACUCUUAACAAUAAUUUUAUAAAUAAUUUAAAAAAAAUUCAAAAAUUUCUUUAUAAAUCUUGAAAUUUAUAAUUUACUUUCUAAAAUUAUAAUUUUCUUUUUUAAAAUUAUAGGCAUACGAUUUUUUUAAAUCAUAAAUUUCUAAAGAGAUUUUGUACUAUACGAACAAGUCUUGUUUUCUCUUAAUGAUUGCUGUUAGUUCUCUUUAGAAGAUCUUGAUUUCAUUUAAGACAUUAAGAUGAAAUUUUGUCAAGGACAACACAGUUGUUGCCAUGCAUCCAUUUAUCUAUUAUCUAACGUAAAGCUAUCAUACUCUUGGUGGUUAAAGUAUGAAAUUUUAAAAAUUCUAAAAGUAUUUGGAAUUUAAAAAAAAUAUAUUAAAAAAUACACAUCUAAAAUGAACUUAGACAACAGGAUAUCUAGAUUCAUUUGAAUAUAUAUAUAGUUUAUCCAAGUUUAUUUUAGUAAGUUUAUAUUUUAGUCACUCAACUUCAAAAAGUUAAAAAAAUAUUGUCAUUGAACUAUUCGAAAGUUUUUAUUUAAGUCACUAGGUUGUUAAGUUUUUUUUUUUAAAUGACCGGCUAGCGAGUUUCCAAGUGACAAAUUGACGAUUGGUACGGUGGGUCAGUACCCAUUACUAAGUAUAAGAACAUACAUUAGAUUUAAGUCGAUUUGAUGAUCAAUGUUAAAUAUCAAAGAACCAAGUUGUUUAGAUUUCGGUUUGCAGAUUCGUGAUAUUCAAAGUUAUUUUAUGAAAAGAAACUAAGUUGUAAAAGAGAAGAAGAGUGAGAGCUUUCGAUUAGAGUAGACGAUUCAAAUAGAGAAGAUCAUAUAGCAACCUAAUGAGUUAAAUGAAAACUUUCGAAUAGUUCAAUGAUCAUUUUGUAACAUUUUAAAGUUGAGUGACUAAAUCAUAAAUAGAGGAAUUCCUGAUCCUAUUUGUAAAAGAAAAAAAAAUCUAUCGUUAAUUUACCAAAUAAUAAUUCUCCACCAAAAAAAAAAAAAAAAGCGGUUCCAAGUGUACCACGGAUUUAGCCUUGCAUAGGUGCGAGGACUUGACCAAGACUUCAAUGGAAUUGUUUUUAUUUUAAUCAACAAAAAUAUCGCUUUAUUUCUUUCAAUUUACAAUUUAUGAACAUGAUAAUAAAACCAAAAACUAUAACUUUCAAAUUGCAGAAAAUAAAUGACUAUGUGCUCACAACCAUUAAGGUAAUGAACAUGCUAGCAUACAUAGUGGAAGAUGAGAAAGGUCCACCUUUCUUUCUUUCCUUCCUUUUUUCUUUUUUUACAUUUUAAAAAAUAAUUAAAUCUUAGUCUUAGUCUCUAAAUUUAAUCUCUAUUUUUAAAUUUAUAACAUAUUUAGUUAGUACAUUUUUAUAAUAACAGUUAGUAUCAUUAAAACAUUUGUAAAUUUGAAUAUCCUAAAAGUCUUAUUUUAGUUAGGAUUACAUUACUUUUUUUGACAUUAUAAACUAUACUAACAUUUGAGAUUUAAUUUAUAUAUUUUAAUUUUUUGACAUAAUUUAAUUUGGUUCCUCUAUUUUUAUCCUUGAGAUCAACACUAUUUCAACAAAAAAAUCAUUUUAUAUUUCUAAAAAACAUUCUAAUCAAUAUUUCUAACCUUAUUUGUAUUACAUCAAAGAAUUUAAUAAAAGAAAUUUUAACAAUAAUAACAACUAAACUUAAAUAUUUAAAUCCGAAAAAUUAACAACUAUAUUCUUAAAAAUAAUAAACCCAGAAUUUUUUAUUCAUAAAUACCAUAGAUUUUAUAAAUUAAAAACACUUGAAUUAAAAACAACUAUAAUCUAGCUUUUUUAGUACAUCAUUUAAGCUUAUAUCAAAAUAUUUUUAUUUUUAUUUUUUAUAAUUAGUUGAAUGAUGACUUCAAACCAAUCCCGCAAAUUCUCUUCGUCCUUCUAUCAAGACUGUAGUGAUGAUGCUGGAAGGGAUCACUGAUAUAUUUAUUCCUCCAUGUCCAACUGCUUCCUUCAUCUAAUUCAAGUGAUUAUCUAAAUUGCAUAUAAAUUUUGGUUAAAUGUGACAUACAAACUUUGAAUUACAACUACAAUUAUUUAUUUCUUUAAAUAUGUAUAUUGAAUCACAAUCAUACAUUUUGACUACAAUUAAAACUUAAUGUAUAUAAUUAUACUAAAUCAAAGUUCAUGCUUCGAAUUGCACAUUGAAAAUGAAAAUGUGCAUAUUAUAUAUAUAUAUAUAUAUAUAUAUAUAUAUAUUAUAAAUUUCAAAAUGAAAAUGUACGAACCAUUUAUUUUAUUUAUGUUGGAUUCAAUUUUUAUUUUUUUGUAAAAACUAAGUGUUAAGUAUGAUUCCUAUUUUAGUCAAAUUUGAGAAAUAAUCUUCUAGUUAAACUCUGUUUAUUUGUUUCAAUCAAACACUGAUUAGUUUAGAUUAUUUUAUUAUUAUUUAACCUAUGAAUUUAGCCUAUAAAUAGACUCUUUUACAACAUUAGAAAUACACACAUUAGAUAUUAGAACCUCAUAACACAUUUAUUUGUUUACAUUUUGAGGGUUUUUUUUCGAGUUUUCGUGGUUUAAUUUUUAUCUUCAUCUUUUGUACUCUUCACUCUUUUGCCAUUAUAGUAAAAUUAUCUUUGCCUGUGAUUUUUUAUCCUCUUUUAGAGGGGUUUUUCCAUUUUAAAUUUAUUCCGCUAUUUUUUUACUUGUUGUUUAAUCGGGUCGAUCCUAACAGUAAGUAAAUUAUUUCAUUUUAACUAAUUUAUUUUUUGACAUAAUGUAUAAAAUUAAUUUACUUAUUCUUUUGAGUAAAAUGAUAAAACACAAUUUUACUUUUAAUAUAAGUGUUUUUAUGGUAAUUUAAAAAAAGAAAUCCUUCUUAAUUAUUUAUAUAUUAAUCUCGUAUAGAUUUCAUACAAACCGAUCAAUGACAAGCGUAUUACGACAAACAUUUGGAUACGUCUGAAAGUGAGAAAAAGUAAAAAUACUUUUGUUUUGAAAAAAAAGAUUUAAAAAAAAAAAAAAAGAGCUAAGCUCUAAUAGUCGGAGUACAUUUGGUUUCGUCUAGCAACAGUGUUCCCGUUUGCUCUCUAACUCGUUUGCUCGUCUCCUUACAUCACCAACCCUAACUAUGGCUCAUUUACUACAGUCAGAUAUUCUCUUUCUAUUCCUUCUCCUUUCUUUACAUGUUAUUAUUAUAGCUCAAGGAAACGAGUCGAACAUCAUCCGACCAGGUUCUUCACUUUAUGCCGGAAAACACCCUCGUUCAUGGCCCUCAUCUUCAGGGUAUUUCCAAUUUGGUUUCUAUCGCCAAGGCAAUGGAUAUGCGGUUGGAAUCUGGCUUGUUGGCCGGCCAGAAAACACCAUUGUCUGGACUGCAAAUCGAGAUGAUCCGACUGUCUCCUCAAAUGCUACUUUGGAAUUCACAACACAAGGCAGUUUGCUUCUUCGGACUGAGGACGGUGUGGAAAAAAUUGCGAAUCUGGCCGGGUCGGUAUCUGUUGAUUCAGCUUCUAUGUUGGACACCGGGAAUUUCAUGCUCUACCAGAACAGGACUGUUGUUUGGGAGAGCUUUAAUUUUCCAACGGACACAAUAUUAGGAGGCCAGAAUUUAAGCGGUUCUCAUAACCAGUUGAUUUCCAGUGUGUCAAGGUCAAACCAUUCAUCUGGGCCAUAUUUGUUGAGAAUGCAGGAUGAUGGUAACCUUGUAGCCUAUGCAAAUAAUCCUGCUGAACUUGAUCCUAGUGAUGCAUACUGGGCCACUAUGACUAAUGGUUGGUAUUUUUCUGUGUUGAAUCUCAAUGAGAGAGGCGUUCUAGCAAUGUAUUCAUCACCAAAAUUCCACCAAGAAAAAGUUUUGGCAAACCUCUCCGCAACUGGGAACGAAACAAUGAUUAUCUACAGAGCAACCCUUGAUCCUGAUGGAAAUUUCAGAUUGUACUCGCAUCAACUCGAACGCAAUACUAUCUCACACAAGUGGCAGAUUCUGAAUGAUGAAUGUGAUGCUAAAGGUCAAUGUGGGUUGAACAGCUACUGCUCCAGCAGGGGUAAGGAUACUGAGUGCUAUUGCUAUCCUGGUUUCACAUUUAUCGACGAGAAUACCAAAUCCCUGGGCUGCUCUCAGAAUUUCACAAUAGAUGGGUGCGUGGCAAGGAAAGAUCUAGUGAUACACUACAACAUCACUACCUUAGACAAUAUGUAUUGGGCUGGUGAUCCUUAUUCUGUGAAGCCUAACUUGGAGAAGGAAGACUGUAAGAAAGCUUGCC
rnacentral:lncRNA from 1 species